rnacentral:lncRNA from 1 species
UCUUGUAGCAAUGAAUGAUGUGGUCAAGUUCGUCCAAACAAAACGAAGAAGAGGCAUAGUUGAUAGAAAACACAGGAAUAAAAAUCCUAGACUCUUCAAUGGCCUUGAGAAGUGAUGGUGUGAUUUCAUUUCCUCUUUGAAGACCAUUGUCAUCAAUGAAGGUGUUGAUUCCCUUGUCAGUAAGAGCCUUGUAGAGAUUGCCGGUGAAACCGUACCGAGUGUCACUUCCUCUGAAACUGAGGAAUACUUGGUAUUUGUAAUCAUAGGAAAUUGAAGUGGAAGAGGAAGGUGAUUGCAUAGCCAUGAGAAUAUGAAUGAGAAGUUUUUGUGGUCUGUGAAGUCUUUGAUAAGUAACUUUAUAACUUAUGAGAAAAGUUAUGACAGAAAUGGUAUGUGAAACUUCCUAUAGUCGUGUGGACCAAUCAUUGUACUACCACCUCUUCUUCUUGCUAAUUUCUUCCAUGUCAUUACUGUUCAUCUUUUGGACAAAUCUUAUUCUUCUGCUGCAUGUAAUUUUUCACUUUGUUACUUAAUUAAUCAGUGUCUUAAAUUACAUGAGCUUAAAAUAAAUACAAGCUAUGCCAUUCAAACAUACAAUUAAAGACAGUUAGUAAUGAAAAUAUCAGAAAGUUUUGAUCAUAGUAUAGAUAUGAAAUAUUAUAGUUUCUAUUUAUUUUGAAAAUAUUACCACUUGAACCAAAUGGUUAAUUAACCAUGCACACACAAUUAUUAUUGUACAUGUUUACGUUAAAUGUUUAAUUAGCUAUCCAACAGAACUAAUAUAACAAUGUCCUAUUUUUCAUGUUAAUCUUACAUUGUACUAACAGUUAUAAAUGUUGGAAAAAUAAUGACUGAGUUGACGGCAAAAUCAGAAUGGAUAGAAAUCAAACUUGGAAGCUAUUUUUCACUGUUUUUUGGUUCUACACUUUUACCAAAUGGGAACUGGGAAGCUUCCUUCCCUUUUCCUUCUUCCAUGUAAUUUCUUUAAAGCAAUGUGAAUGUCUUAAAAGAAGAAAAAGGUAAAAAAUUAUGUCUCCUUGUAAUUGGGUAGAAUGCUGUAACCUAUAAGUAGCCAAUCUAGUUGAAUGCUGAAACUAUAGCAUCAUUUUUAAUGAUAAAUAAUAAGUGUUAUAGAACCCAACUUAAAAAAAUGGAUAAAACUAAACAAUGAAAAAGUAUAUACUAGCAAAGUUUCAUCCACAAAUUUCUACUUGUGUAAACUUUCAGGUAACUAUUGUCACUUUGUUUAUCUAAAAAAAAAAAAAAAUAGAUAAAAAUUGAUUAAUAAAUAACUCAUUAAGCUUGAUCCCAAAAAAAUAAACACCCACCCACCACUCUGCCCCCUGUCACAUAUGCACAUGGCAGUAGGCAUGUCACAAAUUUUGGCAUCUUUUUCAUAUGCUACAAUAUAAAGGUCAUCAAAACUUCUAACCAUAUCCAUAUAAAAAUAAACAAAAUGAAGCUCCAUUACACCAUCAAGAUACAUUUUGGUUACUUCUAACCAAAGAAAAAUAAGGAAAAUUUGCAUUUCAAAUAUCAUCAAAUGACAUGUUAAUUGAGUCUCACAUUUGCUUUAACUUUGCUUCCAACAGUAGUAGUAUCAACAGGACCCGGAUUCCGUGCAUUAAUAAUUGUUAAUCUUGGCCCUUUGUGAUCGGAUGGUUCAGAUUACAGAUACAUUAAUUCGGUUGUCAACCAUCUCAACCGUAGAUUUAAAUCAGACAGACUAGAUUGGGAAUCCAUUUCCAUAUCAACUACAUGAAAAACACUAAUAAAUAGACUAAAAGAAUUAUCCCACAUCAUGUACAACCAAAGAUUCCAAGUACUUCCCUUAAUUUCCAUCACAAACCAAAACAAAGAAACCAAAAGCCUAACAUUACAUCAUAUAUUGUUGUUCUAAAUUACAUCCUUGACCAUGGUUAACAAUUUGGCGAGGGAAGGGAAAAGACAAGAAUGACACAAAAUAAAAACUUCUCAAUUCAUUAUGCAGGAAUGUGAAAGUGCACAACUCUAUCCAUAUCAUCUUUAAAAUUUUGAUAAUCAAAAGCAUCAUGGAUGCAAAGGUAGUGCCUUUCCCUUUCAAUGAUUAACCUAAUCAACUUAGGGUAAUAUUGACAUCAUCACCAAGUGUGAAAAAACCGAAGAAUACUUCAAGAUGAUAUCGGUUCGUAAGGGUAUGAUAACCAGGGGUGCUUUAGAGCUUCAGAUGCAGAAGGUCGCUUCUUCGGGUUAACCUCCAGCAAAUGAUCAACAAAGUCAAUGAAGCCUUGGUCCCUUAUCGGUAAUCUAUGCCUCAAAGAUGUCUUCUUUGGAAUCAGGUAUUCUAACAUGUUGCUUUCCUGCAUAUCAAUACACAAUACCUCACUGAAUAAUUUUUCCAUGAUAAUUAAACAUACAAUGCAUGUUUAAUAUGAGCAUGUUUAGAUUGGGUUAUUUGAGCUUAUUAUCAACUUGCAUAAGCACUUAUGAGACUGUUUGGGAGAAUUUAUGGAAACAACUUAUGACAUGUUCAUAAGCUAUUUUCAAGUAAUUUCCGUAAACUCUCUAGGAUUGCAAAUGAAAUUAACUUACAGCUUAUAUGAAAAUAAUUUGACUUUAUUUUAUCUUUUAUUAUAGAAAAUAACAUAUAUAAGCACUUACAUGGGAAGUGUCUAUACUGCAAGCUUAAUUAAGUUGUUUAUCCAAACAUGGCAAUUACAAGCGAACGAAAAUAGUCAAUUUUAGAAAUUUUAGGGAGCUAUCUCUUGUUUUGCUUUUUGAAGACGGUGCAAAUGAAAAGAUAUCGCAAACUUUAAGAUUGUUCGCUGAUGCAUUUCAUAUGCAAAGACAUUUUAGAAAUGAAUUUCUUACCUGAUUCCUCUCAUAAAGCAUAUGAAUUUUUGUGAAGUACUUAGUAUCCCGUCCUUUUGCUAGCAUGCUUUGACCAAUUGGACAGAUGAUCCCAAUUACCCUAGCUAGCAGUGUUGCCGGGGAAUCGUUUUGGAAUUAUACCUACAAUUAAGAAUCAAGAUUUAUGUGUGUAUUCACUAAAGCAAAUACAGAUUUGACAUCCGCUUUCACCCAAAAAUGUAAAAACCCUACAACUGCAAGAACACAUUAGCGUCUAAAGAUACAUAGGGGGACUUGUUCUGUUCUAUUCUCUAUAUAGUUCCACUAAGACAACAGAAACUCACUAGCCACUAUUUAACAACACCCAAAUCAUUUUCAAAUUUAAAAUAUACUUAAUCAGUUAAUUUCAGGUAGUGUUUAGAACACGAAUGGAAUUAAAUGGGACAGCUUAUUUUUGCUUCAACAACUUUUCUGUUCUAUUUUUUAUUUGCUUUGAAAUUGUAGAAUAUAAAUUAUUCUAUCCUAUUCUAACCUGACUACCAAAAACUUCCUUAAGACUAAGAGUGAUACAAUCCAACUAGAGUGGGCAUGGUUCGGUAAACCCAAAAAACCAAACCGAACCGAACCGUUUCAUGUUGGCAGCUAACCGAACUGAACCAAAAUUAUGGUUUGGUUAACCAUUUGCUUACCUAUUAACCAUACCGAACCGAACCAAAACAAAUAUUUUUUAUCCAAUGAAUAAAAUCACUUUUAUUAUAAAAAAUAACAAAUUAAAAUUAAAAGUUAGAAUAGUUUAUUUCUUCAAAAACAACUUAUCUUAUACAAAACAGUUUAUUUUAAAAAACAGCUUAUUCAAAAAAAAUUAUUUUAUGAAAAACAAUUUAUUACGAUCUCUUUUUAAAAAUAGCUUAUUCGAAACCGCUUAUUUUAUGCAAAACACCUUAUUUUAAAAAAUAGCUUAUUCAAACAGCUUAUUUUAUGAAAACAACUUAUUUUAUUCAAAACAUGUUUUGAAUAAGUUGUUUUUUUUAAAAUAAGCUGUUUUGAAAAUAAGGUGUUUUUCAUAAAAUAAGUUGUUUUUCAAAUAAGCUAUUUUGCAUAAAAUUAGCUGUUUUGAAUAAGCUGUUUUUUUAAAAUAAUUUGUUUUCAUAAAAUAAGCUGUUUUGAAUAAGUUGUUUUUUAAAAUAAGGUGUUUUGCAUAAAAUAAGCUGCUUUGAAUAAGUUUUUUUUUUUAAAAUAAACUAUUUUGCAUAAAAUAAGGUGUUUUUCAAAUAAGCUGUUUUUUUAAAAUAAGUUGUUUUCAUAAAAUAAGCUGUUUUAAAAAUGAGGUGUUUUGCAUAAAAUAAGCUAUUUUAAAUAAGUUGUUUUUUUGGAAAGAUCCAACAAAAAGUUCAAGUGGUUUCCUUAAAAAAAAAAAAAAAAAACAGUUCAAGUGGUUUGGCUCGGUUCAAACGGUUCGGUUCGGGAUGGUUCAAGAACUGUUAAUAAAUUAACGGUUCGGUUCGUGAACCAUUAUAAUGGUUCGGUUAUUUUUGGUUCAGUUCGGUUCGCGCGGUUCGGUUCGGUUCAUGGUUCUUUCUGCCCACCCCUAAAUACAACAUAACAGAGCAAAUAUGUCUUACACAAAUUGGCAUCUAAACAAUGCCAUCACCGAGGGAAAAACACGAAUCAAGGAUCAAGCAGUAAAUUUUGGGGUAAAUUAGACCUAGUGUGUAUUAAAGAGCAAAACUAGAACAUCUUCAUGUACCUCUAAAACAACUACUUCCAAGAUCAAUGACCUUCACCUCACAUCGGCUGUAGCUUUUAACCAAAAUAUUCUCCGGCUUCAAGUCACAAUGUAUUAGUCCAAGGUUAUGUAAAUACUGAAGUGCUUCCUAAUAUUGAAUGGUAAUUGACUGCAAUAACUUAUGAAACUCGUAUAAGUUGGCUUUGAGUAGUUCACUCACUAUUAACAAAUGUUCCUGCAGUUCAACAAUGGAAACGAAUCAAAAGUGGUAAAGUCAGAUGAUUAAGUUGAUAGAUAUUUCUCAAACCACUUUGAAUAUAGCUUUGAAGAAUAGUCCUUAUAAUGGAAUUCAGUUCUUUCUGAAAUAUGACAAGUGUGAAUAGUUAUAUUUUAUAACAAAUUCUGGAAUGUAUCAAAAAAAUGUGAUAGUCAAAAACACAUUAAGUGGUUGUAGUUAAAAUUAUCAAAACUAUAACAAAUGUACUAUUGUUGCAGCUGCAGCACAUAUUAGUAUAGGGCCAAGUCUAUGGUGCGGGGACUUAAGUCUUGCACCAUGCACAACGUGGUUUUUACCAUUGGAUCAAUAAGGCUCAGUAUUAAAUUAAAUGAAAUAUGGUGAGAUUUAUUGAUCCAAUGGUGGCAAAUAAGCUUGUGCACGAAGCAAUACUAUUUUGCUUUUGCACAUUAGACAAGUCUUGAUAUAGAAGUAGUAACAAGAUGAGUAGCAGAUCGAAAAUCACUUACUCUGUAAUAAAAAUAAUCAUAUAAUCGCAAAAUGUGAUACUUGUCUCCAGGAUCAUGCUUAUUGACAUACUUGAGAAGUUUGAUUUCAUCAAGGCAUUGAUCAAGGAAAUCCUUGUUGUUCUUUAUAAUUUUAACACAAACAUGAUAGCGGCUAGAUACUUGGUCAUGAGCUUGUAUAGCUUUACUAUAAAUGCAGCAAAAUCCAGAUACUUGGUGACAUGAUAGCGGCCAGCUAUUACCGAAUUUAAAACAACAUGGAAAUUCUUGUCCUCCUCAAAGCCAGUUCUGAACAACAAAACAUAGUUUUAGAUAGCAUGUCAAAGCCAAAAGGAGAAACACCAUGGAAUAAUUUCAAGAAUAGCUAUUGUGCAACAUAACAAAAGUAUCUACAUAGACGAGCUCAUUGAGCCUUCUGACAUGGCAUAAAGUUAAACAGAUAAAUAUUCGGAAAAGCUUAGUAAGCAUCAGCAUAUGACUUCCCCAAUUUCAACAAUGUUUUCGAUCGAAUUAUCAUGACAACACAUGUAUGUUAUACAGUCUCGCGUACGGUAACUUCUCAAUUUCUUGUAAGAACAAAAUUAAGGAAUAGAAAAUCUUCAGGAGUUUACAGCAAUUGUCAAGUCAUGCAGAGCACAGGACUGCUUGAAUUAUUACUUUAUGCAGUCAUUUUGAUUGUGCUGAUUUCAUGACUACUACACGAGGGCACAAGUACAAGUGCACGAUAUUUCUAAAGAAAAAUAAUGAAUUUUAUUCAUCAUAAAUCAUUAAUAUUUUCAGAUCAUAAAGUCUUAGUUUCAUCUUAUUUUCCAUUAUUAACACAACCAAAUAUUUCACAAAAUGUUGUUUGUGCUUGCUAGUGUGGACAUCCAAAAGUCUGAAGAUUAACUCAAUGCGCUGUAAUGAACGGAAUAAUAAUUAAUGCAUUAUAAGGCUUUUAAAUAUCAGAUAUGCACAUGCCACUAAAAGUAGCACAAUGUCAGAAGUUUUAGAAUCUUUUCCCUAUCGUCUCUAUUCUCUAUCCUUCCGUUCACCCUUGCAAUAGUCAAAUCUUAAAUUUACACAAUCAGAUAGGACAGCCAAUAAAUCUUGUAUUGAUUUCAAAAGCUAUAGAUUUAUCAAAGAUUGUUGCAACAUCAUUAAUAUAAUCAGAAAACCAACAAUCAUUGAACAACAAAAGGCCGGCCUCCAGUUUUUACAUGUACUUCUACAAUGGUAUUAAUUCCACAACCUAUUGCAUUCUUGUAAACCUACAGUAAUGAAAGCAUCAAAUUCUAUCUGCAGCACAAGCAUCCUCCCUAAAAACUUACAUCAGGUAUCACCAUAUCAAGACAACAGUGUUGCAUUAAUUACUAUACCAAUAACAUUCACAACAACUGGAUUAUGGAGAUCAAAAGUCGCAACUCUUCCAAAAGGAUCUGAUAAAUGUCGGUUUUUGAUUCAGUUCUCCGGCUUUACUUUUUGUAGAGGAGAAAGCUCUUUUGCAGUAAGGACAGUUAAGUUUGAUAAACCCGUCCAACCAUAGUCGUUUCGACCUGUAUGCAAAUUUACAUAAAUAAAUCAAAUAAUAAUAACUUACAAUAUAUCAACAAAAAAGUAGACACAUUUGAUUAUGAAAAUUUUAGUGUAGAACAACUCCUUCCUUUCAUAAAAAAUAAAUACAUAUUUGUCCCCCCAUAUAGCUUAGAAACCAUGGAGAGAAAAGAUCGACAUUGAUUACCUGACAAAUUUUUUGUAUAUGACCUUCCAAAUCCAAUCCAUUUAGCUCACUGUAAACCUCUUGCAUGCUUAUAAGAUAGUAAAAAAAAAUUCAGUAAUGUUUCAAUUGCAAUCAUGCUAUAAUUCACAUCAAAGGUUAAAAACAUGUGUGCUAAUAAUUUUCCAUGUGUGAAAUCAUAUGACAUUGGGAGAGAUUUAUGAAACCAGGAUACGUAAUAUGGGUGUAAUACGGAUACGAUCGAGGAUGCGUUAAAUUUUUAAAAUUUAGUAUGCGAUAUGGCUAAAAUAUGUUAACAUGAUUUAAUUCAUAAAGAUACAAUAGACUUCACAUCCAAGCAGAAACCCUUGUAAAAAGUGACUUAAUAAAAACGUGUAUAGUUACUAAUAGUAAGGACACUUAAAUUCAUCAACCAAAUGUAGACCCAUAUUCAAAACAUCUACAUAAACAUGGACAUCGUAUUCAACAAUGACAACACCAAUAGUAAUUUGCAGAAAUAAGCUAUCUGAAUGCAAUAUGAUAUAUUGGCCAUUUGAACAUAUUUGAGAAACAAUAAUUGGUUUAUAAUAAUGAUAAUGAUGUACCUAGUCAUGUUGUUUUCCUUUUCUUUUUUGUCUGUAAGCACCAUGUUCUGCAUGCCUGAUGACAAUAAAGCUAGAUCUUGCUGCUGCAAACUUUCUGUCUCUGAAACUUCGAACCUUUUUACUCCAUCUGAUUUUGUUUCUUCCAAGCUCCACCUAUGCGCAGUUUCUGUCUCUGAAACUCCCACUUCCACAAAUCUAUGCUUUUCUUUUGUUUCAGUAAGCACCAAGUUCCGCAUGCCGGACACUACAGCUAGAUACUGCUGCUGCAAACUUUCUGUCUCCGAAACUUCCAAGCUUUUAACUCCAUCUGAUUUUGUUUCUUCCAAGCUCCGCCUCUGCAAACUUUCUGUCUUUGAAACUUCCACAAACCUUUGUUUUUUAAGUGUAGGACGAAAUUUCCUUAUCUUUCUAGGAGGAUUGGGGAAUAAGGCUUGGGAAUAAUAAGGCUUGGUUGUUGUAGUUGUUCUAUUAGGAUUGGUGAAUAUCACAUCCUCAGUGUUGCUUUUCUCGUGGAUUCCGAUUUGUGCGCUGCUUAAUUUUUUAAUCUCAUCAGGCACGAAUAUCUCAUCCUCACUUAAAUCAUGAUCCUUUAUGUUGCUUUUCUCCUUCACCACAUGGAUUCCCAUUUGUGCACUACGGUAGAAAUCAUCCUCCUCCGUGUCGAUUUGCUCCGUGUUGCUUUUCUCCUGGUAGUGGAUUACCAUUUGUGAACUGCUUUCAGUGAAUAUCUCAUCAUCACUAAAAUCAUCCUCCUCCGUGUCGAUUUCCUCCUCUGUGUCGGUUUCCUCCGUCCACGACACGUGGAUUCCCAUUUGUAAUCUCCUUAAUUUUUUAAUCUCAUCCUCACUGAGAUGUAAAUCAUCUUUCUCCCAAUCAAUCUCCACAUGAUUCAAUUCAUUUUUUUUAAUUGUUCGUAUCAUUUCAGGCAUAUGGUUAAAAUUGUCGUAAAUACGUGAUUUUAAUCCCAGAUCAAACAAAAAUGUAUGUUUCGACGGCAGAAGUACAUUUUCAUAGUUUAAUUCCCAAUGAAGAGGACAUUCAUCACCAUUUAGAAACAAAUUGACUUGUGGAAUCUCCACAGAUUCUGGAUUAAGAAUAAUACAAGUUAUACAAGGGAUCUUUCCAUGAAAAGAGAAAGAAAUUGGUUCGUUAACCUUGAUUUGAUACUCGAACCAAUUUGGAAUCCCCUCACUUCCAGUUGGAAAAUAAAAAUCCGUGUGUCCAGCCUUGUGUAGUUGCUGUUAGUUAAGAAUAAGAUGUAUUACAUUAUCGAUUAUAUAUCAAUAUCAAAUACUAUCUAUCAAAUACUACUGCACAAUAAAACAACAAACAAACCUGACUCAAUAACAUUCUUCUACUUGAGGAACUCAAUGAUUCACAGUCCUUUGCAUGAAAUAUUUUAAGAUUUGGUGGAAACCCUCUAAUUUCCUCAAGAAACUUGCAGCCAUCCACAUAAAUGUUUUUAAGAAGGUGACAUUCACUAAGGCACUCAGGAAGAAUUUUGAAAUUGCUCUCAGAUAAGACUAGAUUUUCCACAUUAACACACCACAUUAGAAGUAUUCGGAGAAAUUCAUCUGAGAGGUUGCUCUUUUCAAUUCUAAGAUGGUUCACAUUUGAAAAUACUAUAGAAUUCAUUUUAUCAUUUUGUUUUGGGAACCUGAGCAUUCCACAUUGAUAUAUUUGUAAGCGAUCAAGUUCACUGAGAUUUUGAAUUGAAAAUGGAAAUUCCAUGCAAGUUUCAUUCAACCAAAUAUCUUUUAAAUUUGUCAUCUUGCAUAAUAAUUCUGGAAAACUCUUGAGACUCUUACACAUGGCGAGUUCCAAUCUCUUAAGACAGGGCAGUUGUAAAGGUGGAACACUCUGGAGCUUGAUGCAAUAUUUUGCAUCUAAGAUUUCAAGUCUGUUUAGGAAUCCAACUGAAUUGUGAAUUGUAAUUAAAUUCUCACAAAAUUGAAACGAUAACUUUUCUAAAUUUGGAAGUCCUGAGACAUCGGGUAUUUGGGUUAAAUAUUGACAACUGUUCAAUUUCAAUACUUUCAUAUAGUUGAACUUCUGCAUAAAAAAUACAAAUAAUUAAGCUAAAAUUAAAAUUAUAAUCUAAUAGUGAAUUAUAAAUAUACACAAUUGAAAAAUGAAUUUAUUUCACUUGCCUUGUUCAAAAUACAAGAUGAUAGAGACUUCGAAGGACAACCAUUCCAUUUGCAAAAUCUCAAACUACUUGGAAGAUAGUCAGGACCUCUAGAAAACUGACCAUUUUCAAUGAUAAGUGUUUUGAGAUUUGUCAUCUUCUUCAUGGCCUUUCCAUUCCACUCUAUUACGUUUUCCAUUGAGGGACAAUUCAAAUGUAUCAUUUCAAUGUUCCUAGUUCCCUUUUAAGAAAAAUAAAACAACAGAAUAAACCACAAUAUAAAUAAUAUACAUGUAAUUAAGUGGAAAAAAAUAAUAGUAUGAGAUGAUCAUAUUUAGUCCAAAAAGACCAAAAGUCAUAUUAAAACUAAAUAACAAAUUGAUAUUAUAUAUCAAUCUUACUCACAGUGUUUUCUGUUAGAACAUGAACUAUAUCGUCUUGACACCAUAACCUACUUCUUUCUCCAGGCUCUUUAGGUGAUUCUUGUCGGACGACUUCUUUACCCAUGUCCUCUAUCAAGUUAUGCAGUGUCACUUUAUAAAUAGAUCCAGAAUGGUAAGUACAAAUCUGAACAAGAGAUUUUUCAGCCAACACUCCUAGAUGAUGUGUUAUGCAAUGGCCAUAAUGAGCACGAAGUAUAUCUUCAACCACUUCCAAUCCACAUCCUUUGAAGCAACAAGCAAUGUCUAGAAAGACACUCUGCUGCUCUUCCUCCAAAGCAUCAUAGCUUACUUUAAGAAUCUCGUGGAUCUUUUUAUUGGGAAUCUUCUCAUAUCCUUCUAACGUACCCUUCCAUUCUUCUAUCCUCUUUCCAAACAAGUUGGAACCCACUACUUCCAAAACUAAGGGAAGUCCUGAAGCAUAUGAAACUGCACGGUUUAAAACGUCUUCAUAAACUGAAGGUACUUUGUUAUUCUUAAAAGCCAUCCACCUCAACAAUUCAAGAGCUUCUGUCCUACACAACCCUUCUAAUGCAUACUUUCUUUCUAUAUCAUGACUGGUUAGUAAGUGUCUGUCUCGAGUGGUAAUGAUGACCCUGCUUCCAAGCCCAAACCAAUCAGGUUCUCCUGCCAAAGCCUGUAGUUGCCCCAUAUCGUCAACAUCAUCGAGAAUCAAAAGAAUCUUCAUUGAAUGCAGCCUUUCCUUUAUAUGAGAAAUUCCCUCACUAACACCUCCUAACUUAAUUUCAAGUUGAAGUGUUUUUAAAAGGAGCUCCUCCUGGAGAUGUUUCAAUUUAUUUGAAGCUGAAUUCUCUCUCACAUUUUCAAGAAAACAUGAGCAUUCAAAUUGAUCAGCAAUAAAAUUAUAAAUUGCUUUUGCAAGUGUUGAUUUACCCAAUCCUCCAGUACCAUAAAGUCCUACCAUGUGGACUCCAUCAUCAGAUCUUUCAUCAAGAAGAGAUUUCACUUGUUGUACUCGAGACUGCAAUCCAAUAGGAUAAUUGGCAACAUGUAAGGGCUGACGACUGAUCUUGUUGGAGAUUUCUUUCACUAUCUUUCCAAUAAGCUCGUAUUCAUAUCUAUUCAUGUCCAAUAAGAUAAGUUAGUAUGUAACAACAUCAUAAUCACAUCCAUGUACACUCAGAAUAUAUUAUACAUUUCUAACUAUUUUGACAUAUAAAUAACUAAUACUUGUUUAAAAACGUAAAUAAAAAAGGUAUUUGAUCUCAUUUAACCUUGAAUAUGAGAUUAUUGGGUAAUUGAAAUUGAAUAAAGAAAAUACAAAAGGGAAAAAUAGGAUUUAUGUAGUGUUGAGUACCCAGGAGGACUAUCAUGGUAGCCGGAAAAGUUAGCAGCCUGGCUCAGAGCCACUUUCCAUCGCUGCAACCUCUUUAUGUUAUCCUCAUCAUUUUGAAACCUUUUUUUAUGCUCAGCCAAUGCUUGACCGUAACUACCUUUAUGAUGUCGCACAUGAGAAGGUUCCACACCAAAGAAAACAGGCAAAACGACGCGACCCUUUGUCGUGUAGCAAUGAAUGAUGUGAACAAGUUCAUCCAAACAAAAGGAAGAAGAGGCAUAUUUGAUAGAAAACACAGGAAUAAAAAUCCUGGAUUCAUCAAUGGCCUUGAGAAGUGCUGGUGUGAUUUCAUCUCCUCUUCGAAGAUCAUUUUCAUCAAUGAAGGUAUGAAUUCCCUUGUCAGUAAGAGCCUUGUAGAGAUUGCCGGUAAAACCGUAUCGAGUGUCAGUGCCCCUAAAACUAAGGAACACUUGGUAAGUGAAUGCAUAGGAAAAUGAAGAGGAUGAGGAUGAGGAAGGUAAUUGCAUAGCCAUGAGAAUUGAGAGAAAUUGGAUGAAAAAAGAGUUUGAGAAUGCAGAAUAUGAAUGAGUAAGUUUUUGUGGUCUGUGAUUUGGAGUCUUUAAUAUAACAAGGAGAAAUUGUUCUUAAUAAAUAGUUAUUUUGGUCAUAAGUUUUUGCGGUCUGUGUUGACAAAAAUGGUUUGUGAAACUUCCUGGUCACUUCCUAUCUAUAGCCGUGUGGACCAAUCACAUACUAAAUAUCACUGUACUACACUUCUUCUUGCUAAAUUCUUCAAUGCGAUUAAUGUUCAACUUUUGGAGAAAACUUAAAUAAAUAAAUAAACAAGUGAAAACUUAUGACAAAAACAAACAUGAUUUCCGAUAUAUAUACUACCUCCGUUCCUUUUUAAUUGUCACAUUUACUACCAUAUCAUGUCUGAAACUUCCUUCUCAUCUUCUAUGUGGUCCAAUGUGGGACACUUCCUUUGAAUUUUCUACAUCUGUACGUGUGGACCAUGCACCAAUAGCAGUAUAGCACCAUUCAAAGAAAAACCUUGUAACCAUGAAUGAAGGAUGGAUAGGUGGAUGAAGACUAGUAAUACUUCUGUAAAUCAAUGUGUGCCUUAAAAGUCAAUGUUAAUGCCUUAAAAGUCAAACUGAAAUUUUCAAGUGGGAUGCUAAAAAUGAAUUGAGAGCUGUGAUAUUUUGUUUAGACCUUAAAAGUCAAAAGUCAUUAUGAUAUUUAUUGUGUUUGCGGCCGAACAAAUACUUAAUCUCAUCUUUGGAACUGACAUUUCCAACUAUUAUUCUAAUUCUAUACAGUAACUUGAUAUUUAUAUUUGAAAUUUGAUUUACCUCUUAUAAAUUCUUCAUAAAGUUUUAAAAAUAAAUAAUUAGUGUUGGAACCCAAUUUAAAAAUGAAUAAAACUAAACAAUACAAAAAAUAUAGAAGUAUAAACUAUUAAAGGAGGGGGACACAGUUCUUUGCUCCCAAUUAAAGAUUGUUGCAUCAUAAUUUAAUAUAAUCAGAGACUCAAUAAUCCUUGAACAAGAAAAGUUUGCAACAUCAACUUCAUGGUAUUUUCUUUUUCUUUCAAUUAUCCAAGGAAAGAAUAGUUUACAAACGCGUCGACAUUCGAAUACAUUAUCCAAGGAUGGCCUCCUGAAAUUUAUUCAAAUAAAAACACAAAUUGCAUUAUUAUUUUAUACUGCAUAGGUCAUGACUCUGGCAAAAGUAUUUCAUGAAUGUUGGCUCACAGAUUCAGUUCUUUAUCCCAUAUGAGUUCCUUUAGAUCAGAAUGCUUUUUUCCUGCAAGGAUAGUACGUUUAGUUUAAGAAACCCAUCCAACCAUAGCCGUUUUGAAUAAAAUAUUAAUAAAAGUACUUACAAUAGCAACAAAUACAAAACAUGUUUCAUUAUGAAAAUUUAAGGUUAGAACAAACUCUGCCCAUUCAGCAAAAAAAGAAACACAUUUGUUCCUCCCUAUAAAGCUUUUGGGAGAGGUAAUUCGAAAUACAAGUCCUCACCAGGGCAGGCAUGGAUAACACGAAAGGAAAUAUGUCGAGUUUGCAGAAGGAUCAUGUGCAAUGUUCAAUUCAUACUCAAAACAUUUCGUAUGACAAUGCAAAAAGCCAGACAACUACAGAUGAAUUUCUGUUAUUGACCUGUAAAAGAAGAAAUGAAUGCUUAGUUCACAGUUAAAGAAAGUUGCAAAAUUACUGAUAGGACAGUGUGAAAUUCUUAUACUCAUGCUCAUGCUAGGAUAGGGAAAUUGAAGGUAGAUAUUAGAAGCAUCUCAUACUCAUGCUUAUUUCAACAUGAGAGGAUCCACUAUUAAUCCACUAGAUACAUUAAAGAGAAAUGUCGAACCAAUUUGUAAGAACUUAAAAAUAAAUAGAAGAAAAAAGAUAACAAGUAGGAGAUAAAAGUAUAUUAAUUUUUGAGAAAAAUGACUUUCUUUCUAAUAAGUUAUAGCAUUUCAUUUCUCUUCUUGAUGUAUAAUCCACUCAUUACAACCAUAACGUAAUGAUUGGAAAUAAAAAACCAAAACUUUGAAAGCAUUCAUUCUGAAAGAUCUUUCAUAAAGAUUAUAUAUGAUUGAAAGCAUUCAUGCUUACUUGUAAACAGAAAUGACAAGUUGAUAGCUGUAGCCUCUCCUUUCUGCAGGUGACACACAGUCAACAGAUAAGAUCGAUAUUGAUCACUCGACGAAACGACUUUACAUAACAUGCCAAAUCUAAGUAUUGAGCCCACUGUAAAUCUCGCUUGUGCUUAUAAGCUAUUGGAGUUUUUAUCAAUUAUGAAUCAUGUUUCAAUUGCAACCACAUUGAAUUUCAUUCUUUAAGUUACUAAUAAUGCUAUGGAUGUUCCAUAUGUUUAUUGGUCAAAAUGAAAGCACAUAAAAUUAGUUAGGAGAGAUACAAGUUCCAAUUUGAAUCGUAAUUACUCAGAUCAUGAAGACUUCAACAUCGAAUGUCAACUUUAUAGGCUUAAAGUGGCUAUAUUUACAGUGAGACAGUCAAACUCUGAGAGAACCUUCAUUUUGACAUUUUAACCAUAUGAACAAGGAGAAAAUAAAAAAGUUGAUAAUAAUGAUAAUGAUGUACCUGGAGCAAGGAAUCAAUCUAGCCAUGGUGUUCCAAUUCUUUUGUUUCAUUAAGAACCAAGUUCCGCAUGGCUGACACUAAAGCUAGAUGUUGUUGCUUUUUCACUAACCUUUGCUUUUUCAGCGGUGGGUGAAAUUGUAAUAACGAAGCAUUGCGAUGUUCAUCUGAUUUUCUCUUUCUAAUAUAAGGAUCAGUGAAUACCACAUUCUUCUCCUCUGUGUUGCUUUUCUCAUUCCACACGUGGAUUCCCAUUUGACCACUCCUUAAUCUUUUAUUCUUCUCUUCCUCACUAAGUAUUUUAAAAUCCCAAUCAUCCAACUUAAACUCCACAUGGAUCCAUUCAUUUUUCAAAAGUUCUUUCUCGCAUUGUCUUUUACUGAAUCUAUUCAAUUUCGAGGUAUGAAACAAAGUUGUAUGGUCAGUCAGCAAACUAUUGUGGCAAUAUUCUGUCUCAAUAUAACCAUUCACAAAAACAUAGACCCUAUUGGUAUCAAGAAAGCCUUCCGGAAGAAUAAAUAUACAAGUUAUUGAAGGGAUUUCUUUACGAAACCAGAAAGAAAGUGUGAGUCCCCUGCUUUGGUGCUCAAACCAAUCUGGUAUCCCCUGCUCUGUUCCGUUUGGGAAUUCAAAAUAGGUGCAUCCAGCCUCAUGUAGUUUCUGUUUGUUUAUACAAAAUAAUAAUAAUAAUAAUUACACUAUGAAUUACAAAUUAAAUAUUAUAUAUAAAAUACUGUGCUAUAUAUAUAAAACAACAACUAACCUGACUCAUUAACUUUCUUUUACUUGAGGAACUCAAUGAUUUGCAUUCGCUUGCAGAAAGCCAUUUAAGAUUUGGUGGAAUCCCUCUAAUUUCCUCAAGGGACUCGCAGUCCCUCACAGUAAUUAGAACAAGAUGGUGACAUUCACUAAGGCACUCAGGAAGAAUUUUGAAAUUGCUAUAUGAUAAGUCUAGACAUGUCACAUUAACAAACCACUUGAGAAGUAUUGGGAGACAUUCAUCUGAGAGGUUGCAAUCCAUGAGAGUAAGCUCUGUCAUAUUUGAAAACACUAUUGAAUACAUCUUAUCAUUCUGUUUUGGGAACCUCAGCGUUCCAUUUGCCACUGAUAACUCUUGAAGUUCACUGAGAUUUUGAAAUGAAAAUGGCAGUUCUCUUAUGGAAGUACUAAUCAACAAAAUAUUGUCUAUCUUUGUCAUCUUGCAUAAUAAUUCUGGAAAACUAUCGAGACUCUCACAACCACUGAGAUUCAAUUUCUUAAGAGAUGCCAAACCUAAAGGUGGAAAACGUUCGAGCUUUCUGCAACCAUAUGCACUUAACCAUUCAAGUUUAUUUAGGUGUCCAAUAGAAUUGUGAAUUGUAAUUAAAUUAUCACAACAUGUAAACGAUAACUUUUCUAAAUUUGAAAGGCCUGAGACAUCGGGUAUAUGUGUUAAAUAUUCACAAUAGUUCAAUGUCAAGACUUUCAUAUUCUGAAACUUCUGCAUACACACAAGGAAGAAACAAAUCAAUAAAUUAAAACUCAAAGACAAUAAUACUUUCAUACUGAUUUCUUUUGUUGACUGAAACAAAAUCAUUGUGAAGUUAUUUCACUUGCCUUGUUUAAAAUAUUAGAUGACAGACACUUCGAUAAACAUCCUUUCCAUUUCAAUACACGCAAACUGCUUGGAAGAUACUUCAGACCUCCAGAAAAAUGGCCAUUUUCAAUGAUAAGUGUUUUCAGUUUUGUCAUCUUCUUGAAGGCCUUUCCUUUCUUGUCUAUCACGGAUUCCAUGGAGUGGAGAUUCAUAUAUAUCAUUUCAAUUUUACUAGUUCCCUUUUAACAAAGAUAAAAACAUGAAUCAACCACAAUAAAAAUAAGACAUAGAUAUAUUAACAUGUAAUUGAGUGAAAAGAAAUGCUAGUAUCAGAUGAUCAUAUUUAGUGCAAAAAGAGCAAAGUCGUAUUAAAACUAAAUAACAAAAUGAUCAUAGAUAUCAAUCUUACUCACAGUGUUUUCUCUUAAAACACGAACUAUAUCAUCCUGACAGCAUAACCUACUUCUUUCUCCAGGCUCUUUAAUUGAUUCUUGUCGGACGACUUCUUUACCCAUGUCCUCUAUCAAGUCAUGUAACAUCACAUAAUCGCGAUAUUCCCAAUAUUGGUCUAUGAGAGAUUUUUCAGCCAACACUCCUAGAUGAUGUGUUAUGGAAUGGCCAUAAUGAGAAUGAAGUGUAUACUUUGCAUCUUCCCAAUUAUAUCCUUUGAAGCAACAAGCAAUGUCCAGAAAGACACUUUGCUCCUCUUCUUCCAAAGAAUCAUAGCUCACUUUAAGUAUCUUUUGGAUCUCUUUAUUGGGAAUCCUGUCAUACCCAUCUAAUGUAUACUUCCAUUCCUCUAUGUUCUUUCCAAACAAGUUAGAACCCACUAUUUCUAUAACUAACGGAAGGCCAGAAGCAUAUGCAACAGCACGGUUUAAAAUCUCUUCGUAACCUGAAGGAACAUUGUCACUUUUAAAAGCCAUCCACCUCAACAAUUCAAGAGCUUCUGUCCCAUACAGCCCUUCCACUUUAUGCAUACUUUUUAUCCCAUGACAGGUUAGCAAGUGUUUGUCUCGAGUGGCAAUGAUGACUUUGCUUCCACGGCCGAACCAAUCAGGUCCUCCAGCCAAAGCAUGUAGUUGCUUCAUAUUGUCAACAUCAUCAAGAAUCAAAAGAACCUUCUUUCUAUGUAGCCUUUCCUUUAUAUAAGGAAUUCCCUCACUAACACCUCCAAACUUAAUUUCAAGUUGAAGUGUUUUUAAAAGGAGCUCCUCCUGAAGAUGUUUCAAUUUAUUUGAAGUUGAAUUCUCUCUCACAUUUUCAAGAAAACAUGAGCAUUCAAAUUGAUCAGCAAUAAAAUUAUAAAUUGCUUUUGCAAGUGUUGAUUUACCCAAUCCUCCAGUACCAUAAAGUCCUACCAUGUGGACUCCAUCAUCAGAUCUUUCAUCAAGAAGCGAUUUCACUUCUUGUACUUGAGACUGCAAUCCAACAGGGUAAUUGGCAACAUGUAAGGGUUGACGACUGAUCUUGUUGGAGAUGUAUUUGACUAUCUCUCCAGUAAACUCGUAUUCAUAUCUAUUCAUGCCCAAUAAGAUAAGUUAGUAUGUGACAACAUCACAAUCACAUCCAUGUUAUUCUUUAAGAUGAGAUUAUUGUGAAAUUUAAAUUAAAGAGAGAAAAUAUAAAAAAAGGUACCCAGGAGGACUAUCAUGGUAGCCGGAAAAGUUUGCAGCCUGGCUCAGAGCCACUUUCCAUCCCUGCAACCUCUCCAUGUUAUUCUUAUCAUUUUGAAACCUCUUUUCAUGCUCAGCCAAUGCUUCACCAUAACUACCUUUCUGAUGUCGCACUUUAGUAGGUUCCACGCCGAAGAAAACAGGCAAAACGAGGCGACCCUUUGUCUUGUAGCAGUGAAUUAUGUGGACAAGUUCGUCCAAACAAAACGAAGAAGAGGCAUAGUUGAUAGAAAACACAGGAAUAAAAAUCCUAGAUUCAUCAAUGGCCUUGAGGAGUGAUGGUGUGAUUUCAUCUCCUCUUGGAAGAUCAUUGUCAUCAAUGAAGGUAUGGAUUCCCUUGUCAGUAAGAGCCUUGUAGAGAUUUCCGGUAAAACCGUGGCGAGUGUCAGUGCCCCUAAAACUGAGGAACACUUGGUAAGUGAAUCCAUAGGAAAAUGAAGAAGAAGAGGAAGCUAAUUGCAUAGCCAUGAAAAUUGAGAGAAAUUGGAUGAAAAAAGAGUUUGAGAAUGCAGAAUAUGAAUGACUGGUCCGUGAUGUGGAGUCUUUAGUAUGUAACUAUAAAAGGAGAAAACUUACGACAAAAGUAGUAUGUGAAACUUCCUAGCCACUCCUAUAGCCGCGUGUACUAACUAUAUUUUAAAAUUAUAAAUGUCGGAAAAAGAAAGGCAGCAUCAAACAGCUUAAUAAACUAAUGCAUCAAAAGAGCUUAAUAUUAUCUCUUACUUUUAUGAGACUUCUUUCUCAUUUCCUAUCUUCUGUAAAACAAUGUGAAUGCCUUAAAAAUCAAACUUACAUUUUCAGGUGGGACCCUAAAAAUGAAUUAUGAGCUUAAGUGAUACUUUGUUUGGAGUUUGGACCUCAAUUGACAUUUCCAGCUGUAAUUCCAAUACAUGUUGAUAUUUCAUUACUUUGUAAACUAGUCUCUUAACAAGAAUAACACACUGAUAGACUAUAGAUAUGAUACUAUGCAAAAAGUAAACUAACUCCAUUCUGUUUUGCUAACUAACUCUGCUUAAUAAAUAAAACCAAUUUUUGCAGGAAAUUAGCAACAAUGCAAAUUGGGUAGAGUAACUUUUUAACAGACUUUUGAAUGCUAAAACCAAAGCAUCAUUUUAAACAGACUUUUUUUUAACACACUUUUGUGUGUAUUAGUAACACUUUUGUAUUAUAUUUGAACACAGAACAGAUUUAGUAAAAACUAAGCAAGGUGAUAAAUAUGGAGUAAUAUAGUUUGCAAAAAGCAACAAAUGCAUUCAUGAAAAGGCACUAUCAAUCUCUAAAGCUUGGUGCCAAUUCAUCUAUAAAACUAACAUUUCCAGCUGUUAUUCUAAGUCAAAACUUGUUUUUUUAAUAACAAAGGUUAAUUAAACUUUUUUUAAUAACAAAGGUUAAUUAUUAGUAUUUUCUUUUGUUAGGACUUUAACCCCUGAACUUUUAACUCCUCAACUUCUUUAAUCUCUUAGCUCAAAAUUGAUUUCAAUUCAUGUUGUACUUUAAUUGAGUAACUUGAUGUCUAUAUUUGAAAUUAGACUCACCUCUUCUAAGUUUUUAUUAAGUUCUAAUGAUAAAUAAUUCGUUUUACAACCCAAAAAAAAAAAAUGAAUAAAAUUAAACAUAUAAAGUAUAUACUAGCAAAGGUUCAUCCACAAAUUAUAAUUCAAUUUAUAAAAAUAUCAAAAUUGUUAAAUCGGACAUCAUGAUCGAGUUCAAACCACGACUCUUUUUUAUCAAAAAAAUUAAAAUAAAAAAGGUUGACUAAUAAAGUAACUCAUUAAGCUUGUUCCAAAAAAAAUAUACACAUUUGCUCCGGUCUAAAUUUUGGCAUAUUUACUGCAAUAUUCUCUUUGCUUCUUAUUUUACCCUGUAAUUGUUUCAUGGCACCCACCCAUCACUCUGCCCCAUGUCAUAUAUGCUCAUGGGCAGUAGGCAUGUCACAAAUUUUGGAUCUUUUCCCUAACUGCACCGGGUUUAACAUAAUUCGCAUAGUUUUCAAGAAAUGAUAUUUGAACAAUUAUUUUAUAAUAAUUUUAUGACAAUUUUCUCUCUCAUAUUCACAUUAUAUUUUUAUUAUCUUUUUCUAUUACUUUGAUUUUCGUGUCAAUACAUAUUUUUCUUUGUAAACAUAUGGUUGUCCAUUUGAUUGUCAAACAAAUAGAUGUUCAAAUAACACUGCUGAUAUUAAAUUAACCAUGCUACAAUAUAAAGGUAAUCAGAACUUUACUUUUCUUUUUCAAAAAAGGUCAACCAUUUUUUUAUGACUAGAAAUCUAGAUAAGCGUUCAAAGAGCCUUUCACGACUGAUAUCUCUCUCGAGCAUAAAAACGUAACUCAUUAAAUAAGUAAAUUUGUUCCUUUCCUGUCGAGCUCAUGGAACUUGGGAAGAAAAUAGUUGAUCAAUAGGGUUGAGAAUAGGCCAGGUCAAGCUUUGAUAGGCCUGAGCCUGACCUACGAAAAAAUUUGCAGGCCUGAGCCUGGCCUAUGGCCUUUCAUAGGCCUAUUUUUUUGGCUUGGCCUUGCCUAUUUAAAAGUCUGGCCUGGCCUGAAAGCCUAUUUACAGGCCUACUUACUAUUAAAGUCACUAAACAUUCCAUUUUAUCUACUUUUAAAUAGGCUUAAUAGACCUCAAAGCCUAUUUGAGUGUAAGACUUGUCUAUCACUAUAAGGCCUUAAAAGCUUAUUUUACUAUAAUGAUUUAAAGCCUAUUUAAAAAGUCCACUAUGAAGCCUAACAUGCAUAAACAGGCCGGCCUAUUAGGCUUCAUAGGCUUUUUUGAUAGCCUAAGUCUGGCCUAUUUACUUAAAUAGGCUUUUUAAAAAGCCUAAGCCUAACCUUUUUAAUAAACAGGCCAGGCCAGGCCAGGCCAUAGGCCCCUGUAGGCCGGCCUGACCUAUUCCCAACCCUAUUGAUCAAGUUACAUUUUAAUGAUUUUGGAUAAAAAUAGAAAUGAAAGAGAAUAUGGAUAAAAACAUAAUUGCAUAAAUUAAUAGAUAUAAUCAAAUUUUACAUAGGAGAAAUUACAAUCAAAAUGAAAGAAAGUGAACUCUUUGCAUUGUUGACUCAAAAUACUCAUAUUGCUCCAAAACUCUAAAAUACAUUUGAGAUGGGUGAAGGUUCAUAGUGUAAAAAUACAUUUGAGAAUAAACAAAAUGAAGCUUCAUUACACCAUCAAGAUACAUUUUGGUUACUUCUAACCAAAGAAAAACAAAAGGCAAAUUUACAUUUCAAAUAUCAUCAAAUGACAUGUUAAUUGAGUCUCACAUUUGCUUUAACUUGUGCUUCCAACACUAGUAGUAUCCGCAGGACCCGGAUUCCGUGCAUUAAUAAAAGUCCAUAGUUCCAUGCAGUUGUUAAUCUCAGGCAUUUGUGAUCGGAAGGUUCAAAUUACAUAUACACUAAUUUGGUUUACAACCAUCUCAGUUGUAGAUUUAAAUAAAACAGACUAGACUGGUGCAAUUACUAGUGGGAAUCCAUUUCCAUAUCAACUAAAUGAAAAACACUAAUAAAUAGACUAAAAGAAUUAUCCCACAUCGAUGAUAUCAUGUACAACCACAGUUGUCAAAAUUAGGAAUUUACUUCAGGUCGAAAGGGAAUAGUAAAAUCGGGACUCGUAAAAUCACAAUCAAAAUCGAAGGAUUUUACUCAAUGACUUGAGUAGAAACAAUAUAGGAAAUUGUAAAAUCAAAAUCGAUAAAUUUUUCCAAAAUAAUAAUAAUAUGUUAUAAAUGGUAUAUAGUCAUAAAUGAAUUAUAGUUUAUAAGAAAUCGUAAAAGACAACAAUGUUACAACCAAUUUUUGAAGACUUCCCUUUCCAUCAGAAACCAAAAGCCUAACAUUAAAUCAUAUAUUAUUGUUAUAAAUCACAUCCUGUUAACAAUUUGGAGAGGGAAGGGAAAAAGACAAGAAUAACCCACAAAAUAAAACUUCUCAAUUCAUUAUGCAGGAAUGUGAAAGUGCACAACUCUUUCCAUAUCAUCUUUAAAAUUUUGAUAAUGAAAAGCAUCAUGGAUGCAAAGGUAGUGCCUUUCCCUUUCAAUGAUUAACCUAAUCAACUUAGGGUAAUAUUGACAUCAUCACCAAGUGUGAAAAAACCGAAGAAUACUUCAAGAUGAUAUCGGUUCAUAAGGGUAUGAAAACCAGGGGUGCUUUAGAGCUUCAGAUGCAGAAGGUGCUUCUUCGGGUUAACCUCGAGCAAAUGAGAAACGAAGUCAGUGAAGCCUUGGUCCCCCAUUGGUAAUCUAUGCCUCAAAGAUGUCUUCUUUGGAAUCAGGUAUUCUAGUCUGCUGCUUUCCUGCAUAUCAAUACACAAUACCUCACUGAAUAAUUUUCCUAUGAUAAUUGAACAUACAAUGAUAAGUGUCUUGUGAGACUGAGAAUUUAUGGAAACAACUUAUGACAUGUUCAUAAGCUAUUUUCAAGUAAUUUCCAUAAAUUCUCUAGAUUUGCAAAUGAUAUCAGCUUACAGCUUAUAUGAAAAGAAUUUGACUUUAUUUUAUCUAUUAUUAUAGAAAAUAACAUAUAAAAGCACUUACAUGAUAAGUGUCUAUGAUAUAAGCUUAAUUAAUUUGUUUAUCCAAACAUGGAAAAUACAAGCGAACGAAAAUAGUCAAUUUUAGAAAGCUAUCUCAUGUUUUAAUUUUUAAAGACGAUGCAAAUGAAAAGAUAUUGAAAAUUUUAAGAUUGUUCGCUGAUGCAUUUCAUAUGCAAAGACACUUUAGAAAUGAAUUUCUUACCUGAUUCCUCUCAUAAAGCAUAUGAUUUUUUGUGAAGUACUUAUAAGUAUCCCGUUCUUUUGCUAGCAUACUUUGACCAAUUGAACCGAUGAUCCCAAUUACCCUAGCUAGUAAUGUUGCCGGGGAAUCGUUUUGGAAUAAGACCUACAAUAAGCAUAGUUGAGUUCAUUAAGAAUCAAGAUUUAUGAGUGUAUUCACUAAAACAGAUACAGAUUUGACAUCCGCUUUCACACAAAAAUGUAAAAACCCUACAACUGCAAGAACAUAUAACUUAAAAGAAAUUCACAGUACCAAAUAUGUCAAAUCAUUUUCACUUCUAAGGAUACUUCGUCAAUUUAUUUAAGGCAGCUUUUGAUGCACAGAUAAAAUGAAACAGGGCGACUCGUUCUCUUCUAUUCUCUAUAGAGUUCCACUAAAACAACAAAGAAACUCCAAGCGUUGUCAAUCGCAGAUCGCAGAAAAUAGUGGUUUGUUCCGAUUCUGCUACACAGGAGUUCAAUAGUGCCACUAGAGGAACUAUUUGACAAUAUUUUGUACUAUAAUGCGUGAUAAAGAACAAAAACGAUUUUUUCAAAUUCCGCUACGUUAUAGCCGCUAUUUAACAACACCCAAAUCAUUUUCAAAUUUAAAAUAUACUUUAUUAGUUUAUUUCAGGUAGUGUUCGGAACACGAAUGGAAUUAAAUGGGACAACUUAUUUUUGCUUCAACAAUUUUUCUGUUCUAUUUUUUAUUUGCUUCGAAAAUGUAGAAUAUAAAUUAUUCUAUGCUAUUUUAACCUGGCUACCAAAAACUUCCUUAAGACUAAGAGUGAUACAAUACAAUACAAUCAUACCCCAAUUUUUGACCUAAGAGAGCACUAACACGGGUCAUUUAGCUCCGACUGGUCUCAGCCUUUCGAGCAAAAAAAUUCGGCAGAAAGGUAUUUUAAAAUACCUCAUAUUUGAUUCCGAGUCGGGUCCUCUUCUCUCAAUUUUCAUUUAAUUUUAAUUUCCAUCUUUUAUUAACUUUAAAUUCAUUUUUUUAACCUUUAUUUUAUGAGAAUUGCUGUUCCCACAUAUAGUAUGGCUGUGCCACACGAGUAAAAUACCAAAAUGCCCUUCGGCAGUUUGCUACCGAAGUUUUAAGGAAACCGGCGGCAGUUAACUGCCGAAGAAAACCUCGGUAGUUAACUGCCGAGGAAAUCUGAACAUAACCAGAACGCAGAAACUCAGUUUUCUUCAUUCUUCAAACUUCUUCCAAACCAUCCAACUUCUCCAACUUCUCCAAAUUCGUUUUUUCAGCAAAAUCAAGUGCAUCAUCUUCAUUUAAACACAAGUAAGUAUGUUGACUCAUUUUUAAUCAUAAUGUUAGUUUGGGUAGGUUUUUUUUUUAAAAAAAAUGGUAGUUUUCAUGUGGUUAGGGUUGAUGUAGGAAUUGAAUUUUUUAUGAGUGCAUGUAGUUUAUAAUUGAAUGUAGUUGGUUUAAUUGAUGAUUGAAUGGUGUUAGGGUAUAAUAUGGUUUUGAAUGGUGGCAAAAGAAUACAUUUUGAGUAUGUUUGAUACUUUGCACACAAAGUGUUUGAUAAAAUGUGUCAAUGACAAAUUUAUUGAUUAUUUAGUUAGUUUAGGUAUUGGAUACGAUCUUGAUUGUAAUUUGAAAAAAUGUAUGUUGAAUUAAGUUGAAUGCAUAUUGAAAAACUGUAUAUUGAAUUAGGUUGAAUGUGUAUAUUGAAUUAUGUUUAGUUUAGGUUGAAUGUGUAUGAUAAUGCAUUUGAUUUUUUACGUUUGAAUGUUAAUGAUAAUGUGUAUGAUAAUGUUUAGGUUUAAUCAAUGUCUUUAUUUUGGUAAAGUGGUUUAAUGUGAAAGCGGUUAAGUUUAGGUUAUGUUUAGGUUGAAUGUGAAAGUCUAGGUUUUGUUUAGGUUUAGUGUUUGUUGAUAAAGUGGUUGAAUGAUAUUAAUUUUUUAUUUUUAUUUUUUGUAGAUAUGGCCGAUCAGGACCCCAUUGAUCCAUCGAAGAUGAUUGGUGGUAGGCGUGCCAUGACUCAGAGCCACCGUAGGGAGAGGCAGGGCGGCCACAUCCCAAAGAGGGGUAGAGGUCGAAGAGGAGAUGGCUCAGGAAGCUCUCAGGCUACACAGCCUGAGGAGUCACAGGUUGUUGACCCGCCACAGCCUGUUGACCAGACUGGGGUGGAGUACCUGAACUAUCAGAAUCAGGUACAGCAUGAUGUGACGGAUGGUGGAUAUGACCAGGAUCAUAUACCACAGCAGCAGGAUGCAGGAGACGAGGAUGACAUUGCAGCAGCUGCUGCACCGGAGGUGUUACCUACGGACCCUCCAUUUCCUGGUGGACCGGAGGACCUGUCAUUGCUCCACUCUUAUGCCGAUCAUGUGGCUUUGCCACUCUGGUAUAAUUCAAAUAAUGUAAGUGUAUUUAUUUUAAAUGUUUUUUCUUUAUGUUAAAAUAUUUUCUUUAAUUUAAAUGUGUGUUUGUUUAAUUAUUGUUAUCAUGGUUUUUGGGUGCCAAGCCAUUAAUUGGACUUGAACCUUUUGACCGUUGAUAUCUCUCUUUUUUCUUGGGAAGGGUAAAAGGAGAAAAACCCUUGAGUUUCCGAAUUCGGGGGUCGUUUUCGCUACGGGAAGGUGUUAGGCACCCGGAGCGAUUAUGGUAUUCCAUAAGAACCGCUUUCCUAAGUUUAUUUCUAUGCUUUAGUUUUAUUGCUUAUUUGUAAAAAAAGAAGGUGUGAUUAGUUAAGAACGGGGGUGAGAAGGAGUAGAAUUUGAUUUUUAUUUCGGCUUGGAUGAGUUUUGACUCAUUGCCUACGUACCGUUUUACGGGAUCAAAACCGAUCGUAGUUCGUUCUCAAAAAUGGUUUUUGUUUUUGUUGAUUGAUUUUAAGUUUGAAAAGAGAUUUUGAAGAAUAGAGAUGAGAGGCCUCAAGGGCAUAAGAUUUGGAAAAUGUGAGGUGGAAUUAGUUACUUUGCAAAAUGACGUCUAAGUAUGAUUAAAAUUUAUUAGAAAUUUUACUUAAGAAAAUAAAAGGGAAAUAAGGAGUUUUGACUCCUAUUUUAUUUUCAAAAAGGUUUUCAAGUGAGGUUAUUUGCAUGUUUUGGAAAAAGUUGGAUUUUCUCUAAGUGUUCAAAACUAAACGUUCAUCUAAUCAUGCAAUCCUAGCCAUACAUCUAUGCAUACAAUCCUAAGCAUACAUCUAGGGUGAGUGUGUGCGUGUCGGUGUGUCAUAGUGUCCAUAGUCCAUAUUACAAAAAUUCCCUAAAUACAUUCUAUGGCCCCUUUGCCAAGCUACAAACCAAUGGUAAAAUAUUACAUCACCGAAUGAAUUACAAUUUGCAAAAAAAGAAAACUAAACUAAAGGAGACAAUAGUGAAGAUGGUGAAGUGCUAUGAAGUGAUCAAUAUGAAAGGAAAUGUUAGUAGAAAAUGGUAAAAAAAGAAAGAAUGUGGCAUGAAGCGAUGGAAGAAAGUAUGGCAUAAAACAGUAAAGUGACGAUGAAAAUAAGCCGGAAACAUGUAACGAAUAAUGCACAUGAUGCAAGAACAAAACUCAACACAUCAGAACAGUGGCGUAUGCAUAGCAAACAGUAGCAAAAUUCAUAUGGAAUAGUAUGCAAAUCAAACAUGACGAACACGAUCAUCAUGCACAUGAAGUAACGGGUAAAAAUGCGAGAAAAGUGACUAAAAAAAUAGUAAAAACCCUUGACAAAACAACACUAAAAUUUUUACCAACUUUUCCAAGCAAAAUACCACUGAAAAUUACCAAGAAAAAUAGUAAAAUGACAUGGUAAAUUUCUUGGAAUUUAUUGAUAAAAAUUAACAUGAAUAAAGGGUGCAAACAGCAGGCAAGUAUGGUGCAAAUAGCAAAAAAUAAACAAAAACGUGAAAAGAAAUCUAAGCCCAACCCAAAGCCCAAUGCAGACUGGACCUGGAUCAUCCAAAGGCCUCAGAGGCGUUAGAUUGAUCCAGACCUAGAUCUGACGGUUCAAAAUAAGCAGCGCAUGGUAACACAGAUCAAGCACAUGGAAACAACGCAUCAUAACCAUUCAAAUGAAAAAACCCUAGAUCCUACGGUUCAAGAUGAAAACAAAAUAAACCGGACCGGUUCAAACGUCUAUAUAAGGACGUGGACACCGGUCCAGUCCAUUUCUUUCAUCUCUUUCUCUCUCUAAGCUUCCCUCUCCUCUCGCCUCUCUCCAGAACCUCACCGCCGGUGAGGAUGAAGCUACGGCGGAGACCUUGAAGGUCCGCCGGAAACUUCAUCUUCUCCGGCGAGACUAUGAACUUCCGGUGACCUAAAAAUUCCAGAACUUAAAGAUUUUUGCAUAUUUCGAUUCGUCCUUUAACCCUAAACACGAAUCCAGCAAUUAUUUUUUCAAAUACGGCCUGAAACGACGUAGAUCUAAAACUUUUCAUACGGUUUUGAAAAUGAUUUUGAUCUUUUUGAAAUAAAACGUUUAGAUCUUUAAAGAUCUACAUCGUUUCGUUGUUUGAUUCCGUUUCUGGUACUCGUUCUUGCUUUCAAAAUUUAGAUCCUUAUGGAUCUAGAUUUCGUGCUUACGGUUACGGUUUUCUCUUUGAAUUCUGGAAAUUUUUAGAUCUGUUUCUCGCGUGAUUUUGCAGGUUUAAAUUAUGAUUAUUUUCUGAGAAAAGAUUCUGAGUUUUACCUAAGGUUUUGGUUGAAACCUUUAAUGGAGGAAAUCUUUGGGAGAACUUGAAUCUGUUGUUUUCUGAUGAUUCUUGAUUCUUCCGCUUGCUUCACCGGUCCAGAUUCUGCAGAUUCUGCUUCUUUCCUUCUUCUUUCUCUUCACUGCUUCCUCGUGAUCAGUGCUUGAGCUCGUCGCGUUUCAGUGAUGAACUCGCACUUUGAAUUGCGAGGAAAUUGGUUCUGUGAUGAUGAUUCCGUAUUGAAUCUCUGAGAAUCAAUGAGUAAUCAAAGAAACUUUGUUGAAUUCUGUUGAAUUUGGUGUUUUUGUGUUGAUUCGGUGGAAAUCAAUGGUGGAUUGAGGUGGUUAUGGUUUCUGCCAUUGAUGAAUCUUUGAAGCUUUUUUUGUUGAUUCUGUUUUGGUGAGUUGGCACUUGGUGAAUGAAAAACGUCUGAAAUUCAUUGCCACUGUGUUGCUUUUAUAGCUGACAAGUGUACUGUCUGGCCAAUGGAAAACUGACACAUGUCCUGGACUUGUGAUUUGGGCGCUGCCUUGUAAUUUAGGACUUUGAGGACCUCCCUGCAAUUUUGUAAAAUAUGGAACUGGACUGCAAUUUUAAACAGAACUAAAAAGUAUAAAAAUUGGACAAUUUGGACUUAAAUGCAAUUUUAACAAAAUUAAGGGACUAAUAAUGCAAAAAUAAAAAUAAAAUGAAUUAAAAUUUGUAAUUUUGACCAAACGUAAAGCGAAACAAAAAUAAAAUUGACAAAACGGACUAAAACGAACCAAUGGCCUAAAUGAGGUACUUCAAAGUAACCUCUCUAUGCUAAAAUUUUAUGUGAAAUGACCAAAAUGCCCCUAGGGCUAAAAAUGACCUAAACAGACUCAAAUUGACUUGACACUGACUCAGAUGCAAGUUUGAAAUGAUUUUAGCAAGGUUUACUGAUGAAAUGUAAAAAAGAAUCAAUUUGAAAAGACUCAGAGACAGUCACAAGGAUGAAAAUGGGUCCCACUGCGGGAAAUGACCAAAAUACCCUUCUGUACAAUUUUUGCAAAUUUUGAAAUAAACUGUAGAAAAAGCAGUGUAAUGAUUCAGAGACACUUUUGAAUGACUUACAAGACAAGUAAAGACAUUCCGAAAGGUUUUAUGCAAGAAAAACAUAGGUAAAAUUGUGAUUGAAAAUACUGCGAGGCAGAGACAAUUUGAACUGUGCAGUUGAAAUUUGAUAAUUGACAAAGUUUGAAAUGAAAUUGGGCCCAGUAUUUUUAGGUCCAAAAACAGGGUAUAACAGCUGCCCCUAUUUAAGUUUCUUCGUCUGGAGAGUCAAGAGACGGAGUCUUUGGCUUGACAGGACGAAGAUACUUAAAUAUUAGCAUUUGCACUGUGUUUGGACGUAAAAAUACGCCUACCCAUUUUCAAAUAAUAUGCAUGCCAUGCAUCAUUUGGAUUAUGAAUGCAAGACCUCAUGGGGAUUGGAAUUAACAAAGUAUGUCGUAUCCAUUGCGGGAUUGGUAGACAUUGACAAGAUAACAUAUAACAGGGUAGACAGCAGACUAGAAGCAAAUUGACGGGUACAAGCUGCUCUUGGAUUGAGCUGGGCACUUGACCAAACAGAAACAUGUUGACAGGUACAAGCUGCUCUUGGAGUGAGCUGGGCACUUGACCGAUAAUGUUGAAAAGUAAACAGAUACAAGCUGUUCUUGAAUUGAACUGGCCACUUGAUUGAAAAACAAAGACACAAAGAUAGGUACAAGCUGUUCUUGGAUCGAACCUGCCACUUGACCACACAGAAACAAAGGCACGAGCUGUUCUUGGAUCGAACCUGCCACUCGACCAAAUAGAAACAAAUUGAUGGGUACAAGCUGUUCUUUGGAUCGAACUUGCCACUUGACCAGACAGAAACAAAGGUACGAGCUGUCCUUGGAUCGAACUUGCCACUCGACCAAACAGAAACAAAUUGAUGGGUACAAGCUGUUCUUUGGAUCGAACUUGCCACUUGACCAGAAAGAAAGAAAUUGACGGGUACAAGCUGUUCUUUGGAUCGAACUUGCCACUUGACCAAACAGAAACAAAGGUACGAGCUGUUCUUUGGAUCGAACUUGCCACUCGACCAGACAGAAACAAAGGUACGAGCUGUCCUUGGAUCGAACUUGCCACUCGACCAAACAGAAACAAAUUGAUGGGUACAAGCUGUUCUUUGGAUCGAACUUGCCACUUGACCAGAAAGAAAGAAAUUGACGGGUACAAGCUGUUCUUUGGAUCGAACUUGCCACUUGACCAGAAAGAAAGAAAUUGACGAGGGGAUUGGUUUGUUUUGACAAAAUAUAUAUUGAAAGUGACUUGACGUCGAUUUAAUUUGAAAAGUAGAAAUUGACCAAUAUUAUUGGCUCACAAGAUAACAGGGGUGUUGGUUAUUGACUUGAAAUUGGCAUUGCUAUUUGAAUUGAAAUUGACAUUGAUACUUGAAUUGAAAUUGACGUUGACAUUGAAUUUGAAAUUUGACAUUGAAUUGAAAUUGACAUUGAUAUUGACAUUGAAUUGAGAUUGACAUUGACAUUUGAAUUGAGAUUGACAUUGAUAUUGAAUUGAAAUUGACAUUGAUAUUGAAUUUGACAUUUGUAUUGGAAAUUGAAUGUGACAAUUGACAUUUGAACUGAAAUUUGACACUGACAUUGAUAUUGGAAAUGCAACAUGUAUGGAUGGUAUAACAAUUUUUAUCAGAUGUAUAGACAUGUAAUAUGCAUGAUCAUGCAUGUAUGAAUGAUUGAAAUGCAUGAUGGUUGACAGUUUGUAGACACGACUUCACGGGGAAGACAAGACAUUAGAGUAUUGGGCACGUAGUGGCUCGUGCUACAUCAUAGAAAUCCUCUUUGGAGAUAACGCCGUUGGGAGACGUACCAGAACCAUGGCUGAGGGUAGAUAGCUAAUCAACUUGCUGGGGAUAGAAUCUUGGAAGACCCGACUGGGGAUAACGCCGUUAUGCUGGGCAUUUCAGUGCUGGGUAUGUUGUAGAUAUCGCAUCUGUGGUCAAUGCUUUUUGCAUGUUAUAUUCUCAUUUUUCACAUCCUAUUUUUGCCUGGAUCGCCCUUUCGGGUUUUCGAUCCACCGGGAAAAUAGAUUCUUUUCUUGCCCCAUUUUUGCCUGAACUGCCCUUUUGGGGUUGUCAAUCCAGCGGGGUGCUCAUUUUUGCCUAAGUCGCCCUUUCGGGUUUUCAACUUAGCGAGCUCAUUUAUUUUCAUGCAUUUUCAUUCUGUUUUUUCAUUCUUGCCAUUGACCACAGACUAUCCUGGGGAAGAGCCUGCUUGUAACACAUAUUGAAAUAGACAUCAACAUAUACUCGCUCAUGCAUGUUUCAUUUGAAUGUACCCUGUUGCUCAGGUUUGCUUUUCAAAAUAGACAAAAAGUUUUCAAUUUUUAAAAUGUUUGUUUCAAGCAUUGUCAUUAUCAAAAUAGAAAGAAAAAUGUUUUGUAUAUAGCUUUGAAAGUAGAAGAAAAAAUAGAGUUUUCAAACAAAAGCAAAGGCUCAAAUUGAUGUAUAAGAGUGGUGGUCAGCCAAAGGCAUGACUCCACGGAUUCACAAAGCUUGGAAAAUGGUAAUUUUAUUGGUUGGUGGUACAUUGAACACAGUAACCACUACAGUUCUUAGAAACUUUGAAUUCACAAGUACAGAAGCUUCUGAUGGAGACGGUCAUUAACAGCUGCAGAUGCCCCAAGGGGAUUGUGAUUUGCCAGAUAUAGUUACUUGCCUUUUGUUUCAAUCUCAUUUUUGCAUGAACCGCCCUUUCGGGUUUUCGGCUCAUCGAGACGCUCAUUCUUGCCUGAGUUGCGUACAAUCUCAGCGAGCUUUUUCAUAUUUGUUUUUUUUGUCCCUUAUUUUUGCCUGGAUCGCCCUUUCGGGUUUUCGAUCCACCGGGAAGCGCAUUUUUGCCUAGGCCGCCCUUUCGGGUUUUCGACCUACCACGCUGUUCUUUUCAUAUAUCUAGGCGAAGUAUUUCUUGACUAUAUCAGCAUUCACAGGAUUUGGAAGUUCAACACCAUCCAUGUGAGUAAGAAUCAAAGCACCACCGGAGAAGGCCUUCUUGACAACAUAAGGACCUUCAUAGUUAGGCGUCCACUUGCCCCUUGGGUCGGGUUGCUGGCUUAUCCUCCUUUUCAAUACAAGUUCACCUUCCUUGAAUUCUCGAGGACGGACUUUCUUGUCAAAAGCAUCUUUCAUUCUUGCUUGAUAUGACUGUCCACGAGCCAUGGCAUCCAUACGUUUUUCCUCAACCAAAUUCAACUGAUCAUACCGGCUUUGGCACCAUUCAGCCUCGGAUAACUUUGCUUCCAUGAUCACACGGAGAGACGGAAUCUCCACUUCCAAAGGAAGAACUGCUUCCAUACCAUAUACAAGAGAGAAAGGGGUUGCCCCGGUUGAACUGCGCACUGUAGUACGGUAGCCAUGCAAAGCAUAGGGCAACAUCUCAUGCCAAUCUUUGUAAGUGGUUACCAUCUUCUGGACAAUCUUCUUGAUAUUCUUAUUGGCUGCCUCAACUGCGCCAUUCAUCUGAGGCCUAUAAGGAGAAGAGUUGUGAUGCUCAAUUUUGAAUUCUUCACAAAGAGCUUGCACUACAUUGUUGUUCAAGUUGGUACCAUUGUCGGUAAUGAUCUUGCUGGGAACACCAUAUCGACAGAUGAUGUUGUUCCUGAUGAACUUGGCUACCACUUGCUUGGUUACAUUGGUAUAAGAUGCAGCUUCGACCCAUUUGGUGAAGUAGUCAAUUGCCACUAAGAUGAAACGAUGACCGUUUGAAGCCUUCGGUUCAAUUCUUCCAAUCAUGUCUAUGCCCCACAUUGAAAACGGCCAUGGGGAUGUCAUAACAUUGAGAGCGUGCGGAGGCACAUGGAUCUUGUCAGCAUAAAUUUGACAUUUGUGGCAUUUUCUGGCGUGCUGGUAGCAAUCAUGCUCCAUGGUCAUCCAGUAGUAACCUGCCCGUAACAACUUUCUUGACAUAGUAUGCCCUGUAGCAUGGGUCCCGAAGGUACCGUCAUGUACAUCAUGCAUUAACUGCUCUGCUUCAUGUUCAUCAACACAUCUUAACAAUACCAUGUCAUAGUUUCUUUUGUACAGAAUAUCUCCAUCCAACAGGAAUCUACUGGCCAAUCUUCUCAGGGUCUUCUUGUCUUGUUUGGAAGCACCUGGCGGAUACUCACGGCUUAGCAAGAACUGUUUGAUGUCGUAAUACCAGGGUUUAUAGUCAACCACAUUUUCACCAGCCUGAUCGAUCACAUCCCCAAUAGCAAACACAUGUGAAGGUCUUUCAAGGCGUUGCACUCUGAUUAUUGGCACAUCAUUCCAAUGGUUCACUCGAAACAUGGAAGAUAGAGUAGCCAGAGCAUCAGCCAUUUGGUUCUCAUCACGAGGGAUAUGGUGCAACUCAACCUUUGUAAAAUAUGUCAGCAAACGUCUCGCAUAAUCACGGUAAGGAAUCAACUUGUCAUGAUGGGUCACCCAUUCACCCUUUAUCUGGUUGAUGACAAGUGCAGAAUCUCCAUAGAUGUCGAGGUGUUUGAUUCUCAUGUCAAUUGCUUCCUCGAUCCCGAAGAUACAUGCUUCGUAUUCAGCCAUAUUGUUUGUACAUUCGAAUAGAAUCCGGGCGGUAAAAGGAAUGUGAUGCCCCUGCGGGGAUACAAUGACUGCUCCGAUUCCUUUACCAUAAGCAUUGACAGCACCAUCAAAGACUAAACCCCACUUGCUAUUGGGAUCUGGACCUUCAUUAAUCAACGGUUCUUCGCAGUCUUUUGAUUUCAAAUACAUGAUCUCUUCAUCGGGGAAAUCGAACUCAAUUGGUUGGUAAUCAUCAAGAGGUUGGUAGGCAAGAUGAUCGGCAAGAAUGCUACCUUUGAUUGCCUUUUGAGUUUUGAACACAAUAUCAUAUUCAGACAAAAGCAUCUGCCAUCGUGCAAUCUUCCCAGUAACAGCAGCUUUCUCAAAGAUAUACUUGAUUGGAUCCAUUCUAGAUAUCAACCAAGUUGUAUGAUUCACCAAAUAAUGACGCAGGCGUUUGGCAGCCCAAGCUAGAGCACAACAAGUCUUCUCAAGCAUUGUAUACCGAGUUUCACGGUCGGUGAACUUCUUGCUUAGAUAGUAGAUGGCAUGUUCUUUCUUUCCAGUCUCAUCUUGUUGACCAAGUACGCAUCCCAUGGAUUCAUCAAAUACUGCCAAGUACAUAAUCAAAGGCCUUCCUUCCACGGGUGGGACAAGGAUAGGUGGUUUCAGCAGGUAAUUCUUGAUGCUAUCAAAAGCUUCUUGGCAUUCAUCAUUCCACACAAUAGGCUGAUUCUUUCUGAGUAGCUUGAAGAUCGGCCCGCAGGUUGCAGUCAUAUGAGAUAUGAAUCGGGAGAUGUAAUUCAAACGUCCGAGGAAACCUCUGACUUGCUUCUCGGUCCGUGGAGCUGGCAUUUCUCGGAUGGCCCGGACUUUAUCAGGAUCGACUUCAAUGCCUUUUUGGCUGACAAUGAAGCCUAAUAACUUUCCGGAUCUGACGCCGAAUGUACAUUUGUUAGGAUUCAAUCGAAGCUUGUACUUUCUCAACCUUUCGAACAUCUUUGUCAAAUAUUCAACAUGCUGCUCCUCAUCUGUUGACUUUACAAUCAUGUCGUCCACAUAUACUUCGACUUCUUUGUGAAUCAUAUCAUGAAACAGAGUAGUCAUUCCCCUUUGAUAGGUAGCACCAGCGUUAAUUAGGCCGAAUGGCAUCACCUUGUAGCAGAAAGUCCCCCAUGGGGUGAUAAAAGAUGUCUUUUCUCUAUCUUCAGGAGACAUUUUGAUCUGAUUGUAACCGGAGAAACCGUCCAUGAAGGAGAACACCUUAGACUGAGCAGUAUUAUCAACAAGCACAUCAAUAUGAGGUAAUGGGAAGCUGUCUUUUGGACUGGCUUUGUUCAAGUCUCUGAAGUCAACACACAUCCGGACUUUACCAUCCUUCUUUGGCACAGGUACAAUAUUGGCAACCCAUUCAGGGUAUUCAACUGUCAUGAGGAAACCCGCAUCAAUCUGUUUUUGAACCUCACUCUUAAUCUUAAGAGCCAUAUCUGGAUGAGUCCUUCUCAAUUUCUGCCUGCCGGGAGGACAUUCAGGCUUUGUGGGGAUCCGAUGCUCCACAAUUUUAGGAUCUAGACCUGGCAUAUCCUCAUACGACCAUGCAAAGAUGUCCGGAUAUUCCCGGAGGAGCUGGAUGAUCUUCUUUUUAACCCCUUCCUCUAGAGCAGCACCGAUCUUGAUUUCUCGCUUGUUUUCCUCGGUACCUAUGUUGAUAAGCUCAAUCUCUUCUUGGUGAGGCUGAAUAGCUUUCUUUUCUUGCUCAAGUAACCGAGUGAUCUCAUAUGGUAUGUCACUUUCUUCAUCUUCAGCUUCGUAUACCGGGAAUUCAAAGUUUGGAAGAGGCAUAGGAUUACUAUGUUCAAUGGGUUUAUUAUGGUUCAACCUGCAUAUAAUGAUUGGAUGAUUUUAGAAAGAGUUUUUUUUCAUGCGGGUUUUUGAAAUUAAUAAGAAAAUACAGAUGUUUUGGUUUUUUCUGGUAUUACCAUUAUUUCCAAGGAAAAAAGCACUUAAAAAAAAAGCAGUCGUGAAAGAAACGACAAUUUUUAUUCAUCAACGGCAAUGCCGAAACAAACGCGCCCUUACAGAAAAUAUCACUUUCGCUUUGGGCAGAGCGAGAGGAUUGUUAUUUUGAAAACAAAGUACUAAAGCAACAAGACGCAUUACUCGGAAACAUGCAUGAUUGAAGGAAUGUCAAUGGCAUCCCAAUCUCUAGCAAUGCCUCCUGGUAUGACAAAAAUGGGCCUGAGACCAGAUCCAGUUGCUUCUUCAGUGAUAGCAUUAACAAACCCAGCACUGUGGAAGACUCCCGAGGAAACCCUUGAUGACGGGGAGAACCCGAGACCUUCUUUACGCUUGUUCUCAUGAAGCUGUAUCACCUUGCCCCAGCCGGCAGUCUGACCUUCUUGAAUAACCCUCUGAGCAUCUUUCAAUGAAGCCAUAGCAGCCCCAGCUUUCUUAGGCUCCGCGCCUUCAAUGGUCAAACCUUGGAAAGCAGUCCCUUCAGCAGACCCUGCUUCAAUACAAGAGAAGGAAGACAGCUGGCUGACUAAAUAUGCUUCUUCACCAUGGACUGUAACGAGUUUUCCAUUCUUCACAAACUUUAACUUCUGAUGCAAGGUGGAGGUUACCGCGCCCGCGUCAUGUAUCCAAGGCCUUCCCAAGAGGCAGCUGUAUGAAGCAUUAAUAUCCAUGACUUGGAACGUGAUUAAGAAGUUCUCAGGGCCAACAGUUAUUGGCAAAUCUAUCUCCCCGAGGACAUUCUUGCGGGACCCAUCAAAUGCUUUCACUAGGAAAGUGCUUCUUCUUAGCGGAGUCUCACGGUAGCUCAACUGGUCCAGCGUUGACUUGGGCAUUACAUUCAAAGACGAUCCUGUGUCCACCAGCACAUUAGACAACAUAUCAGAUUUACAAUUCACCGAAAUAUGCAAAGCCAAAUUGUGGCACUUUCCCACUUCAGGUAACUCGUCUUCACCAAACCACAGAUUGUUACAAGCUGUAAUAUUCCCCACUAUAUCACCAAACCGAUCCUCGGUAACCUCAUGGUCGACAUACGCUUGCUCCAACACCUUCAACAAAGUCUUUCUGUGAGCCUCAGAACUCAGAAGCAAAGAUAGGACAGAUAUCUUCGACGGCGUUUGUAAUAACUGAUCCACGAUCUUAUAAUCGCUCCUUUUGAUUAUCCUCAGGAUCUCGUCCAGGUUGGAGUCCUCUAGAGACUGACUGGACUGUCCCACACCUUGAACAACGGGAGAUACAUCAGUCGGGAUUGACUUAUCAGCAGGUGAUGCAGCAGGUAUCUUUUGCUGGAACAAAGGAGGACGAACUCUUCCACUCCUUAACACCGCUGUGGUCCCUUCAACAUUGUUAUUCAUCACAACUGAGGACGCCAAAGGUGCCUCCUUUCCAUCUUCAACAACGGUAGCAUUAUACUUAUAAGGGACGGCCUUGUCUGAGGUAUAAGGUACCGGCCCAGGCAACCUUAUCACUAGUGGCACCACGUUCUCUCUCAUGGGUGAACUCCUUGCAGGCACAUCAUGGAAUACCGGCACAAUUACACAAACAUCACUAACAGUCAGAUGAUUAUCAUUCAUCAAGCUCUGGAUAUCCUCUUGCACAACGCGGCAACCCAAGGGAUUAAGGGCGCACUCGGAGCAACUGUCAUGAUCAUGUUUAAACAAAGAAGCCUGGCAAAGUUUAACAUGCAGGGGCACCAAAGGAGUCGCAACAUUACGGACAUCUAGUUUGGGCGCUUCUUCAUACGCUUCAAUCAUGUUUACUGCAGCAUGGUCUGGAAGAGGGUUAUCAAGGACAUGAGGAGUACUGUUCUCAAAAGUCAGCUUUCCUUGGUCAAUAAGCCUCUGGACAAUAUACUUUAAAGCAUAACACCUCUCAACGUCGUGACCCAAGGCCCCCUGAUGAAAGUCACACUUGAGAUCAGUACGAAACCUUGGUGGUAAUGGAUCUGGCGGAGGCCUACCCUGCCUAGUCGUACAAUGACCUCUCUGAAGUAAUGUUGGAAGUAAAUCAGCAUACAACAUCGGGAUUGGAGGAAAAGUAGGCCUAGCAAAAUGCUGCUGUUGUUGCUGUUGUUGUUGCUGAACUGGUGGUUGUUGUGGCUUCUGUUGCACAAUAGCAUUCACGGGUACCUGAGGUGGUCCUGAUGGCAAAGGAUAUUGAUGGUAAAACGGUGGGAAGAAUGGAUGCUGAGAAUAUGGUGUACAGGGGUAUGGUGGAGGUAGCUGAGCAACAUUAACAGGGGCGACAGUAGCCGUAGACUGACCUGCUCCCGAGGAUACCAUUCCAACCUCUGUUUCCUUCUUCUUGUGGUGGCCAUUGCCAUACCUCUUCGACCCACUUGUAGAAGACUCACCCUUCUCAAAUACAAUGAUACCCUCUCUGACGGCCUCCUCUAGACGAGUCCCCAUAGUUACCAUUUCAGAAAAGUUGCUAGGGGCAGCAAUAAUCAUCCUUUCAAUGUAGUCUUUCUUCAAGGUUUUCAAGAAAGUUUGGGUCAUCUCCUCUUCUUCUAGAGCGGGAGUAAUACGGGCAGCAGCUCUCCUCCAUCUUUGGGCAUAUUCACGGAAACUUUCGUCCUUCUUCUGAGAGAGGGACCUGAGAGAUUCCCUAUUUGGCUUUAAUCUGGUAUUGAACCCGUAAUGACUCUUGAAGGCAGCAGAUAACUCGUCAAAAGUAUGGAUGUCAUCCUUGCUCAAACCAGUAUACCACUCUGCAGCAUCUUCCAUCAGACUAUCCUGGAAGCAGUGGAUCAUAAGUGAGUCAUUGUCUUUGUAAUUUCCCAUCUUGCGGACAUAUUUGAUGAUAUGAUUUUGAGGACAAGUCAGCCCGUUGUACUUGUCGAACUCCGGGAGCUUGAAUUUCUUCGGAAUGUCUACUUUGGAUACCAAACAUAGGUCGCGAGCUUUGGCGGAGUCACCGCUCCUUUGACUAGCCUUGAUUUCCUGUCUGAGCUCUCUAGCAAGUUGUUCCAUCAUCUCCUCCAUAGUUCCAGUUACUGGAGUAUUCCUGCGGAGUACCUCAGCAUGUGUACCUUGGGAAGUUGUGGCCAUGAUGGGCUCAGCCAUAGUCGAAGUUGCUUGAGUUGAUGUAGUGUUGAUAGAAGUCAUAUUAAUCCCAGGAAUUGGGCCAUUGUUAGCUGUGCCAGAGGUUCCUGCUGUAGUACUUGGAGUGAAGAACGGUGGAAGCCCAUAUGGAAACCCCACUGGCAUAGUAAAGCGAGUGUCUGCAGAAGUGGUUGGGAGCACGCUUGUAGUCACCGGUGCAGUUGUGGCUGUAGGGAUAGCUGUAGCUGAUUGCUCUUGAGCGGCUAGCAGAGCAGUCAUGACAUCAUUAGCUUUAGCCAAUUCCUCCCUUAGAGUGGCUAACUCGGUGCGGAGCUGAGCGUUCUCUUCUUCCAUAGCCCUUUUCUUUCUUCUGUAUUCUCUGGUUCGAUCAAUUCUAUCAGGUUCGUAGACCCUCUGAGUACGAGCCACUUUUCACACUGCGGCAGAGGAACCAGGAGAUAGUGAGCAUUUGGGAGCCUUUGUGACCAAUGCAUGAUGCAUAUGAUGCAUGAUAUGCAAAUGCAAAUGCGAAAGACUUAUUUUUUCAUCGAAGGAUUUUUAAACAAAUUAGAAAUCUUGCAAAUAAUCAAAACUACAUAGUGUUUUCAAAAAGGAAGACUUUGAAAUUUCAACAAGAUAAACAAAUGAAGCCCUCAAGCAUAGGAAGUAGUCGGAGCAUCAUCGGACUCGGAAUCUGAAUCACCGUAUCUGGCAAAGAAGUCUCGUCGUCCUCUAGCUCUCUUGGAAUCCCUCAUAAGCAGCUCGUCUUUCUCUUCCAAUUCUCUCCGGACCUUAGCUAAUUCCUUCUUCAACAUCAGGUUAUCAUGAGUCUUCUGCUCAUCUCUACCAUCCAAAGUCAUGAUUAGAUUCUCAGCUUGAUUGUACCGAGCUUUCCACACUUGCUUCUCACGACUCUCCAUAGCUAGAUGCUCCUGAUACAUAUCCUGAGUCGUGGGGAGUAGAGGUAGAGGCAUAGAUGGAGUAGAUGAAGACACGUAUCUCAUAGCUGGAUAAGGCAUGCCAAUCUCCUCAGCUCGAUCUAUCACCCACUGAGUAUAGGCCUCGUGAGCAAUACCGGAUCUCACACCUAGAUGCUUCACACUCUUCCUUCGAACCUUGGACCAAGCAUCCAUGAAAGCUUUCCUUUGCCCGGUAGGAGCAUUCGUGUAGAAGAAGAACUCUGGAGAUGUAGCAAGACUGAUGGGCUUCGACUUCAUAGGGAAACCAAACUGUCUCAUAGCAAGCUCGGGGUUGUAGUUGAUUCCUCCACGGGUACCAAGAAGAGGUACAUUGAGAAAGUCUCCACAACCCAUAAUGAUUUCCUUCACCUGAGCGGCAGGAGUGAGCCAGACGACCUCAUUAGGAGUGAGAGCCAUAAUUCGCUGCGAGUAGGACCAAUUCUCCGAGUUGUCAUGGAAGGAACUCGGAAGGUGCGAAAUAAACCACCUAUACAAAAGAGAUAUGCAGCAAAGAAUAUACCCACGGCCCUUGAGAGUCCUGUCAUGAAUGGCGUGGUAGGUAUCUGCUAGCAAAGUAGGAACCGGGUUCUUGGAAUGGAAGAUCUCGAUAGCAUUCAUGUCCACGAAAUUGUCGAGGUUCGGAAAGAGAAUGAGCCCGUAGAUAAGCAAAGCAAGAAUAGCCUCGAGUGUAUCCUGACGAGUAGUGCUGAGAUUAGCCUGAUCAAGAAGAUACUUUGAAGUGAACCCCCGGAUGUGGGACUUGGUAAUAAGAUGGUUAGAGACGUCGGAAGUCUUGAGGUAGAGAUCUUUUGCAAUAACCAGAGGAGUAAGAGAAGUCCCGGGACCGGUGAAAGGCGUCUUCUCGGCUAUAGGUAAACCCACUAGAUUGGAAUAAGCCUCGAGCGUAGGAACCAACUGGAAGUCCGGGAAAGUGAAGCAACGGAAGCUCGGAUCAUAAAAUUGCACUAGAGUGUGCACUAGCUUCUCUUCCACAUCGGUUCGGAGCAAAGUAAGCAAUCCCCCAUACCGGAGUCGGAACCCUGUUUGACUCUUGACCUUAAGUGCCAACUCUCUCAAACUAACCAAAUCCACUUCCUUGAACUUGUAGCACUUAGUCUUCUUCAUACCUGUGAUUAUUUACAAAAAUUUCCAUUUGUUUAAGCCCUUCGAUGAAUGCAUGAAAAAUGUUUAUGCAUGAAUGCAUGUAUGCAUGAUAUUUUUUUCCUUUUCAAUUACGGAGAAAACAUGGAGGGUUGAGAUUAAAGUCGAGGAGCAAUGGGCGGACACGAUGCCCGGUAAACUAAAGUUUAGGAUAAUAGUAACCAAGGUUCCUAAUGAAGUUCCCAAACUGCAACCUCUCUUACGUAUAUCAUGGUGGCACGGGACAACAUCCGUUCCAUGCUUAUUCGUAAGAAGGUCUAGUUUGAGUGUAGUAUCGCGUGACGACUAAAGCUUGAGACAACACUCAAUUUAGCCACCGCACUACAUCUAAAAAAAAGGCCAAGGAUGGGCUUGGUAACUACGGUCCAUAGCAUCGUCGAACAAUUGAAAGCAAAAUGCCUAAGCAUGACAACACACGCCGACAAUAUUACUUUCAAAAUGCCUCAGCUAUGUGAGAUUGAUCGCAUAAUCCAAUACACGAGGCAACCCCCGGAUCGAAUUGUCGAUUAUAUCUCUACCUAAACAUAAGUUCACUCAGCCCGGGUAUAGGACUUUUGAUAUUCUCACCCCACACGUCAAAGGAAAAUAAACAAGUAUUCACAUAUGUAAGCAAUAAAACAAAGCGUAAAUAUAAACUAUGGAAAACUAGGCGUGACCCGAAUUAAUAUCCCCAGUGAAGUCGCCAUUUCUGUUAUCAUGGUUUUUGGGUGCCAAGCCAUUAAUUGGACUUGAACCUUUUGACCGUUGAUAUCUCUCUUUUUUCUUGGGAAGGGUAAAAGGAGAAAAACCCUUGAGUUUCCGAAUUCGGGGGUCGUUUUCGCUACGGGAAGGUGUUAGGCACCCGGAGCGAUUAUGGUAUUCCAUAAGAACCGCUUUCCUAAGUUUAUUUCUAUGCUUUAGUUUUAUUGCUUAUUUGUAAAAAAAGAAGGUGUGAUUAGUUAAGAACGGGGGUGAGAAGGAGUAGAAUUUGAUUUUUAUUUCGGCUUGGAUGAGUUUUGACUCAUUGCCUACGUACCGUUUUACGGGAUCAAAACCGAUCGUAGUUCGUUCUCAAAAAUGGUUUUUGUUUUUGUUGAUUGAUUUUAAGUUUGAAAAGAGAUUUUGAAGAAUAGAGAUGAGAGGCCUCAAGGGCGUAAGAUUUGGAAAAUGUGAGGUGGAAUUAGUUACUUUGCAAAAUGACGUCUAAGUAUGAUUAAAAUUUAUUAGAAAUUUUACUUAAGAAAAUAAAAGGGAAAUAAGGAGUUUUGACUCCUAUUUUAUUUUCAAAAAGGUUUUCAAGUGAGGUUAUUUGCAUGUUUUGGAAAAAGUUGGAUUUUCUCUAAGUGUUCAAAACUAAACGUUCAUCUAAUCAUGCAAUCCUAGCCAUACAUCUAUGCAUACAAUCCUAAGCAUACAUCUAGGGUGAGUGUGUGCGUGUCGGUGUGUCAUAGUGUCCAUAGUCCAUAUUACAAAAAUUCCCUAAAUACAUUCUAUGGCCCCUUUGCCAAGCUACAAACCAAUGGUAAAAUAUUACAUCACCGAAUGAAUUACAAUUUGCAAAAAAAGAAAACUAAACUAAAGGAGACAAUAGUGAAGAUGGUGAAGUGCUAUGAAGUGAUCAAUAUGAAAGGAAAUGUUAGUAGAAAAUGGUAAAAAAAGAAAGAAUGUGGCAUGAAGCGAUGGAAGAAAGUAUGGCAUAAAACAGUAAAGUGACGAUGAAAAUAAGCCGGAAACAUGUAACGAAUAAUGCACAUGAUGCAAGAACAAAACUCAACACAUCAGAACAGUGGCGUAUGCAUAGCAAACAGUAGCAAAAUUCAUAUGGAAUAGUAUGCAAAUCAAACAUGACGAACACGAUCAUCAUGCACAUGAAGUAACGGGUAAAAAUGCGAGAAAAGUGACUAAAAAAAUAGUAAAAACCCUUGACAAAACAACACUAAAAUUUUUACCAACUUUUCCAAGCAAAAUACCACUGAAAAUUACCAAGAAAAAUAGUAAAAUGACAUGGUAAAUUUCUUGGAAUUUAUUGAUAAAAAUUAACAUGAAUAAAGGGUGCAAACAGCAGGCAAGUAUGGUGCAAAUAGCAAAAAAUAAACAAAAACGUGAAAAGAAAUCUAAGCCCAACCCAAAGCCCAAUGCAGACUGGACCUGGAUCAUCCAAAGGCCUCAGAGGCGUUAGAUUGAUCCAGACCUAGAUCUGACGGUUCAAAAUAAGCAGCGCAUGGUAACACAGAUCAAGCACAUGGAAACAACGCAUCAUAACCAUUCAAAUGAAAAAACCCUAGAUCCUACGGUUCAAGAUGAAAACAAAAUAAACCGGACCGGUUCAAACGUCUAUAUAAGGACGUGGACACCGGUCCAGUCCAUUUCUUUCAUCUCUUUCUCUCUCUAAGCUUCCCUCUCCUCUCGCCUCUCUCCAGAACCUCACCGCCGGUGAGGAUGAAGCUACGGCGGAGACCUUGAAGGUCCGCCGGAAACUUCAUCUUCUCCGGCGAGACUAUGAACUUCCGGUGACCUAAAAAUUCCAGAACUUAAAGAUUUUUGCAUAUUUCGAUUCGUCCUUUAACCCUAAACACGAAUCCAGCAAUUAUUUUUUCAAAUACGGCCUGAAACGACGUAGAUCUAAAACUUUUCAUACGGUUUUGAAAAUGAUUUUGAUCUUUUUGAAAUAAAACGUUUAGAUCUUUAAAGAUCUACAUCGUUUCGUUGUUUGAUUCCGUUUCUGGUACUCGUUCUUGCUUUCAAAAUUUAGAUCCUUAUGGAUCUAGAUUUCGUGCUUACGGUUACGGUUUUCUCUUUGAAUUCUGGAAAUUUUUAGAUCUGUUUCUCGCGUGAUUUUGCAGGUUUAAAUUAUGAUUAUUUUCUGAGAAAAGAUUCUGAGUUUUACCUAAGGUUUUGGUUGAAACCUUUAAUGGAGGAAAUCUUUGGGAGAACUUGAAUCUGUUGUUUUCUGAUGAUUCUUGAUUCUUCCGCUUGCUUCACCGGUCCAGAUUCUGCAGAUUCUGCUUCUUUCCUUCUUCUUUCUCUUCACUGCUUCCUCGUGAUCAGUGCUUGAGCUCGUCGCGUUUCAGUGAUGAACUCGCACUUUGAAUUGCGAGGAAAUUGGUUCUGUGAUGAUGAUUCCGUAUUGAAUCUCUGAGAAUCAAUGAGUAAUCAAAGAAACUUUGUUGAAUUCUGUUGAAUUUGGUGUUUUUGUGUUGAUUCGGUGGAAAUCAAUGGUGGAUUGAGGUGGUUAUGGUUUCUGCCAUUGAUGAAUCUUUGAAGCUUUUUUUGUUGAUUCUGUUUUGGUGAGUUGGCACUUGGUGAAUGAAAAACGUCUGAAAUUCAUUGCCACUGUGUUGCUUUUAUAGCUGACAAGUGUACUGUCUGGCCAAUGGAAAACUGACACAUGUCCUGGACUUGUGAUUUGGGCGCUGCCUUGUAAUUUAGGACUUUGAGGACCUCCCUGCAAUUUUGUAAAAUAUGGAACUGGACUGCAAUUUUAAACAGAACUAAAAAGUAUAAAAAUUGGACAAUUUGGACUUAAAUGCAAUUUUAACAAAAUUAAGGGACUAAUAAUGCAAAAAUAAAAAUAAAAUGAAUUAAAAUUUGUAAUUUUGACCAAACGUAAAGCGAAACAAAAAUAAAAUUGACAAAACGGACUAAAACGAACCAAUGGCCUAAAUGAGGUACUUCAAAGUAACCUCUCUAUGCUAAAAUUUUAUGUGAAAUGACCAAAAUGCCCCUAGGGCUAAAAAUGACCUAAACAGACUCAAAUUGACUUGACACUGACUCAGAUGCAAGUUUGAAAUGAUUUUAGCAAGGUUUACUGAUGAAAUGUAAAAAAGAAUCAAUUUGAAAAGACUCAGAGACAGUCACAAGGAUGAAAAUGGGUCCCACUGCGGGAAAUGACCAAAAUACCCUUCUGUACAAUUUUUGCAAAUUUUGAAAUAAACUGUAGAAAAAGCAGUGUAAUGAUUCAGAGACACUUUUGAAUGACUUACAAGACAAGUAAAGACAUUCCGAAAGGUUUUAUGCAAGAAAAACAUAGGUAAAAUUGUGAUUGAAAAUACUGCGAGGCAGAGACAAUUUGAACUGUGCAGUUGAAAUUUGAUAAUUGACAAAGUUUGAAAUGAAAUUGGGCCCAGUAUUUUUAGGUCCAAAAACAGGGUAUAACAAUUAUUAUAUCCAGUUUUAUAUGUGUAUUUUUAAAUUAUAUUUUGUAUGUUUAAUUAUUAUAUCAACCUUUAUAUGUGUUUUUUUUUUAAUUAUUUUUCUUUAUGUUUAAUUAUUUUCUUUAAAUGUGUGUUUGUUUUAAUUAUUAUAUACACUGUUAUAUGUUUAUUUUUUUAAUUCUAUUUUUUAUGUUUAAUUGUUUUGUUUAUAUGUGUUUUUGUUUAAACCAUAUUUAUUUUUCUAUUAUUUCAGGUUCGUAAGACCCGCGUGCUUAAACCGAUUAAUCAUGGGGCCAAGAUUCUCACUCUCGGACGCCCUAACGCGAAUGAGAAUUGGUUUUGGGAUGCGCUUCAGCAGAGCGGGCUACAUGAUUUGGUUUACUUGGGGUACUCCACCGUGCCUCAUGCCCUGCUGCUGACUUUAUGCGAGAGGUGGCAUCCGGAGACCAGCACCUUCCACAUGCCGAUGGGGGAGAUGACUGUGACAUUGGAUGAUGUCGCAUGUCUGACGCAUCUUCCUAUUGAGGGGCGGAUGUUGGCUCAUGGGAAGAAGAUGCCCAGGCAUGAGGGAGCGGCACUGCUGAUGACGUAUCUGGGUGUGUCCCAGAAUGAGGCUGAGAAGAUCUGCAACCAGGAGUACGGCGGGUACAUUAGCUACCCGAGGCUGAGGGACUUCUAUACCUCGUACCUUGGUAGGGCCAACGUAUUGGCGGGUACGGAGGAUCCUGAGGAGCUUGAGGAGCUGGCGAGAGUCAGGACAUACUGCGUCCGGUGUUACCUUCUGUACUUGGUCGGAUGCUUGUUGUUUGGCGAUAGAAGCAACAAGCGCAUCGAGCUGAUAUAUUUGACGACCAUGGCGGACGGCUACGCAGGGAUGCGUAAUUAUUUCUAGGGAGCUAUGACCCUCGCCUACCUAUACGGCGAGUUGGCGGAUGCAUGUAGGCCUGGACACAGAGCGCUUGGGGGGAGCGUGACACUGCUCACUGUAAGAAAACUUAAAUUUUUUAUUUACGUUAACUUUAUUUUUUUGUUAACUUUUAUUUUUUUGUUAUAUUUUUCCGUGCGUAAUAAUUUAUAAAUGUUAUUUGUUUGCUUUGUGCAGGCAUGGUUUUUGGCGCAUUUUCCAGGGUUUUUUAGUGUUGAUCUCAACACUGACUACCUGGAAAACUAUCCGGUUGCAGCGAGGUGGAAGCACCAGAAGGGUCAUGGGGAGGGAAUCACGUAUCGGUCACUGCUCGAUCGUAUACAGUUAGAUGAUGUAUGCUGGAGGCCGUACGAGAAGCACAGAGAGAUCCAGGACUUCGAGGAGGUUUUCUGGUAUUCUGGAUGGAUUAUGUGCGGCGUCCGUAGGGUGUACCGUCACUUGCCCGAGAGGGUUUUGAGGCAGUACGGAUACGUGCAGACCAUCCCCAGACAUCCGACUGAUGUUAGGGACCUCCCACCGCCUUCCAUUGUGCAGAUGUUCGUCGACUUCGGCACUCACACGCUUAAGGCGGACGCUCGGGGUGAGCAGGCAGGAGAGGAUACAUGGCGGGUGGCGGAUGGCUAUGUCCUGUGGUACGCUAGGGUGUCUCACCCUCAGAUCUUGCCACCUAUUCCAAGAGAUCUUCCGAGGCCUGCAAAUGAAGAGCAGAUCAUUGCAGAGCAGUGGCAGCGGUAUGAGGCGAGAAGUUCGCCUGACACCUAUGACAUGGUCAGUGGCGUUGUUGCCUACGCUGAUGCGCAGUUAGGCCAGGAGGAGGUCAUGAGCAUGACCCCUCAGCAGUGGUUUGAGGCCAUGACCCAUAUGAGGGAGCAGAUCGCGCCGAUUUUGACCAGGAGGAGAGCCCAGAGGCCGAGGAGGAGGCACCAUCAGCAGGAUCAGGACCAGUAGUACUAUUUUCCUUUUUUAUGACUUAUUUUUUGGUUUUAGUCUUUUAGGGAUAUUUGUAUAUUUGUAUAUUUCUACUUUGAUGACAUUAUUUUUAAUUUCAUGGGCUUUUUUUACUUUGUUUAAUGUGCAAAUAUAGGUUGCUUUAAUGUGCAAAUAUAGGUUGCUUUAAGAACAUAAAACAUAAAAAUAAGUUGACAGUAGGAAAAAUAGGGAUGAGAAACAAUGAUUUUGUUUCAAAUAGUAGAACUUAAGAGAAAAAUAUAAAUUAAAUAGAUCUAAUUUAUAAUACAUUUAAAAAUAGUAGAACUUAAGACAAUGGCUGGAAAUGGUAUCUAAAAAUGAUAGGUGCUGCACAAAGGACAACUCUUUCCAUAGUUUCAGAUCAAGAAUUGGCGAAGAUGUGAGAGAACUUGAGAAUAUAAUAUAAGUGUCCCGUUCAUUUGCUCGCAAUUCGUGAAAGAAGAAUUGACGAAGAUUUGAGAGAACUUGAGAAUUUUGUGAAGUUUUGGAUGUUCAGUUUUCCUCGGCAGUUAACUACCGAGGUUUUCUUCGACAGUUUUCUUCGGCAGUUAACUGUCGAGGAUCUUCUACACUACAAAAUCUGGCAGAAUCUCCUCUCAUCCAUUAUUGAUCUUAUCUUCCAAAUAAUUUCUUCAAAUGUCUCUCAAAUUCUCUCUAAAAAACACAACCAAAUCCAACAAACUUUAUUCAACAAAAUCACAAGUAAGUAAUUAUAAUGCUAUUAACUUACAUUUUAGUUGUUAUAAAUGUUAUUAUUUUUUAGUUUUUGAGUACAUUUAUUAUUUUUUAGUAGAUUUACAUGUUAUAAUUAAAUUUUAGGGUAUAUGUUAGUUGAUUAAUGUUGUUAAAAUAUUUGCAUGAUGUUUAUGUUAUAUGAUUAAUUUUUUUAUUUUAGUAAGAGUAUAUGAUUUAUAAUUUUAGGGUUAUUUUUAUGAAUUUUAGAGUGUAUAUAUAAUGUGUUUUUGAUUGAUUGUUUUUAGUUUCUUAUUGUGUAGAUUUAAAACAAUGGUCGGGUGGAUCGACGUUCAUGCGCAAUUUAACGGCGGAGAACCUCAAAGGUUGAAGGUUCGGUGCCUUGGUGUAACGUUAAGAGGUCUCAAGGAUAAACUCACUGAAUUCAACCAAGGAGUCAACCCCAGAGACACAAGGAUGGUGGAACACAUUUGGUAUAAACGUCCAACGCUCGACGAGGGGAGAGUAUCAUUCAGUUGGGUGGAAUUAACGAACGACGAAAACGUGACGACCAUGUUUUGGAAGCACAGCAUGUUCCAGUGGAUCGAUAUGCGGGUGAAGUUGCUUAGAUCAACUGAAGAUAUCAUCAAAAGUUUGAUUCCGCCACAAGAUCGUCAUUAGUUAGGGUAAGGUGCAUUCCAACUACAACAUUUGUCUUCCUUUGAAUGAGGUAAUUCAAACUUGUCAAACAACAGGACUCAAGCAUUUCGCAAGCACCUCAUGUUUCUCCUUUGAAAAUAUUAAAUUUUUGUUAUGCUGGUUUAGAUGAAGGUAUUAAGUGUCAAGGAUUGAACCUCAAUUCGGUGGCACUUGAAUACCAUCAUCUAAAGCAAGCCUCACAAAAAUUUAUUAUUUUCAAAGGGAAAACAUGAGGUGUUUGGCGAAAUGUUUGAGUCCUGUUGUUUUGCAGGUUUGAAUUAUCUCAUUCAAAGGUAACACAAUUGUUGUGGUUGGAAUGCACAUUCCAACUGCAACAAUUGUCUUACUCUGGAUGGGGCAAUUCAAACUUGUUAGGCAGGACUCUAGUAUUCGAUGAGCAUCUUGAAUAAUGGUAUUCAAGUGUCAAGAAAUGCACCUCAUUCUUUUCACACUUGAAUACCAUCGUUCAAGAUGCUAAUCGAACACUGGAGUCCUGCUGCUUAGCAAGUUUGAAUUUGCCCCAUUCAGUGGUAAGAUGAUUGUUGCAGCUGGAAGGAAAAUUUCGGAAUCUAAUGUGUAAGGCAAUGUAAUGUGAUAACAUAUAUUUUGUUUUGAAUGGAACAAUAAUUAUCUUAUUUUUUUUUCAAAUUUAUUUAUUCCAAAUGCAAUUUUAUUCUAAGUACCAUAAUGAAACAAAAUGUGCGCGACACAAAAAUAAAACAUAAAAAAAUCCAAAACAAUUAGGCAUUAAAAGCCAUUACAUUCAUUCUUCCUCGUCACACAAAUCAAUUGGCUUGUCCGCUACAGUCCCUGCGGUACCUUGUUUUGGUUGAGGACCGAAAUAGCAUGUCCUCCCGCUCCUCCUCAACCUCGAGUGAUUGUACACCGGCACCUUCGAACCCUUCUUUUUUUCGGAACCAUCGCAAACAAUUACAUGCCACGUCAUAGGUGACUUUUCUUUUUUCGUCUCAUCAUCGUGAACGUUACCUUGAUUCUGAUUCUGAGACAUAUCUACAUUAAAAAAAAAUAUGGCGAUCAAUUCAACCUACACUAACCUAAACUAUCCUAACAUAUCAUAAAAUCAACAAAUCAAUAUAAUCAAACCUAUAUAAUCGAAAUUUAACAAAAAAUAACAUACAAUUCGACCACAAAGCAACAAUGCAAUAGGAUUCAAAAAACUUACUUGUUUUUGUGAUUAAAAUUGGCUUCUAAUGGCUUCAAAUGACUCAAAAUCGCACCUUCAAAAAUUAAAAACGCAACAAUGGAGUUUCGGAAACUCCUAUGAAGUUCUGUUCUUAUAACAUUCUCCUCAGCAGUUAACUACCGAGGUUUUCCUCGACACUGAACUGCCGCCGGUGUCCUAAAAACUUCGGCAGUUAACUGCCGCCGGUUCCUAAAAACCUCGGUAGCAAACUGCCGAGGGGCAUUUUGGUAUUUUACUAGUGUGGCACAGCCAAACAACAUGUGGGAACAGCAAUUCUCUUAUUUUAUCUUAUUUUUGUUUUAUUUAUUCUUAGUCCCUUUAUUUUAUUUUUAAUGUCCAAAAAUAAAUCAAAAUUUUGUCCGAUAAUAUCUAAACACACAGCUCAUUCACACAGCUCAAAACAGGCUGUCAUGUUCCUCUCCAAGCAACAAAAUUCUGCUUUAUAAAUACAACACACAAACCAGCCAAGAGAAAGAGGAGGGCCCAACGACAAUAACAACUUAAAAAACCUGCUACAACACAAAUCAACCCACAACCACGUAAUAACAAAAUCAAACUCAGCAACAAUCACCAAACCCUCUCAAACCCUAACCCCACAGUCACAAAAGCUAGUUUCAAACCAUCGACACAAUCACCAAACAUAAUCAAACCGAAUCAAACCUUUUCUUCAACAUACCCAAACCAACAAGUCGUACAAAAACAAACAGAUCCGAUAAAAAAAACACACAAGAAAAGGUAGUUCUUUUCAAACGUUUCAGAUCCAGGUUGUUAUAGACUUCAUUUCGAAUUUUUAAGGCUAAUAACGUAUAGAGGAGAGGGAGUAGAAGAGAAAGAACAAAAAAAAAAAAAAAGGAGUACAUCAUCACUCCGGCGCGGCGGCGCGGCCAUCUUGGCCGGCCGGCCACCGCGCCAGCCACCGGAGAAGAAGGUGGCGACGGAGAAGAAUUCUAGAGAGAAGGCAGAGCCUCUCUCUCUAGAAAUAAGAGAAGAGAGAGAAGUUUGAAAUUAAAAUGAUUAAAAAAACCGGAGCUGUGUAUUUAUAAAAGGGAUUGGAGCGGUUCAACCCCUGAACCGGUCUAUUCCAGGCCCACACGCGCCCGGCCUCACCCAAGGCCCAAAUCCUCUUCAUUUUAUUUUCUGCACCCUCCUUUACUGCUCACACACACCCCAGCAUCUCAUUUUUCUAAUUUCUAUUUCAUGCAUUUUAAUUCUCUCUCUAUCUGUUAAUCCAGAGUACUCUGGUCCUAUAUUAACUAUUAAUAUUAUAUUUUUGUUUAAUUUAAUUAUUCUCCAGAACAAUCUGGUCCUUGUUAAUUAAAUUAAUCCAGAGUGCUCUUGUCCUAUAUUAACUAUUAAUAUUAUAUUUUUUUUAAUUUAAUUAUUCUCCAGAACAAUCUGGUCCCUGUUAAUUAAAUUAAUCCAGAGUGCUCUGGUCCUAUAUUAACUGUUAAUAUUAUAUUUUGUUUAAUUUAAUUAUUCUCCAGAACAAUCUGGUCCCUGUUAAUUAAAUUAAUCCAGAGUGCUCUGGUCCUCAAUUAACUGUCAAUAUUAUAUUUUGUUAUUCUCCAGAAUAAUCUGGUCCUUGUUAAUUAAUUUAAUCCAGAGUGCUCUAGUCCUAAAUUAUUUGUUAAUAUUAUAUUUUUGUUUAAUUUAAUCAUUCUCCAGAGUGCUCUGGUCCCCUGCUUUUAUUUUCAUAACUUCGUUAGUUUAAUUUUUAUUUACUAUUCCAAAACAACAAAAACAUUCAAAUAUAAAAAAAUUCAUAAAAAGAACUUUUCAAAAUAAACCUUGAUCUUAAAUCAAGUGACCGUCUUUUUAUUUUAUUUUUCUUAAUCAAAUUUCAAAUCAAUUCUAAUUCAACUUCAAGUCAAUUUCUUUCAAUCUAAAAAACACAAAUCAAUUCUCAUUUGCCACUUGGCUUUUUAUUUCAAACCUUUUUCAAAAACUAAUAAAAAACACAAAAUCAAUCAAACGUCAAUUUCUACCCCGAACUACGAGGUUUUGAUCCCUCACGGGUACGUAGGCAGAGGACACUUGUCCUUCCCAAAUCAACUAAAAAACAAUUUUCUUUUUUCUCUUCAAUUGAAAUUAAUUUCUUUUUUUUCUUUUCAACUCAUCAUUCAAUUCUAUUUUUAUCUCUUCAAAAGCAAGCAAGUUUAAGCACAAAAAGUUAAAUAAAAUCAAGAGGUUCUCGUAGAGUACUACGAAUAUUUAGGGUGCUAACUGUUGUACCCUGAUUUUGGACCUAAAAAUACUUGUUCAAAUUUAUUUUCUACCACUAACAUUUGUUAAUUCGCUGUUAUUUUACUCCGAACAUUUACUCUUUUUUCAUCUGCAUAUCUUACUGUCUCCAUCUCGGAGUAUUUUCAAUCAUAAUUUUGUCUUUGAUUUUCUCGCAUAAAACUAUCCAAAGUGUCUGUCUUGCAUUUUUAUUUCAAAGCAUCUGCAAAAAUCAUACAAAAGGGUAUUUUGGUCAUUUCCUGCAGUGGAACCCAUUUUAAUCCCUGUAAUUGUCUCUGAGUCUUUUCAACUUGUUUUGCAAAUCAUUGUUAAAUCUCUUUUUAAAAUCAUCUCAAAAUUACAUUUGAGUCAGUUUGGGUCAGUUUAGUCCCUAGGGGCAUUUUGGUCUUUUCCUGUCAAAAUUUCGACAGGGAGGUAUUUUAAAAUACCUCAUGUCGGUAAUUUGUUCGUUUUAGUCCGUUUGUUGAUUUUAUUUUUCGUUUCACUUUACCUUUUUACCAAUUACCAAUUUUAAUUCAUUUUAUUUUUUUAUUUACAUUUCGGUCGCCCAAAAGAGUCCCAAAAUUGCAUUUUUGUCCAAUACUUUUUUUAAUUGCAUUUUUUUAGUCUUUUUUUUAUUGCAGAUUAGUCCUCAUAUUAACUUUUUUGCAGAUUAGUCCAUAAGUCCAAAACGGUCCAGAUGUCAUUUUUUCAUUGGUUCUCAGAUACACAUGGCAGGCUAUAAAUAGUAAAUGUGUCAGAUCCAUCACAAUCAGUCAGAAAAAUCAGAAUCAAUCACAAUCACUCUCAAACAGAAUCUUUUUCUCUCUCUCAUCCAUAACAUAAUCUUUUUCUCUCUCUCAUCCAUAACAGAAUCAAAACAGAAAAAAAAAACUCAGAAAAAGAGGAAGAACACCAAGAACACCUCAUCACCAAAAUCAACAGAUCUAAAUCGGAUCUGCUCAAAAUCAGCUCCAACCACCACAAAAUCAACAAAUCCGAACCGGAUUCACUCAAAACCACCGCGAAUCACCACAUCAACACCAAAACGUACCGGAUUUUCGAGCAAAAACAACACCAACGGAGGGUAUAGCGCGCGCGAAAGAGAAGAGGAGGAUUCGAAGUUUUUCCGAAGAUUUUUCUCCGUUUCACGACAGAGGUAACGCAUUUCUCUCCUCUUUUUUCUCCGUUUUCGCGCGCAUAUGUAGUGUAAAAAAGGUGUGAAAAAGUUUGUUACGGAUAUGUAUUUGUAGAUCUAGGCGUGUACGUUCGGAUUUUGAAAACUUUGAGGCCGAAUUCGGACACUAGAGAGAAAAGGAUAUCUAGAUCCGUAGUUUUUUUUUAAAAAAAGUGUGAAAAAUUUUCAAAGAAAAAAUGUAGAUCUAGUCCGAAUCGCUCCGUUCUCGCUAAAACUAACGCCGGAUUUGUGUAGAGGAGGUGGUCACGGAACUUUUGAUGUAAAAAUUUUUAAAAAAAAAAAAGAAGUUCGAAUUUUCCGGCGCGGUGGCGCCGCUGCCGGAAACCGGCCGGCCGCCGUGCCGGAAUCACCACCACCACCCACCUUCGCCGGCGGGAUUUUUAGAGAGAAGGGAGAGCUUCUCUCUCUAAGUGUGACUUAGAGAGAGAAGAAGAAGAGGUUUGUGUGUUUUUUGUGGGAAAUUCCUUUUUAUACUCCCUCCGUUCCCACGCGCGCGCGUGCAUGCUUCUGUGGUGUUCCCUCGCUCUGUGAACCAUCAGAUCUGGAUUGUUCCAAGAUCUGAUGGCUGCUGUGUGUUUGAUUUUGAAUCCUGUGUGUGAUUUUUUGUGUGGAAUAUGGUAUAUCUUCUGUUUGAACCGUUAGAUCUUUGAUCUAACGGUCACUGUGCUUCCUGCAUUUUUACACUAUCUUUUGUGCUUUUUUUUGGACCCUUGGAUCUUUGAUCCAGUGGCUGUGAUGUGAUCUUGGGAGUUAGAUCUGGACCUCUGGAUUCAUCCCGCGGUCCAGAUUAAAUCCUGCUGAGCCUCUUUUUAAUUGCUUUUUAAUUGUGUUUUAAAUACUUUUUUUACACUUUCUUGGUGUUUUAUGCUUCUAAAAAAAUUUCUAAAAAUAUUUCCCUAUCAUUUUAAUUUUUCCUCUAAGUAUUAGAAUUUAUUUGCUUAUUUUUGCAUUUAUUUUCUUUACUUUGUUCUUUUAAUUUUUGCUCAUUAAAUUCCAUAUAUGUUCUUGAUGCAUUUUUUCAUAUUGUCAUAUUUUUGCAUGUGAAAUAAUGUGUGAAAAUAUCUCUAGGAAUAUGAUAUAAUGCUUGGCUUGAGUGUACUCUUAUGAUCCUCACAUUGUAGUUUAAAUUCAAACCUUUCAAAAAUGGCUAUAAUGAGGGAAUUAUAGGUCAUAUGCAUGUAUGAGUGUUAUACCUAAAUUCUAGGUGUAUUUUUACUACUUUGUUUCAUUGCAUUAUUUUCUUUCUCUUGUGCUAUUCAAUUCUAUAUUGCUUGCAUUUUUUUUUUUAUUAUCAUUUUGUACUUGUGUUACUAACUCUUAUGCUUCAUAUCUCACUCAUUCCAUAAGCACCUAAUCUUUGUACCCUCAUUGCUCCUAGUUUAGGUUUUUCUUUUUGUAUUCAUUUCUAUGCCAAUUGGUUUGUAAUAAAUUUAGUUAGUUUAGUUUAGUUUACAUUCUUGCAAGACCAUAGCAUGUAUCUAGGACUCAAUGUAAAGGACUAUGGACACUAUAAGUGAUGUACACCGACACGAGCACCGACACAUGCACACACCCCACAUGGAUGUUCUAGAUGCAUGAUUAGGGAAUGUAUGCUUAGAUGUAUGCUUAGGUUUUACAACGCUUAGACAAAAAAAAUCAUUUUUCAAAAAUAUGAAUAACCUCAAUUGAAAACUUUUUUUUCUAAAAUAGGAGUCAAAACUCCUCAUUUCCCUUUUGUUUUCUUAAGAAAAAAAUCCCAAUGAAUUUUAAUCAUACUUAGACUUUAUUUUGCAAAAUAACUACUUCCACCUCACAUUUUCCAAAUCUCAUGCCCUUGAGGCCUCUCAUCUCCAUUCUUCAAAAUUCCUUCUUUCAAACUUAAAAUCAACCAACAAAAACAAAAACAAUUUUCGAGAACGAACUACGUUUGGUUUUGAUCCCUUAAAAGGGUACGUAGGCAAUGAGUUAAAACUCCUCCAAGCCAAGUAAAAUAAAAUCCCAAUCAUCUUCGCUUCCCCCAUUCUUCACUCAAAUAAAAUUUCUCUUUUAAAUAAGUAGGCAAUAAAAAUAAAGCGUAGAAAUAAACUUAGGAGAACGGUUCUUAUGGAAUACCAUAAUCGUUCCGGGUGCCUCACACCUUCCCGUAGCGAAAGCGACCCCCGAACUUAGAAUCUAAGGGUUUUUUCUCAAUUUUGCCCUUCCCAAGAAAAAAUAGAGAAUAUCAAAGAUUGAAAGGUUCAAGCCUAAUUAAUGACUUGACACCCGAAAAUCGCGAUAACACUAACACCUUCCCUAAAUAUAACCAACCCCCGAACCCUAAAUCUCUUCAAAAUGGGUUGUUUGUAACUUUUUCCCCUUAAAAAAAUUUGUUCAGUCGUGAGAUAAAAAGCGAGUCAAACGCCAGUCAAAUGGCCUUGACCUCCGAAAAAUGGCGCGACAAAUACAAUACAACAUAACUGUUGAGUUUUGUCUUCAAAUUUGUGGUCUGGAAGAACAGGGAAAUCGUGACACGAUUGUGGCAUCGUGACACGAUUUCGGGGUGCCGUGAGCUAGGUUGCAGGGUGCAAAAUCGUGGCACGAUUGUGAGAAAUCGUGACACGAUCGUGAAACUUGCUCGUUAAGUAUCCUUGAUAUUGACUGGUCGUUUCUUGGGUGGUACGCAGAUCGUGACACGAUUGCAAUAGAGGAAGACUAGUAUAAAGUGUUCUUGUGCAGAUUUGAAGAGAGAGUUGGAAGAGAGAGAGACUUGGGAAAUCAAAGGGAGAAACUCUAGGGUUUAGGGUUCUUUGAUUAGAGUAUCUCUUGGGUUGAAAACAUGGGAAACACCAUGUAGAGAGAAUCAUUGAGUGUCUUGGUGAGAUUGGGAAAAGGGUAGAAAUUAGGGUUUGUUCAUUGUGAACUUGUCAAGCUAAUUUCUUGUAACCUUUUGUAUCCCUUUUGUAAGAACUCUUUGAUAGUGGAUUGGAGAGUACAAACUCUCCUCCAGAGUAGAUCAAGUUUGGACCGAACUGGGUGAACAAUCUCUUGGUGCUUUUGUUUUCUUCUUCCCUCUCCUUUUAUCUUGUGUAUUGAGUUUCUCACUUGUUUCCUAGAUUAGAUCUAGGUGGUGUUUUGUUGAUUAUUGCUUGCACACACACUUUGUUCGGUGGUUACCACUCUCCUUUGCUCCACACAUCAUUCUUGUAUUGGUGUGGUUCGAUCUAGGUGAUCGGAAUUCACAACAAUAACAGAUCAAAUACGACCUGCACAAAUUGGCAUCUAAACAAUGCCAUCACCGGGGGGAAAACACGAAUCAAGGAUCAAGUAGUAAAUUUUGGGGUAAAUUAGACCUAGUGUAUUAAAGAGCAAAACUAGAGCAUCUUAAUGUUUAAAAAAUUUAUGGCAUUUUGCAAUUGAAUUGACUAUAUGUUAUACAUACUUACAUUGCCGGUACAAAGUUCUGCCAAGAUGCAUCCAAGGGACCAGAUAUCAAUCUUCUUGUCAUAUGAAAGCCCGAGAAUAACCUCAGGAGCACGAUAGGACCUCGACUGAACAUAUGAGCAAAGGUGAUCUGUCUCAAAACAACUACUUCCAAGAUCAAUGACCUUCACCUCACAUCGGUCGUAGCUUUUAACCAAAAUAUUCUCCGGCUUCAAGUCGCAAUGUGUUAGUCCAAGGUUAUGUAAGUACUGAAGUGCUUCCAAACAUUGAAUGGUAAUUGAUUGCAAUAACAAAUCAAGACAAGUUUCUAAUGAGACAGUAGUAGAAUCUAUCUAUACCUAUAUAUGAAGUGAAUACCAAUGUUUUCUGUAGUUUUUUUCUUUCAAUAUUUUUCGAUUAAAAUAACAAAUCUUCUUGCCUGUUAGAGGAAAUUUUGUUGACUAUCUGUAAUUAUGACACUAUGUCAUUACUAGUUUAGUAGACAUUUUCAUGUAAUUUUUAGGGUAAUUUAUCAAAAUUGUAGAAGCUGAAAGCACAAAAAAAAAAUGAUGAAUUCCGAUUUCCAGCAAGUUCCAAUUCGGGCCCCGAAUCCAAUCAUUCGGGCCCGAAUUCCAGCCACCAGAAGAGCAAUUUGGUGCGUGAAAAUUAUUGCUUGAAUUAGAAGUGCAAAUUACCAUAGGAGAACUUCGGAGGAUUCGAAGGUCUUAACCAUACUUCGCUCUAAUUUUCUUAAAACCAACUUUUAUUGUUUCAUCUACGUUUAUGUUAUAAAAACCAAUCCAACUGCCUAGGGCGACCAAAAAUUUAAUGCAUCCUUUCGAGAAAGAAAUUGCUGAGUAGGAAUUAACAACGGUCCUCGUGGAUUCGAUCUUAUUUAUUACUUCGAUAGUUUUAGUUCACUUGCCAAAUCUCUAUCAUGUAACUAAAAAUUUAAAGGAUUCAAGCUAGUUUGUGUUUUCUACUGUGCUGCUAUAGCUAGACCAUGGUUUUAGUUUUAGCGGCCAAACAAUAUGUUGUGGACCUUAAUAGAAAUAAUAAAAAACCUUAUUCUAAUUGUGAAUAACAGGAACAGAUUAUGAAUAAAGCAAAUUUACUGCCUAACAUAUAGAAUCAGAUAAUGGUAAUUACUGAUUACAGUAAAAGCCCUGGGGAUCUAUAAUUGACUGAAGUUCUGAUGAGAUAACAUAUAGAAAAGAUUGGAAGCCAACAUAAUAUUGCUUCCUAAGUAAAGAUCGUACCUCUAACCAUUUUUCCUAUAUUCUUUUCUCUCUCUGUCCCGUAUCUUCCACUUCUCUGUUUCCAUCCUUCCUUUCCUUUUCGGUUUUUUUUUUCUUCUUUUCCUCGCAUCAUCAAUUUUCAACCCCAAUUCAAACAUCACAAGAAUGAUAAUACAUCUAGGUAAAACUAUCGCAUAAAACAAAUGAUUUUGGGUAGCAUUUUGAGUUAGAGUUUGUGCUCUAAGAAAGGAGAAGAAUACCCAUACAUGGAAGGUGUGCUCUUUGGUGAUCCUUGAGAUUCGAUGGAAAUUGCUUUGGUGUUCAUUCCGGGAGGCAUUGCUAGGAAUGAAAUUGAUUAGCCAUAGUUGUGAGUUGAUGACGAUCCUUAUUUUAAUUAUCGUUAUUAUUGAUAUUUUGGUAAUUUUAUAAGUUAAAGUAUUUACCAAAAUGGGAAGCACACCCUUUGUUGUUGAAAUUUAUGUUUAAGGUCAUGAAUAUUGAUAUGGUCUCUAUUUGAACUUGUCUAUGAUUUAUAGAGCAAAGGUUUUAUAAUUGAGAUAUGGUUGCAUUUACUACUGACAUAAGUUUUGAGAUGUUGACAAAAAAAUGGUUUUUGAGAAAUAUGUUUUUGUUUUGAAAAUUAUUAUGAUACUAUUAUACACUCCAUUUGGAUUGGGUGUUGGAUUUACCUAUGAUUUAUGGUUUAUAAAGUAGUGAAUUUAAGAAUUGAAAUUUGAUUUCAUGUAUAUUGGCACUAGUUUUCAUACGUUGUAAAGCAUAGUUUGAAAUAUGUGUUUUUGAAAGGAUUUGAUAUAUAUGUACGCGAUUUGAAUUUGGAUUUACUUAUGAUGAUAACUAGUAGGUUUUCGAUUGAGUUCUGAUGAAAGUAUUUUGAUAUAAGUUUCGUUAUUUUGCGAAAUAUGGUUUUAGACAUGUGCUUUAAGAUUGGGGUUUUGAAAAUUACGGUUAUAAUUAAUGACGACGACCUAGGUGCACCUAGUAUGUGAUUUCGGUUAGGUAGAGUUACUCCAUUAGACGGAGCCGCCCCUAUGGAAAGGCCAGUACCAUUAGGAGGAGAGGGCUAUCAAUGAGAUGUAAACUCCCUAAUUGAAAAUGUUUUACAAUUUAUUUUGAGUCGGGAGAAAAGAGCUAUCUAUUAGAUGGAGCUACGACUAAGAGAAAGACCACUCAUAGGAAAUUUCCAUCAACGAUAUGGAGCUAGUUCUCGAUUCAUCCAUUUUGAUUAUUUUCACUAAAGUUGGAUUUUUAUACUUUCUCUGAAGUUGAUUAUUUUGGAUUCAUUUCAUUAAAUCCGAUUGUUAUAGUCUAUUUGGAUUUGAUUAUUUGGAUUCCUUUUCAUUAUACAUGAUUUCUAUAUUUCCUUUAAAGUUGUUGAUUUGGAUUCACCUCUUACGAAAUUGAUAUUUUGAUAUAGUAUUAUUUGAUUUGAUAAAUUUACAAAAUUUUCUGAAUUUUCAUGGUAUACUCUUGAUUGUGAAUUUAUUAUAUUUUUAAAACGAUUACAAGCUUUGUAAAUUAAAAUCAGAUUUGAGAAAAUAAAAUAAUUGUGCUCUCGUGUGUUUCCUUUCUAGUUGGUGGUGGUUGUUGUCUCUCACUAAGUCCUUGUGACUUACUAUUUUAUUUUCUAUUUUUAUUCCAGAUUCCCAAGCAACUAAGUAGGAAGCUGCUAGUAGAUUCGAAGUUCAGUGGUGUCACUUUUUUGGUGGGCUACCUUGAUGAAUGUCUCCAUUGUUUAUGUACAUGUUGAGUCAAAGUAUCUGCAGCUAUUUGAAGUUUAGAAAUGUCUCAUUUUGAGUUGUGCAAAUAUGUAAAAAUGUCACUUUGAAAUUCUGGUUGAUGAUAAUAGUUUAUGAACAGGAUUUAGAUCUUCGUAAUGUUGAAAAUAUAGGGGUUGCUCUGUCGAAAUUUCAGUAAACAUGAUUUUGAAUCGAAAGUUAGCUUGAAAAUUGUUUAUUAAUUCUUUGGUCAUCAGGCUUGCCGAACUAUAAGCUAUUAGUUCGUAUGCCGGUCACGGUUAUAUUUUUUUUUGGUCCUGACAAAAACCUUCACCCGUUAUUAAAAAAGUCAAAUUCCCCAAAGAAACUGUAAAGUUACAUUGCAACAAACAUACAUUUGGAAUUAAUAAUCAAAUACUCUAUUUAGAAAUAGUAGUUCAAAUCAUCGAACAUAGAUUGUGAUCUGUCAGUAUCGCAAUAUGUACAAACUCUUGUAUUCGUAAAAGCAAAUUAAUCGCAAUAUGAACACUCUGUUAAUAUGCACUAGGACUUGUGUUGUUGCUGCUAAACAAGUUCUGUCUCAAAAACUGAUUUGGCAGAAAAGUGUUUUUACACAUGAAUAACUUAUUAAUCACAAAAGUUAUACAGUGUUGUUGCUGCUACGCAAGUUCUGUCUCAGAAACUUCCAAGUUCUGAUCUUCAUCUUCUUUUCUCUUUCUAUAAGGAUAGGUGAAUAUCACAUCCUCUUCUGUGCUUCUUUUCUUGAACAUGUGGAUUCCAAUUUGUGUACUAAGAUUGAAAUCUUAAAACCUCUCAAACUGAGCUGCAAAGAAUGUCAUUAUUCAUUAGUCACUGCCCUUUGGAACAACCAAUGGAUUUUGUGGUGCGAGCAAUGUCUAGACAUAUCACAUGACAAUGCAAAUAGCCAGAUGACCAUAGAUGGUUUCCUGACAAUGUGUUGUUUCCUGACAAUGUAAAGUCAAUGAACAAGUAAAUGCUUAGUUUUGGUUAGAGAAAAGUUGCGUAUAUUACCGGCAACAGGCUGAAAUCGUUGGGAAAGGAUUCUCUAUGUUCAAUUAAUGAGAGAAAAUGUUGUUUAAACAUGGGGAUAGGGAGAUUAAGGGUAGAUAUUAGAAACAUCACUUUACUCAUGUUUAUUUCAACAUGAGAGGAUCCACUCUUGAAAUUUUCAUACACACCACUAUGCAGAAAACAACCAUUCUACCAUGUUACAAUUUUAAAAUGGAAACGUUCAGGCAAAACGAGAAAAUAAAAUGAAAUUCAUAUGAAUAAAGUAAAUAUUAAUUCAUGAGAUACAUUAAAGAGAAAUGGGGAAAAAGCAUAAUCCACUCAUUACAACAGUAACUUUAAUGCUUGGAAGCAUAAAACCAAAAUUUUGAGUUAUGAAACGAAAUUCUCCACUUCCAUUUGCCAGAUCAAAACAAAUAGUAAUCCCUGCUAUUACUCAUAGAUGUUUCUACUGCAGCAGCAGAUAAGAUCAAUAUUGAUUACUCAUGUUUGCUAAAGAGCUAGUGAAAUUUUUAUCAAUUAUCAGUAAUGUUUCAAUUGCAAUUACGUUAAGUUUCAUUCUUAAAAGUUAGAAUUGGAUGUACUACUCAAAUUAUCUAUACGUUUAGAGGUCAGGCUGAAAGCAUAUGACAUUACUCCAUAUCAAUAAUAGUAAUCCCUGUUAUUAGUGACUAAACAAGUCCAAUUUGAAUCAUAAUUAAUGAGAUCAAACAAGUUUAUCAAACAUAAAUACUUUUUUCUUUUUUACCCAAAUGAAAUGUAUAUACCUUACUGUUAAGAGUCCCACAUCGGUUAGGAGUUGGCCUGACAAUUUGUUUAUAAGUGGGGGAAAUCCUCACCUCACAAGUCGGUUUUGUGGGAUUGUGUUAGGCCCAACCACGAUUUCUAAUAUGGUAUCAGAGCCUCUUCACGAUUGUUUGGGCCACCUGUUAUCAGGCCACCCGUCAUUUAUGUUCAUGUAACAGUCCGAUUUUUAGCUAGUUUUAUUUAAUUACUCUUAUUGUUUGAUUGUAUGUGAUUAGUAUUUAAUUGUCAUUGGGUGCAUUUAAAUGGAUUACCGUAUUAGAAGGGUAUUUUGGUCAUUUGACGGGUAAGGGUAAAAUGGUAAUUUUGGUGAGAAUUAUUUUAUUAAUUGGUGAGGACCCUUAUUUUACUAAGUUACUAGUGGAGUGAUUAGUUUUUACCGUUAGUAACCGUUGGUUAUAUUUUAUCGUCGUUAGUAAUUACCGUCGAGUGUAUAGAAACUUUUGAAUUGUGUUAGAAUGGGUUAGGCCCAUUAGCAUUUUGAGUUAAGCCCAUUAAGGGGGAUAACACUAGGGUUGUCUUAGAAUUGUAUUCAUUUUCACAAAACAAUUUUCAUAGAGAGAAGGAGAGGUAGAGAGAGAAGAGGUGAAGAGAAGAGCAAGAGGGUUGAAGGGAAGCUUUAGGAAUCAAGUGGGUGACCUAGGAGCUGAAUUGAAGCAAGGGUUAGAGAUAAUCAACUUCAAAGGUGAGGGGGUUAGUGAUUAUCAUAAUCAUGUGUAAUUUUGCAUUUUCUCAUGUUGUAUGAAAAUGGAUUGAUGAACAAAUCAUGCUAAAUUCGUGCUCUUGCUGUGAUGUUAUGCUUGUAUGCAUGAAUUGAUGUUAGUUGUAUAAUUGUUGGUGAAAUUACAUGUUCAUAUAUGCAAAAAUGAUAAGUUAUGAAGAUUGUGCUAAAUUGGUGAAUUUCUCCUAAGUUGUUGUUAAUUUGAGUUGUGAUUCUUGUUCCAAUGAUGUUAUGAAUGUUAUUUGAUAUUAUGAUUGAUGAAUAAUUGCUUGGGUAUGCAUAUUCAUGGAUUAAUGAUGAGAAUUUGAAUUGUGUCGGUGUUUUGGUGAAAAUGAAGAGUUAGCUCAAAUGUCAAGUGUUUUCAAGUUUGAUUGUGUCUUUGUAAGUCUUUUUAGUCAUAUUGACCUAUAAACAUGUUCUUGAAACACAUUUGGGCAUUGAGGGAUCAAAAUUUGGGUUUUGGGGUGAAAAAUGGUUCAAACCCGUGAAAAAUUAUGCAGAAAUGAUGACUGUUCACUUAAGCGAACUGGAAGCGAGUUGUAAGCGAACAGCUACUGUAAGCAGGUCGCUUAAGCGAAGAAUCGUUCGUUUAAGCGAAAUGCCUUUUGACAGCAUUUCUGAUUUCGCGUUCUUGUGUCUUUUUCACACGUUUCUGUUUUGAAUUGGACUUUGGUGUAAACAUGAAAGUUGUAGAUAAUUUUGUUAGCUUUCUAAUGGCAUUGGUUUGACGUCCAAAUGAUUUUUAGAACUUGAGAUAUGAUUAAAUUACUACACAUGGGUCAUGUGGAUUUUUGUGAAAACUUAUCAUAACUUUCUCUAUGAGCCGUGGAACUUUUCCAAACUUGAUAUUGUGUUUAAUGAAGUACUUAGAGUGAAUAAUUUAGUAUGCAUUUAUGUAUUUGGGAAUGUGAAUGUGUUGAUGGUUUAAGAAAUAUUUCGGGCGGAGUUGAAUCGGUGAAAAUGGGUUUUGAGCUAAAUGUUGUUUUGUCUUGGUUUUUCUCAUACGAACUUGAGCUACCCUUUGAACUAAUUUCUAAUAGUUUGUAAGUGGCUUAAGUCCUUGACUACAUGAUUGAUUAAGAUUGAAUUGUAGGAUUUCAAACUUAAAUAAGUUGUCUAGCUUUAAAAAUUGUCAAUGUUGGCCGUUUGCCACAUGUUUUGGAUUUUUGUUGGAAAUGUUUCUUAAGCAAAUUGUCUUGUGAGUUAUUGAGAUUAUUCUUGUAUGACUAAGUGAAGUUGUAUGAAUGAAUGAUUGUAUUGAAUAUGAUGUUUAUCAUGAGAUGUGUAUGCUAUCUUACUUAGAAUGUAAGGAAUGCUUGAAUGGUGAAACUAUAUGUGAUAGUUGAUGUUGGAUAUGAUAUUUGUCAUGAGAUGUUGUAUGUUCUCUUACUUGGGAUAUGAGAAUUGUUUGGAAUGGUGAAACUAUAUGAUAUAGUUGAUGUUGAAUGACAUUGUUGAUUAUUGAUAAUCAUGUUGAUGUGUGAUGGUGAAUACUAUGAUUUAUUUGUGUGGGCAUGUUUUCUUGAUAAUGCAAUGUUGUGGAAAUAAUCAAUAUAAUUGGGUGUUGUCCUAUAUAUUGAGGUUGAGAUUGUGAAUUGUUGUCGCAUUAUCGAGUCCUUACACAUGUCCAUGCAUCAUAGUCGUUGUUGCUGUAAAAGGGAGGACUCUUUUACUUCGAGAUUAUUGUAAGGCAGAGGUGAGCCUUACAUGCGAUGUUGACUUGUCCAUCGGAGGUGACGACCUUGUUGAGAUUUGGUACCACAUGCAUUUAUGUGUCCAUAAGUGCAUAUCAUAGCAUGAGUCUUAUGUGAAAUAUGUGAUUGGUGAUGAAAUGAGAUGAAUGAAUGUUGAUAAUGAUUGUUCAAUGAUUGGUGUUGUGAAUGAAUAUUUAUGAUUGGGUAAUUAUUCAUGUGAUUGAUGUAUGUUGAUAUGAGAUAUCGAGUUGUGAUGUAAGUAUUUAUGUAUGACUAAUACUAUUCAAGUACAUGAUAUUAUUUGAUUUGAUUAUUAUUUGGUUAUGAUAAUGUAAUGCUUACCCCCAGUGGUUUUAACCGCCUACUUGCCUGUAUGGGUGAGUAGACGUUGUGCAGGAGUAGUGCUCGGUGAGUCUUUGCGUGGGAUAUCGGGAGCUUUCUCCGAUAUCGGGUCGUGUCGGCUCUGAUCUAGGCUUGUCGUGUCGGUCUAGAUUAGGUUGUUUAUAUUUCCUUUGGAUUAUUGUUUUGUUGGUGACUGCCCGUAUGUUUGGGUUUUGAGAUUUAUCUUAGGGAUAUAAGUUAUUUGUUCAUGGCAUGUAUAUAUUUAAUCACUCUGAUUUAUAUUCCGCUGCAGCUAUUGAGGUUUAUAUACAUGUCUGUCGGUUUUUGAAUUUUGAAUAAGAUGUAAUCUCUAUUUCUUGAAUAAAUGUAUUAUUCGCAUGUUUAAUUGCUUAAAUAGAGAUAGGAGUGUUACAGUUCACGCUUCAGAUGUGUAAUCCUGAGCGUGAGGGGGGUGUUAAGAGUCCCACAUCGGUUAGGAGUUGGCCUGACAAUUUGUUUAUAAGUGGGGGAAAUCCUCACCUCACAAGCCGGUUUUGUGGGGUUGUGUUAGGCCCAACCACAAUUUCUAAUACUUACUAAGAGUAAAGCCACUUUAUUUCAUCAACUAAAUGUAGAGAAAUAUUCAAAAACUUCUUCAUUAACCACUAAUGCUGUGUUUAGGCUAUUAACUAUUUCAGUCAAAAGCUCCAUUCAAAAUCCCCCCAUACCAAAAUAAAUAAAUAGAAGGGGAGAACAAGCUUAAGUUUUCUUAAUAUUUACAACAACAUCAAAUGUCAACUUUUCUAAGCUUAAAGUGGCUAAAAUUAACUAUAAGUCAGUCUACUUAUUGAACUUUAUGCAGUUGCAAACUCUGAGAACCUUCAUUUCAACAUUUUUAACCAUUAGAGAAGGGAGAAAAUAAAAUUAAAAAUUGGUAAGAUUUAUGUGUAAAAAUGUUUUCAUUUAUAAUUUAUAAAGCUUCCAUCAAUGAAGCGGGAAAAAAUAUCCUCCCUAUGAAGCACCGAAACAGACACGGAUACCGGACUCGACACUUACAUUGAUUUGUCAACACCAAUAGUAAUUUAAGAAAAUCAGAUGUGUCAGUAUUGGAUACGAACACCAAACAUGCUUAGCAUCAGAAGUGUUUGUGCAACAAAGCAUCCUCCACAGUAUCUUACAUAAUGUCUCAUCAUUUGAUAAACUAUUCAAGGUAGAAAUAAUUAAUUGAUUUAUAAAGAUAAUAAUGAUAAUGAUGUACCUGGACCAAGGAAUCUAUCUAGCCAUGGUGUUCCUAUUCUUGUUUCAUUAAGAACCAAGUUCUGCAUGACUGACACUAAAGCUAGAUGUUGUUGCUGCAAAAUUUCUGUCUCCGAAACUCCCACUUCCACUAACCUUCUUUGCUUUUUCAGCAGUGGGUGAAAUUGUAAUAACAAAGCAUUGAGAUAUUUUUCUAAUUUUAUCUUUCUAAUAUAAGGAUCAGUGAAUACCACAUCCUCCUCAUCCAUGUUGCUUUUCUUCUUCAACACGUGGAUUCCCAUUUGUGAACUCCUUAAUUUUUUAAUCACUUCCUCAGGUGGACUACAAAUACUCGUCAACUUAAGCUCCACAUGGAUCCAUUCAUUUUUCAAAAGUUCUUUGUCCAUUUCAGACACAAGAUUUGCACAUUUAAUCUGUUCUUUCAAUUUCAUAUCAAACAAAAAUGCAUGUGCCGAGUCGAAAACCGAUAGAAAGUGAGAACCACAGAAUAAAUAUGUAGGAAAACCACAUCGAUAUCCAUUGACAAACAAAUUGAUAUCUGGAACUAUAGUAGUAUAUCCCAAAAAAAGAAAAAUGGAAGUAACAGAAGGGAUCUUUUUACGAAACCAGAAAGAAAUUGUAUCUCCCCCUGAUUUGGUGCUCGUACCAAUCUGGAAUCCCCUCUUUUACGUUUGAGAAACGAAUAUCGGUGCAUCCAGCAUCAUUUAGGUUCUGUUUGUUUAGAAUAAGAUAUAUUACAUUGUCCAAUAUGAAAUAUUAUAUAUCAAUAUCAAAUAAUAUAUACUGCAACACAAAACAACAACAAACCUGACUAAAUAACAUUCUUCUAGUUGAGAAACUCAGUGAUACGCAUCGCAUUGCAUCCAAGUAAUUUAGAUUUGGUGGAAUCAAGGGGAUUAUAUGGUUUGUGCUGAGAAGUAUCCGUUUUGCAUAAAAUUUAUAAAAAAUAUUAUCAUCACACAUUACUAACUCACAGCAUAAAUAAAAUACUAAGCAAAACAUAAUUGUUUGGAGUGGAUGGAGGAGGAGGUGGAGAUAUAUUUUCUUGAGUAAAUAAAUUACUAAGAAAUCAAAGGUUCAAUGAAACUAAUUUACGAUUUAUGCAACAUCACAUUAAUCACCAAUUUAAAAUAUCAAAGAGUACAGCAAUAAAAUUUUAAUCAAACAUAUCUAAUGCGAGAGUAAAAGGGAUCAGCGUGAGAAUUGAAGUAGUAAUUCCUUGACAGUUUUACCAUCAGAAUAAGCCCAAGCUUCUUCUCCAUCAGAUUAAUUAGUUUUUAAUGUUUUUAAAAAAAAAAUGUUGAGUCCAUUAUAUUCAUGUGUUUGAGUCUCCAUGUCACCGACGGCAGUAAAUAAAUAUUAACAUAAACUAAUGGAUGAAAAUGACUAACCUGACACAACUUGAUGAAAUUAAAAGACCAUUUUUGCGGUAGGGGAUCAAUAAUAUGAACCCCAAAAUUAAGAUAAAUGAUCAAAAAGGUAUUUACGCCUAAUUAAUAGGUACAUUCAAACUACUCACUAACAAAGUCCAUUUGAUGUGAAUGUGGCACUGCACCCUAUUUGAUUUUUUUGGUUAUACUGAAUAAUUUAGCUUAUUACUGGUCAUUUUUGUCUUUGAAAAUGGAUCUGCAAGUAUAUCAGAAAACAAAUAACUACUUCAUUUCAUAUUUUUCAGUUUAAGAUGAUCAGAUUAGUCUUUUGAUUUGAGGUCAAAAUUCUUUUAAUUGACUUCAAAAACACACUUUAAAAUAAAAACAUCCUAGUCUUUGAGUUAACCAACCAAAUAUGAAAUCUUGUUAUCAUACUGAUGAAUUCUGGAUAUCACAUGUUUCUGCAUGACUAAAUUUUCAAUAAUAGCUUUUCUCUUAAGUUUUGUUUGGCAUAUACUAGUGGUGAAAUAUCCUUUUCACUUGCCGUUACUAUAUCAACAAAAAACUUAUUGCAAGGAAUUCUUUUUCAUAUUUAUCAAACCAUCAAGUGUCCAGCAUAUAUAUAACAUCUCACUGUUAAAAAAUUCAUUAUAAUUUACUUAUAUACAUAUCCAAAACUCAGCUCAGGCACGAGUUUCUUCUUUAUGUUAUAGCAUUUAAUCCUUUCUUCCAAUCUCAGAUGUCAUAUCAAAAAGAUAUGUUUGAUUCGAUGGAAUCUAGACUACUUUUACAUAGCCAUUGACAGACAAAUUGACUACUUUUUCAGUUAUACAAGGGAUUUCUUUACAACACCACAAAGAGUGUGUCUUAUGAUUUGGUGCUCGAACCAAUCUGGAAUCCCCUCUUAAUGCUUGUAUUGAUAUCAACAACUAAAUACUUAUUUAAUAUUGUUUCAACAUCAUUAAUAUAUUCAGAAAAUCAACAAUCAUUGAACAACAAAAGUUAAGUUAGCAACAUCGAAGUUUCUGAUAUUUGCUUUUUCAGUACACAUGCUUCUGAACAUACAAUAAUGAAAGAAUCAAAUUCAAACAAUAUCUGUAGCACAAACAUCCUCCUUAAAAACUUACAUCAUGUCUCACCAUAUAAAAACCAGAGUGCAUUGAGUAUUAUACCAAUAACAUUGAUUAGGAUUUUGGAGAACAAAAGCACGACUCUUGCAAAAGGAUCUCAUAAAUGUCGGUUAUCAGAUUUAACUCUUUACCACACAUAACUUCUUGCAUAUCCAAAAGCUCUUUUCCAGUAAGGACAGAGUUUAGUUUGAGAAACCCAUCACUUCAUAGUCAUUUCAACCUGGUAUGCAUAUUUACAUGACAUAAAUAUAGAAACUAAACAGAAGACACAUUUCAUUAUAAAAACAUUAGUAUAGAACAUCUCUUCCCAUUCAAUUAUAUAUGUUCAAUUUCUAGUUCUACCAAAUAUCUGUCAGAACACAAAAUAGCAAUUGUUUUGCCAAAGUUUUGAGGAGACAGAACAUUUUGCGAACUUUAGAGAAAAUAAUCUAAACACAUGUCCUCACCAGGGGAAGGUAUGGAUAGAACGAAUGAAAUUACGUAGAGCUGCAGAAGGAUCAUGUGAAAUGUUCAAUUCACACCCAAUGUGGCAACACAAAAUUCCAACUGAUCUGCAAAGCGUAUGAUUACCCAAUUCCCUUUCAAGCAACACCUCUAGACAUCUCGUAUGACAAUGCACAAAGAAAGGCAACUACAAAUUGUUUCCUGACAAAUGUAAAAAUAUAGGGUUAAUAGUGUUUUUCACCCCUGUAAUAUAUGUCAUUUCCGGUUUUCGCCCCUAUAAAAUUUUCGGUUUGAUUUGCAUCCUCGUAAAAAUUUUAUUUUCCGGAAAACACCCUUAAUAGGCCAUUCAAAAACCAAAAAUUCUUGAAAGAAAAUUCUGAAAAUGGCCUAUUAGGGGUGUUUUCCCGGAAAAUAAAAUUUUUAUGAGGGUGCAAAUCAAACCGAAAAUUUUAUAGGGGCGAAAACCGGAAAUGCCAUAUAUUACAGGGGUGAAAAACACUAUUAACCCAAAAAUAUAUUACUUUGGUAUAAUUAUCAAUUUCUUUUUCAGAUUAUGAUUAAAAGCAUUUAUUCUUUCAAAGUAUAAGGAUCUUACUUGUAACAACAUUCAUCUAGGAUUCGAAGCAAUUUAUUAGAUAUUGUGAGAAAGUGGCCAACCUCCACCACACCUUUUAAAAGUUCUGGACUGAAGGGAUAUAUCUGCAUUUAAAUAGAUGUUAUAAGUAACACAAUACACAGUUACACUUCAACAGAGCUUUGAGCUCAUUGUAAACUUCGAGUGUGCUUAUAAGCUACUGGAAUUUUGAUCAAUUAUGUAUCAUGUUUCAAUUGCAAUAACGCUAAAUUUCAUCAUAAAAAUAAAAAAUGCAUGCAUAUACUACAUAAAUUAUCCAUACGUUUAUUGGUCAGACUUAAAGCAUAUGCCAUUAGUUAGGAGAGAUUAAAGUUCCGAUUUGAAACAUAAUUAAAGAGAUCGAUAUGUUAGUAAUAGGAGUCCUGAUGGCAGAAGUUAUAUUAAAUUAUUAACUGCUACAUCUGCAAUAACUGCUAUCUUUAGUACUUCUAUGUAACUGCUAUAAGGAGUUAGUAUUAUAAAUAUGGAUGCNNAGGGAAAAGAAGGGCAUUGGGUUAUUUGGAUAAAGGAUUGAUAGGAAUAUAUCAAGCUCGCGAGUUCUUGACGGGGAUAGAACGAACAUUCUCGAAUUUCUUGGGAUUCUAUUGUAAUGAUUAUAUUAAUUAAUAUUUUGAUAACAGUGUAUAUCACAAUACAAGUUUAUGAAAUGUUUAUAGUUACUAAUCAUCAACUAAAUGUAGAGCAAUAUUCAAAAAGUCUGAAUCUUUAUAAUAACUCAUGAAGACUUCAACACCUAAUGUCAACUUUAUAACCUUAAAGUGGCUUAAAUUUACCUUAAGACGGUCUACUUGUUGAUCUUUAAGCAGUCGCAAACUCGGAGAACUUUCAUGUCGACAUUGUAACCAUCAGAACAUGGAGAGAAAAAAUACUUGGUAAGCAGGAAAAAAAUCCUCCAUUGAUGUAGGAGAACAAACACGAACACCGAACUCGACACUAACACUGAUUCGUCAACAUUGAUAGUAAUUUAAGAAAAUAAUAUAUUUCAAUGUAAUCACAUGUGUCGGCAUGAGACACGUGUCAGACACAUAAUCUUACAUCAUGUCUCAUGAUUUAAGCAACUUCUCCAUCUAUAAACAAUGAAUUUGUAAUUGACUAUAUACAGAAAUUAAUCAAUAUUUAUAAUAAUGAUAAUGAUUUCAACUGUAAACAGUAAAGCACAAACCUGCAAAGUUGAGAUUGAGAGGAUAACAACAAGACGGUUAACUUUAUGGCGCACCUGGAUCAAGGAAUGUACCCCACAUAUUUCUUUCAUCUUGUCCACUGUUUAAUAUUUCUUUCUCCUCUUCUUUCAUUAUAUCUUCUCUCUAUAAUAUAAGGAUCGGUGAAUAUCACAUCCCCCUCCCAUGACACGUGGAUUCCCAUUUGUGCACUAACAUGAUCAUCCUUCUCCGUGAUCCAAUUAAGCUCUACAUGGUUCCAUUCAUUAUUUUUAAAUGCUUCGUACAGUUCAGGCUUAUUUCCAAAACUCUCGUCAAUAUGGUCAUCCAAAUUCAUAUCAAACAAAAAUGCAUGUUCCGACGGCAGAACUGUCCCCUUAUAAUCGAAAAGAUAGCCAGAACCAAUAAGUUCAUUGCCAUUGACAAACAAAUUGAAUUUUUUAAUCGCCGCAAAUUCCGGAAUAAGAAUAAUACAAGUUAUAGAAGGGAUCUUUUUACAUAACCAGAAAGAAAUUGAGUUGUGUCCCCUGACUUGAUGCUCGAACCAAUCUGGAAUCCCCUCUGUUCCGGUUGGCAAAACAAUAUUGUUGCAACCAGCAUCGUGCAGUCGCUGUUAGAUUAGCAUAAGAUACAGUAUUUCAGUGUGGAUAAUAUAUGAAAUACUAAAUAUCAAAUACCAGUGCAAGAUAAAAUAAAAACAAACCUGACUCAAUAACAUUCUUCUACUUGAGGAACUCAAUGAUUUACAUCCUUCUGCAUAAAGAUUUGUUAGAUUGGGUGGAAUCCCUCUAAUUUCCUCAAGAGACUCACAGUAAUCCAAAUAAAGAUGCUCAAGAUAGUGACAUUCACUAAGGCACUUGGGAAGAAUUUUGAAAUUUUUGUCCAUUAUUACUAACUUUUGAAGUUCAUUGAGAUUUUUAAAUGAAAAUGGCAUUUCUUCUAUGGAAGUAUCACAUAACCAAAUCUCUUUUAUAUUUGACAUCUUGCAUAAUAAUUCUGGAAAACUCUUGAGACUCCUACAAAAAUGGAGUUCCAAUUUCUUAAGAGACGGCAGACAUAAGGGUGGAAAACUCUUGAGCUUCCUGCACAUGGUCGCAUCUAAGAUUUCAAGUUUAUAAAGGUACCCAACUGAAUUGUGAAUUGUAGUUAAAUUUUUACAAUUUUGAAAUGAGAGCCUUAUUAAUUCUGGAAGACCUGAAACAUCAGGUAUAUGAGUUAAAUAGUCACUACAGUCAAAGGUCAAGAUUCUCAGGUUCAUGAGCUUCUUCUGCAUAAACACCAUAAAGAAACAAACAAAUAAAAAUCAGACACUAUAUAUUGAAUUUAUAAAUAUACACAAUUGGAAAAUACAAUUAUUUUACUUGCCUUGAAUGAAAAACAAAAUGAUAGAGGCUCCGAAGUAAAUCCUUUCCAUUUCAAUACUAUCAAACUUUUUGGAAGAUACUUGAGACCUUUAGAAAAAUAGCCCUUUUCAAUGAUAAGUGUUUUGAGUUUUUUCAUCUUCUUAAAGGCCUUUUCAUUGAUGUUGAUGGGUUCCAUUGAGGAACAAUUCAGAUAUAUCAUUUCAAUUUUACUAGUUCCCUUUUAACAAAAAAUAAAACAAAAAUUAAUCAACCAUAAUACAAAUAACAUAUAGAGCUUGAACAUGUACAUGUAAUUAAGUGUAAAAAGAUUUAGUAUGAGAUGGUCAUAUAUAAGUCCAAAAAGAGGAAAGUCAUGGUAAGCUAAAAUAACAAAUUGUUCAUAGAUAUCAAUCUUACUGUGUUUUGUUUUAAAACAUGAGCUAUAUCAUCAUGACGCCACAACCUAGUGCGCUCUCCAGGCUCUUUAAUUGAUUCUUGUCGGACUAUUUCUAUACCCAUAUACUCUAUCAAGUCAUGUAAUGUAACAAUAUAAGAAGUGUAGUAUGGAUCUGGAGCACUAAUCUUUAUGAGAGAUUCAUCAACCAACACUCUAACAUGAUGUGUCAUUGAAUGGCCAUAAUGAAAUUGAAGUGUCUCUGAAACUUCUGCCAAUCACAUCCUUUGAAGCAACAAGCAAUAUCCAAAAAGACACUCUGUUGUUCUUCUUCCAAAGUAUCAAAGCUUACUUUAAGUAUCUUUUGGAUAUCUUCAGGUGGAAUUCUUUCAUACUUAUCUAAGGUUGACUCACAAUCUGCUAUACUCUUUCCAAACAAGUUGGAACCCACUACUUUUAAAGCUAAUGGAAGGCCAGAAGCAUAUUCAACUGCACGGUUUAAAAUAUAAUCAUAGCUGGAAUCAUUUUUAAAAGUCAUCUUUCUUAACAAUUCAAGAGAUUCUUCCUUAUUUAAACUGUCUGCUUCGUAUAUUUUUGUUAUCCCAUGGCAUGAUAACAAAUAUCUGUCUCGAGUGGUAAUGAUGACUCUGCUUCCUUGACCGAACCAACCAGGCUCUCCGACCAAUUUCUCCAACUGAUUUGGUUUGUCAACGUCAUCAAGAAUCAACAAAACUUUCUUCCGACAUAGCCUUUGUUUUAUGAUUUCAAUUCCUUCAUUAUCAUGUUCUAGCGGGGUGUCAUAUCCGAUUGAUUUGGAGAGGAGCUGCUCUUGGAGAUACUUUAAGCUAUGUUUAAAUGAAUUUUCUCUAACAUUGUAAAGGAAACACCUACAUUCAAAUUGAUUAACAAUUGAAUUAUAAACUGCUUCAGCAAGUGUUGUCUUACCCAGACCUCCAGUUCCAAGGAUUCCUAUUAUGUAGACUCCAUCGGUACAUCCCAAGUCUAGAAGUGAAUUCACUUCUGAUAUUCGAGAUUCGAGUCCAACAAGGUACUCAGCAACAUGUAAAUGACAACGGUUGAUCUUGUUGGAGACGUCUGUAACUAUUUCUUCAAUAAAUUUGUAUUCAUAUUUAUUUCUGUCCAAUCAUACAUAUUUAAAUAGAUGUAUUAGAAUAACAAUCACACAUAUGUAUUAAUAUAUAACAGUAAUUAUAAUAUUGCAAUUCAAAUUGUUUGAACAUAGAAUGACCAAAUUUUCUCUAUAUGUAAGAAAAAUGGAAAACAAGAUUGAAAUGAAGAGCGGUACCCAUGAAUGAAAUUGGUGAAGAGCUUCCUUCCAUUUCAGCAACCGCUCCAUGUUUUCCAUGUCAUUUUGAAACUCCACUUCAUGCUUAGCAAGUGCUUCACCAUAACUGUCUUCCAGUUUUCGCACAUGAGAAGGUUCGGUGCCAUAGAAAACAGGAAUAACCUUGGUAACCUUUUCUCUGAAGCAAUGAAUGAUGUGGACAAGUUCAUCUAAACAAAAUGAAGAAGUAGCAUAGUUCUUAGAGAAUAUAAUAAUGGCAAUCCUCGAUUCUUCAAUGCUCUUCCGGAGUGAAGGUGUGAUUUCGUCACCAGUUGGAAGCUCCUUGUCAUCAAUGAAGGUGUGGAUUCCUUUGUCAGAAAGAGCCUUAUAGAGGUUACCGGUGAAACCAAAUCGAGUGUCGGUACCCCUGAAACUAAUGAACACAUCGAAGUUGAAAUCAUAAGAGAGGGAGGAGGAGGAAGUAGGUAAUUGCAUAGCCAUGAGAAAAAAUGGCAUUGAGAGUCAAUUUAAAACAUUAGUCUUGAAACUUCCAUCUCAUCUUCUGAAUUUUUGGUUGGGUAAGGAGUUAUUAGUAGGACUGGCCCUCUUGCUUUGAUUUGGCUCUGCAGAGUCAGAAACUUCCUUUGAAUUUUCUAUAACCCUUCCAUGUGACUUCUUGGUAAUAUCUUGACUGAUAUUACUUACUUUUCAUUUUUGGACAAACACCAUUAAAAGAACCAAAUAUUAUAUAAUGUAACUACCAUUAGAACCAAACUUUUUUUUUUUUUGAGAAAGAAGAAUACUGAGAGUAGCAUCAUAUACAUUCUCUAAAUAGGAAAUAUCUUCCAAAUAACAGUCAAAUCCAAAAAUAAACGAUUAAAUGGAACAAUCCAUACAAAUUAAGAAAACUGUGUAAACUGAAGAGAGGGAAAAGUAGUACUCCCUAUGUUUUUAUAUAUAAGAAAUUUUAGCUUUUAUUAAAAAAAAUUGAUAGUGUAGUUGAUGUUUAUCAAUUUACCAAAAAAACCCUUUGGUUGUGUAUGUAGAAAAUUUUGCUUUUUCAUAUAACAAAGUUGGGCUGGGCUUUGUUUGAGAGUUUGGAUGGGAGAGGAAGAGAGGGCUUUGAGGGAAGAAAUUUUAAGGGAAAAUACAAAAAUCUUUCACAAUUUUUUAGAGUUUUUUUACAAAAUGAGUAUUUUUAUUAGAGAAUAAUAAAUUAAUGUUUAUGAUUGAUAUCUUUUAAAUUUUAAGAAUAUUAUAUUAUAGCAACAUUUUCUUUCAUAUGGCGUAAUUUGAUCCAUGUAGUCAACUAUGUUUAAUGCGAUAAGGAUUCAUUGUUGUUGUAUAGCAACAUAAAUUAAAUUUAAAAAUUUUUAUAAACCCUUCAAAACUCCUCCUCCAAAUCGGAGAGUUUGAUCUAUCAUUUAUAAAACACUAAGUAUAACAAAAUAAAAUAAAACCACACAACACGCAGGUCUAAAUCUAGUUUUGUGCAAUUUCCACAUAUUUUCAAAAUACACAAAAACUAUAUGAUAUUUAUAAUUGAUAUCAAUUUUUUAUGCACAACUAUUAUUUCUCUUUUUAUAGUAACUAUUUUAUAUCUUCAUUGUUAAUUUUAUGGUUAUAAAUGUUGGAAAAAGAAAGGUUGAGUUGAUGGCAUCAGAAUGAAUCGAGAGACUAUGUGAUAUUUAGAACUUCAGGCCUCAAUAAUCAAACAGCUUAAUCACUAAUGCAUAAAAAAGUUAUGAUAUAAUGUGAUUGGACCUCAAAAAUCAUACAGCUUAAAAACUGUAAAAAAAAGGUCGAAAAAGUUGUGAUAUUUAAUGCCACCGUAAACUAUUUAGGAUGUAUUAGUAACAUUUUUGUAUUAUUAUAUUUGUACAUAAAACAGAAAUAGUAAAAACCAAGCCAGGUGAUAAAAUAUGGAGUAGUGUAAUUUGCAAAAAGCAACAAAUAUUUGACAUACUUUUACAAACUUUUUGAAGUAGCCCAUAUGUAGAAUGUUUUAACCUUUAAUUAGCCCAUCUAGUUGAAUGCUAAAACCAAAGCAUCAUUUUUAACAUACUUUUACACACAUUUUUCUGUGCAUUAGGGUGUAUUAGUAACAUUUUUGUAUAAUAUUUGAACAUAAAACAUUUAGUAAAAACUAAACAAGGAUAUAAAUAUGGAGUAAUAAAGUUUGCAAAAUGAGUCCCCGUGAGCUUUGCUCAGUUGGUAGGGACAAAUGCAUUUUAUAUGCAGGGGCCGGGGUUCGAACCCCGGACACCCCACUUCUCCACAUUUAACUUUUUAUUUUGAAGGAACUAGAGUAACUUGAUGUCUAUAUUUGGAGUUUGACUCACCUCAUGUAAAUUUUUCAAUUAGUUUUAUGUGCACAACUCCUAACACAACCGACAAAAAUGCAUAAAUUAUGAGACCGGUCGUCGUAAUCGAGAUUUGAAUCCAAAUUCCUUUACUCGUUUGUGUAUGUUUUCAAGUGAUUUAUCAUUUUGUCUAUCUACCAAGAAAAUAUACACAUUUACUCAUGUCUUUAUAUUGGCAUAUCUAUUAACCCAAAGCAUCUAAAUGGGGGGACAUGGUUCUUUGCUCCCUAUUUUACCAUAUAACCAUUUCAUGGCACCCACCCACCACUCUGCCCCUAUCAGAUGUGCACAGGGCGCUAAUUGUACCACAACUAGGCGUGCCACAAGUUUUGGCAUCUUUUCCCUGCACACUCUAUUGCUCUACCUAGGUACUUUGGAGUUCUGUGCUGCAUGUAAAGAAAAAAAACAUGAACAUAACCUUUGUAUAAAAUAAUAGUACAAUAAUUUAGUUAUACUUUAGUUAUUUACAGUGUGCAUGCAUUUAAAUUAGAAACAUCCUUCUCAUUUUCCUUUAGCCGUGUGGACCAUUCACACAAUUAUUGUUCAACUUUUUCUUUACUGAAAAACACUGCAGAACCAUUAUUUAUAUUGUCCUCGUGCUACGUUAUUAAUUACACUUCUUAACCUUUUUCCAUUUUACUUCUACGAUCUUUCUUUGUUACUUCAUGGGACUAAAAUAAUAGUAUAAUUUUUUUUUUUAAGUCAAGAAGCAAGGAAGACGACAGACGUCAAGGGAAAUCAACGACAUCCCAAUUAGAUUGAUACCCUAAAGAACCGUAUAUAAAAUGAAAAUAAAAGUUGUUAUGUGGACUCAAACAGACAGGAAUGUUGUUGUUCUAAAGAUUUUGUCAUUUUCCUUGAUUCUAAAAAAAUGCACACAAUUGUUCACUUUUACGGUCUAUUAUCUCCUAAAAAAUAUAUUUCCACUGCUUAUAAGUUAACUGUUUCGUAAGUUAACUAAUUUAACUUGUUCCCCAAAAAUAUACGCAUUUGUUCAGGUCUUUAUUUUGGUAUCUAUCACAUACACUUCACUGCACCCUGAAGUCGUGACACCACUCUGCUCCCAAUCGAACUACUAUUGAUAUCAAUUAAACAUUCGUAUGUAAACAUAUGAACAUUCAAUAAACAUGCUUAUAAAACUUGUAUGCUAAUAAAAACAUGGAAUUCCAACAAUAUUUUACACUGGACAAACAUCCUCCAACUCUAGCAGUAGCACCAUGACUAUUUCAAAAAUGCUCAAACAGCCUUCGCUUACUCAGCUCUCUAAGCAGCAAAGGUGGACCAAAUAAACUAAACUUAAUUAAAGCAGUGGCAACUUCUUUAUAACAAGCCUGCCACUCAAAUCUGCCAACACUAUUGCUGAAGAAUUGCAGGAUCAGGUGAAGAUGAAGUUAUCCGGGAAGCAGCUUAUGGAAAUAAGCUAAAAGGAAGCAUAAGCUGAAAUAAGUGGAUGGAUACAAACAAACCAUAAAUAGUUAAUUUAAAAUAAAGCAUUUAAUUUCAAUCUUUCUUUGUUACUUCAUGAGAGUAAAAUAACAGUAUAUGAAAUAAAAAUAAAUGUAGUUGUUCUGUGGGACUCCAAAAUCAGACAAGAAUAGGAAAUUUAAGAAGCAGAAUAAUAGUAAUAAUAGAAAUGUUAGUAUCCUACUAUCUUCAUCAUUUAUGUUAUUUAAAGGACAAAGUUUAUAUUUUAUAUUGAACAAUUGUAAAAUGAUCAUUAUUGUCACAAUUAUUAAUAUUAAUUCUCCAGUUAAUUUUUAAUAAAAAAAUAUACAUCAAAAUAUAGAGUGACAUUAUAUAUUAGCUUCAUCCUUUAUUAAUUUUUUAUUUUGUAUAAUUACCACACAUUUUAAAAAUACACAAAAACUAAAUGAUAUAUAUACCAUAUCUGGUAUCAUUCCUAUUAUAACCUUAUAUCAAUGCAACAUUAACAGUAAUACAAUUUGGGAUGGAGGGAGUAUCACAUAAUUGGACAAUGAUUCACAAAUGUGUGGUAGAUGUGAUUCGAACCUGAGACAUAGAGAUGUAACAAACUUGCCUUAGCCUCUUCGGUGUAGCACUUUUUCUGUUUAAUUUUCGCAUUUACUAAUAUAUAUAUAUAUAUAUAUAUAUAUAUAUAUAUAUAUAUAUAUAUAUAUAUAUAUAUAUAUAUAUAUAUAUAUAUAUAUAUAUAUAUCGUAUUAUAAAUCAAAUAUGUACACUAAAAAAUUUCUUUUACAAUUUUGUCACACCAAACCAUCAUGUCUAGAUCUGUCCCUGGUAGGACCUGUGCUUUUAUUUGGCUCUACACUUUUACCAUGUAAGAAACUUCCUUCCUAUUUCCUAUCUUCUCUAAAAUAACCAUCACUUUUUUGCCUCCUCUUUCCAUGUAAUUUCUCUAAAGCAAUGUGAGUGUCUUAAAAAAGAAGGAAAAAAAGAUACAGUUUGAGGGAAGGCAUGAAUGGAGAGAAAAUGGGAUUGAACCUUAAAAAUCAUAUAUAGUUUAAAAACACGGAUAGAUCGGUCUCGUUUCCGGAGGGAGACCUGAAUAUAUCACCUACUUUAAAAGACAUAAUACUUUUUUUAUGAAUUUCUCAUUUAAUUAUUAGUAGCUUUUAUUUGGAUCUGCACUUUUACCAACCACUUUUUCAAGUUUAUGUGGGGGACCUAAAAAAUGAACUGACAUUUUUAAGUGGGGGUCCUUAAAAAUGAUUGAUGUAAUAUUUUUGCAUCAAACAAUAGUAAAUAUUUAUAUCGUCUCCUCAGAGACUAGUGCGAUAUCAUGGAUCGUUCGACACCAAAUAUCAUUCUAAGUUAAACGAUAAUUUGUUGUUUGUUUUAAUAACUAAGUUGCAAAUGAUAAAGUUGAGAUUAAUAAAGUGUGAAACUUGUUAGGAUUAGAGUUCCUUGAUCAAGUGUCACACGUAACCUAAUAAUCAUACAUGAAUUCUAGCUUUUCUUUGAUAUUAUCACGUAUCCCUCGACAACAUCAUUCGUGUCCAAACAAUAUUGUGAAAUCAAUUGUAUCAUUCAAUCGUCGAUGUCUCAAACUAUUGAAUGAUUCAAGAGUCGGUCUUAUCAUUUAAUCGAUGAUUUCUCAAUCAAUUGAAUGAUAAGAAAGCUUUAAGUUUGGAUACAAAAGGUGAUUAUCAAAACAUCAAUUCCAUGUCUAGAACCCAUGUUUUGAUAGAUGAUUAUUCUAAACUUAGAUUCAAAAGUAUUUAUCAAUCACAAUUAAAUCAAACAUAAGUAUUAAAGUGCAAGAAUAACAUCAAUAUCAAAUUAAAUGCUAGAACCAUAUAUUUAUAGAUCAAAAGAUUACAUGUUAAGCUAAGAUCAAGUACCUCUAAUCCGAACAAAGGAGAUUUAGCUACUCAUUACACACUUGUGAUCUCUCAACAAAAUGAUGUAGAAUCCACUUUCUAUCACUCUCACUCUAUCAAGAACAAUCCCUAUCUCUCUCUCUCUAUGAAUAUUACAAAAUGAAAACUAUGAAAAAUUAAGGAUCCUUAAUGAAAUGAUUGAAUGAGCUAUUUAUAGAAUUCUAAUUCUGCAUCAAAUCGUCUCGCGAGCUCCUUCAUUCGCCAGGGCGAGUGAAGUUCCUUCACCAUUGGGUUUGUGCCACGUCAGCCGUGAGAAGCCUAAGCCGCCCUAACUCGCCUCGCGAGUACAUUCCCUCGCCAUGGUGAGGAGAGUGAAACACUGAUGCUCUCCAAAAUUGCUCGCCUUUGAAACUCGCCUUGAUCUCGCCAUGGCGAACGUACUCGCCUUCUACUCGCCAUUGUGAGUUGGUGGUGUGUAAUCUUUGUUGCUUACUGGAAUUGCUCGCCUGUGCUGCUCGCCAUGGCGAGUUGGAGGCGAGUGACUUCAUUUCCUGCCUCUUUGUACUUUUCUCCAUUUUUUUCUCUUUGCUUGAUGUCUUGAGUUCCAAUCCUGCACAAAUGGGUGAAGUAAGAUAGAUAAAGCGUAAAAGGGCAAUAAUCACUUAUCUCUCGGCUUUUUCCUCAAUAACUUGCAAAACAAGUAAUAAAAGUGCUUUGAAUAUUAAUUUAAAAUACAACUUUCUAGCACUUAUCAAUGAUUGAGAGCUUAAGUGAUAUUUUGUUUGGAUCUCAAAAGUCUUUCUGAUAUUUAAUCACAUCUACCAAACUCACAUUUCUAGCUGUUAUUUUAAGUCAAAAUUGGAAAUCAAUACAUGUUGUAGUCUGUACAGUAACUUGAUCUCUAUAUUUGGAGUGCUAGGUGACAGUCUGGCGCUGACAUGGCACUUGCUGACUGUGUACUCUUUACCACGUGGCGCUGACGUGGCAAUCAAUUAAUUUUGAGAUUAAAGAAACAAUUUUAAAAACUUGGAAAUUAAUUUUUGAAAUAAAAACAUUGAAAAAAGGGAAAAAAAGAUUAAAAAUAAAUAAAAUGAAAAAAAUUCCAAAAUAAUUGUUUUUUAUUUUUUUCUAAAAAAAUUAAAAAAUAUGGAAAUUAAUUAGAGAAUAUUUUUCAAAAUGAAAAAAAAACAAAUUCUAAAUUAAAAGAAACAUAUUUUCAGAUUUGUUUUGAAUUUAAAAAGUUUUUUUUUUCUGGAAAAAUUAAAAAUUCUAGAAAUUAAUUUUCAUAAAUAAAAAAAAACUAAAAUUUAGAUAAUAUUUUUGAAAAAAAAAUUCUGAAAAUUUAUCUUCAGAUUAUUCAUUUGAAAUAUUUUUUUUAAUGUUUUAAAAAAAUUUAAAUUUUCUUUAAAAAAUAAAAAUCUGAAAAUUAGAUAAUGAUUUUUUUUUUUUAAAAAUUUCAAUAAAUUUUAUAAUCUGACAAAUUUUCAAAAAUUUAAAUAUAAAUUUCUAAUUUUUUUUAUUUUUAUAAAUUAAUUUCCAUUUUUUAAUUAAUCGAAAUGACAUGUCAUUGCCAAGUUGCAACUGCCACAUAUGACCUUAGAUGGGCCCAGGGAAUUUUCUUAAAAACAAAAUCUUUUGCAAGGACGCAUUUUAUUUUUUAUUUUUUACGAAGACCUAAAGCCAAAUGUGUAACUUGAAAAUCCAGGGACUUAAAAACAUUGAGAGUUUAAGUGAUAUUUUGUAUGGACCUCAAAAGUCUUUUUAAUAUUUAAUCCCAUCUACUAAAAUCACAUUUCCAGUCGUUAUUUUUAGUCCAAACUGGAAUCUAAUCACUUUUGUAGUCUAUAUACAGUAACUUGAUAUCUAUAUUUGGAGUUUGAUUUAUCUCUUGUAGAUUCUUCAUUAAGUUUUAACCAUAAAUAAUUAGUGUUAGGACCCAAUUAAAAAUGGAUAAAACUAAACAAUACAAAAAAUAUAAACUAUUAAAGAUUCCAGUUUAAUAGUUGAACAAAAAUCCAAGUUGAUAGCUAUGGCUUCUCCUUGAUCGAUAUUCAUUACUCGACAAAAUGGUUGUGCAUCAUGCUAUUAGAUAGUACACGCAAAGAGGAUAUUACUUGUAUCUCAAGCAACUAAGAUUAGAGUCUCACCUUAGUUUACUGUGUUCCUACACUUGUAUAUAAAUAAAUACUCAUUGUAUCUUCAUUCACAAGUAAUAACGAUACCACAUUUUACAUUCAUUCUUCUUCUCUUAAUAUGGUAUCAAAACUAAGCAUUAACCUCACUCUAAACCUCGUCUCGUCUGUGCUUAACCAUAUAUUAAAGGUAAUUAAUCAUAUAUUUUAACUUCAUUAACCACCCAAAUUGUUGUCAAAUAUUUUGUUACGUUUUUGUAUCAAAUUAAUGUAGCUCAAAUACAAAUAUGUAUAAGCCAGAAGCCACCAUGGAAGACAGGCCCUAGCAAUUAACAUGCAUAUCUGUUAAAUAUGAAAUCUAAUACUAAUUAAGAACCAGCAGUGGCACAUUCGACUUAACUCGGAACAGAACAAAUCCUAGGUUGUAUCUGUACAUGGUUAAUUAAUGAGUUUCUUUUAUUCCCAACUCUUCUCAUAUAAUUAAGAAUUUGAUAUAAAAGUUUACCACUCUGCAAUGCACUUGAGUUUCAUUUUUAACAUACACGUUUGGGACAAUCUUAGAAAAUCCUUCAUUCUUCUCUAUGAAAGUGGCUAAAAUUUACAAUAUGACAGUCUAUUAAUUGAACUACAGCACUUGCAAACUAUGAUUAAAAAUUCAGUGGUUUCAAAAUUCGACAUUAUGAACCAUAUGAAAAACCAUCCUCCCUAUCAAGCAUGACACCGGACUCGACACUUACAUGUAAUUGCAUGUGUCGAACACAAACACUUGUUGGGCACCAGACAUGCUUCUAUGAGAAUUGUUUGUGCUACAAAACAUCCUGCAUAUUAAAUUCAAACAAUAUUUUAGACCGCACAAAUGCAACAAUUAAUCAAUUUUUAUAAUAAGGAUCUUGCUAACCGGUGCCCUAAGGGCAAUGAUUAAAGAUUCCAUUACUAGAAAUGUUGUCUUGGAAAUACAAGUCUUUAUUUUUUGCUUAGCAAUAAUUAACCACUCUUCGAUAUAAACUUACUUAUUUUACUAAUUUAACCAAUGCUUUAAGGGCAAUGGUUAGCAUCACGGGCGUAGCCCUUCAUAUGGGAGGGGUAGCCUUGGCUACCCCAAAAAAAAUAUUAUUCUUGAAGUGUUCCGUGUGUAUUUAUAUCCAGGUACCCGAAAUAAAUUUAGUUGCAAAAAUUAGCAUAAAUAAUAAAGUAAAAAAAUUACUACAAAAUUGAUAUAUUUAUUUGUAUUGGUUUGAUACUUUCGGUCUCAAUAACAAUAAUAGAGAAACCUUUUUCAACAAUCUAUCUCAAUUUAAUUAUGUAAAGUUUAAACAGAAAACCACAAACCUGUGAUUAAUUGAGAGAAUCUUGGUGCUCUUUUUGUUUUCUGAAUCUAGCCCUGAAUUUAGGAUGCACCCAAAUCUUUUUCUGAAGAUUUAUACGGAUUGAAAAUUUAUUUCGUUUCCGUUUCUUUUGUGACAAUGAAGCAUUGAGAUAUUCAUUUGAUUUUGUCUUUCUAAUAUAAGGAUCGAUAAAUACCACAUUCUCCUCCUCCGUGUUGCUUUUCUCUUUCCACACGUGGAUUCCCAUUUGUGCAUUUCUGAAUAUUAUAUUGUCACGAUCCUUCACCUUAAACUCCACAUGGAUCCAUUCAUUUUUCAAAAGUCCUUUCUCCAUUAUAUACUCAAAUUGCCUUUUACCGAGUUCAUUCAAUUUCGGGGUAUGAAACAAAUUUGUAUGCUUAAAGUACACAUAGCUAAAGCGGGGACAAUAAUCUAUCUCAAUUUCAUAUCCAUUCACAAAAUAAUUGACUCUUGUGUCAGCCGACCAAUUAUUGCCUUCCGGAGGAAUACAAAUAUAAGUCAUAGAAGGGAUUUCUUUACGAAACCAGAAAGAAAUUGUGUCUCCCCUGCUUUGGUGCUCAAACCAAUCUGGUAUCCCCUCUUUUUCGUUUGGGAAAAGAAAACGAGUGCAUCGAGCCUCAUGUAGUUCCUGUUAGUGUAUAUGAAAUACAAAUAUAUAUUACACAUUAUCAAAUAUAAAUAUAUAUGAAAUACUAUAAAAGAUGUCAAAUACUUUAGUGCAAUAAAAAACAACAACUAACCUGACUCAUUAACAUUCUUCUACAUGAGGAACUCAAUGAUUUACAUUGAUAUGCGGAAAGCUCUUUAAGAUUUGGUGGAAUCCCUCUAAUUUCCUCAAGAGAAGAGCAGUAAUGCAAACCAAGAUGCUUAAGAUGGUGACAUUCACUAAGGCACUCAGGAAGAAUUUUGAAAUUGUUAUGUGAUAAGUCUAGCAAUUCCACAUUAACACACCACUUAAGAACUAUUUGGAGAUAUUCAUCUGAGAGGUUGCACUCGUAGAUUCUAAGCUUUGUCACCUUUGAAAACACUUUAGAAUACAUUCUAUCAUUAUGUUUUGGGAACCUCAGCAUUCUAGCUUCCCGUACUGAUAACUCAUCAAGUUCACUGAGAUUUUGAAAUGAAGAUGGCAAUUCUCCUAUGGAUAUAUUAUAAUCUAAAUCAAUCUCUUUGAUAUUUGUCAUCUUGCAUAAUAAUUCUGGAAAACUCUUGAGACUCGAACAACAACAGAUAUCCAGUUCCUUAAGAGAUGCCAACCCUAAAGGUGGAAAACGUUUGAGCUUUCUGCAACCAAAUGCACUUAACCUUUCAAGUUUGUUUAGGUGUCCAAUCGAAUUGUGAAUUGUAAUUAAAUUAUAACAACAUUCAAACGAUAACUUUUCUAAAUUUGAAAGGCCUGAGACAUCGGGUAUAUGUGUUAAAUAUUCACAAUGGUCCAAUAUCAAGAUUGUCAUAUCCUGGAACUUCUGCAUAAACACAAAGGAAGAAACUAUAAAUAAAUUAAAAAGCAAACACUAUACUUUCAUAGUGAUUUCUUUUAUGUUGGCGAAAAAGAAAUCAUUGUACAUUAUAAAUAUAUACAGUUAGAAAAUGAUUUUAUUUCACUUGCCUUGCUUAAAAUACUAGACGAGAGAGACUUUGAUAAACAUCCUUCCCAUUUCAAUGCUUUCAAACUGCUUGGAAGAUGCUUGAGACCUUUAGAACAAUGGCCAUUUUCAAUGAUAAGUGUUUUCAAUCUUGUCAUCUUUUUGAAGGCCUUUCCUUUCUUGUCUAUUACGGAUUCCAUGGAGUGCAAAUUCAUACAUAUCAUUUCAGUUUUACCAGUUCCCUUUUAACAAAAAUAAAAAUAAAAAAUGCAUCAACCACAAUAAAAAUCUUUUACAGAGAAAUUUACAUGUAAUUAAGUGGAAAAAAAAAUACUAAUAUGAGAUGGUCAUAUUUAGUCCAAAAUGAGCAAAAUUGUAUUAAAACUAAAUAACAAAUUGAACAUAGAUAUCAAUCUUACUCACAGUGUUUUCUGUUAAAACAUGAACUAUAUCAUCUUGAGACCAUAACCUGCUUCUUUCUCCAGGCUCUUUAGGUGAUUCUUGUCGGACCACUUCUUUACCCAUGACCUCUAUCAAUUCAUGUAAUGUCACUUUGAUACCACUGAAAAAGCACCAACUAAUCUUUAUGAGAGACUUAUCAACCAACACUCUAAGGUGGCUUUUUAUGCUAUAACCAUAAUGAUGAUGAAGUAUCUGUUCGACUUCUUCCAAUCUACAUCCUUUGAUGCAACAAGCAAUAUCCAAAAAGACACUCUGCUCCUCUUCGUCCAAAGCAUCAUAGCUCAGUCUAAGUAUCUUUUGGAUAUCUUUAUGUGGAAUUCUUCCAUACUUAUCUAAUGUAGACUCACAUUCUGCAAUACUCUUUCCAAACAAGUUAGAACCCACUACUUCUAUCGCUAAUGGAAGGCCAGAAGCAUAUACAACUGCACGCUUUAAAAUGUCUUCAUAACUUGAAGGAACUUUCUCAUUUUUAAAAGCCUUCCACCUCAACAAUUCAAGAGCUUCUGUCUCAUUCAACUCUUCUACUGCAUAUGUUUUUUCUAUCCCAUGACAGUCUAGUAAGUGUUUAUCUCGGGUGGUGAUGAUGACUCUGCUUCCAGGACCAAACCAAUCGAGUCUUCCAGCCAAAGCCUCUAGCUGAUCCAGUUUGUCAACAUCAUCAAGAAUCAAAAGAAUCUUCUUUCCAUGUAGCCUUUCCUUUAUUUUAGGAAUUCCUUCGCUAACACUUCCUAACUUAAUUUCAAGUUGAAGUGUUUUUAAAAGGAGCUCCUGCUGGAGAUUUUUCAAGUUAUUUGAAGCUGAACUCUCUUUCACAUUUUCAAGAAAACAUGAGCAUUCAAAUUGAUCAGCAAUAAAAUUAUAAAUUGCUUUCGCAAGUGUUGAUUUUCCCAAGCCUCCAAUCCCAUAAAUUCCAACCAUAUGGACCCCAUGAUCAGAUCCUUCAUCAAGAAGCGAUUUCAUUUGUUGUACUCGAGACUGCAAUCCAACAGGGUAAGUGGCAACAUGUAAGGGUUGUUGACUGAUCUUGUUGGAGAUGUAUUUGACUAUCUUUCCAAUAAGCUUGUAUUCAUAUCUAUUCAUGUGCAAUAAGAUAAGUUAGUGUCUAACAACAUCACAAUCACAUCCAUGUACUAAUGUAUUAUACAUUUCUAACUAUUUCGACAUAUAAAUAACUAAUAGUACUUUUAAAACUGUAUAUAAAAAAGGUAUUUCCCUUUUAACCUUUAAGAUGAGAUUAUUGUGAAAUUGAAGUUGAAGAAAUAAAAUAGAAAAGGGAAAAAUAGGAUUUAAGUAAAGUUGGGUACCCAGGAGGACUAUCAUGGUAGCCGGACAAGUUAGCAGCCUGGCUCAGAGCCUCUUUCCAUCCCUGCAACCUCUCCAUGCUUUUCGGAUCAUUUUGAAACCUCUUUUCAUGCUCAGCCAAUGCUUCACCAUAACUACCUUUCUGAUGUCGCACAAUAGUAGGUUCCACAGCAAAGAAAACAGGCAGAACGAGGCGACCCUUUGUCUUGUAGCAGUGAAUGAUGUGGACAAGUUCGUCCAAACAAAAUGAAGAAGAGGCAUAGUUGAUAGAAAACACAGCAAUAAAAAUCCUAGACUCUUCAAUGGCCUUGAGAAGUGAUGGUGUGAUUUCAUCCCCUCUUUGAAGUUCAUGAUUGUCAAUGAAGGUGUGGAUUCCCUUGUCAUCAAGAGCCUUGUAGAGAUUGCCGGUGAAACCGUACCGAGUGUCACUUCCUCUGAAAUUGAGGAAUACUUGGUAUUUGUACUCAUAGGAAAUUGAAGUGGAAGAGGAAGGUGAUUGCAUAGCCAUGAGAAUAUGAAUGAGAAGUUUUUGUGGUCUGUGAAGUCUUUGAUAGAAAUGGUAUGUGAAACUUCCUAUAGCCGUGUGGACCAAUCAUGUAGGAAAAGGGAAGGAAGCUUCCCAGUUCCCAUUUGGUAAAAGUGUAGAACCAAAAAACAGUGAAAAAUAGCUGCCAAGUUUGAUUUUGUCUUCAACUCAAUCAUUAUUUUUCCAACAUUUAUAAUUGUUAGUACAAUGUAAGAUUAACAUGAAAAAUAGGACAUUGUUAUAUUAGUUCUGUUGGAUAGCUAAUUAAACAUUUAACGUAAACAUGUACAAUAAUAAUUGUGUGUGCAUGGUUAAUUAACCAUUUGGUUCAAGUGGUAAUAUUUUCAAAAUAAAUAGAAACUAUUAUAUUUCAUAUCUAUGCUAACCUAAUCUUGUUGUUAACUACCUAAUUAACAAGCUAGUUUAAAAUGAAAAUAGUAUGAUCAAAACUUUCUGAUAUUUGCAUUACUAACUGUCUUUAAUUGUAUGUUUGAAUGGCAUAGCUUGUAUUUAUUUUAAGCUCAUGUAAUUUAAGAUACUGAUUAAUUAAGUAACAAAGUGAAAAAUUACAUGCAGCAGAAGAAUAAGAUUUGGCAAAAAGAUGAACAGUAACAAGAAAUUAGCAAGAAGAAGAGGUGGUAGUACAAUGAUUGGUCCACACGGCUAUAGGAAGUUUCACAUACCAUUUCUGUCAUAACUUUUCUCAUAAGUUAUAAAGUUACUUAUCAAAGACUUCACAGACCACAAAAACUUCUCAUUCAUAUUCUCAAACUCUUUUUUCAUCUAAUUUCUCUAAAAUCUCAUGGCUAUGCAAUCACCUUCCUCUUCCACUUCAAUUUCCUAUGAGUACAAAUACCAAGUAUUCCUCAGUUUCAGAGGAAGUGACACUCGGUACGGUUUCACCGGGAAUCUCUACAAGGCUCUUACUGACAAGGGAAUCAACACCUUCAUUGAUAAGAAUGGUCUUCAAAGAGGAGAUGAAAUCACACCAUCACUUCUCAAGGCCAUUGAAGAGUCUAGGAUUUUUAUUCCUGUGUUUUCUAUCAACUAUGCCUCUUCUUCAUUUUGUUUGGACGAACUUGUCCACAUCAUUCACUGCUACAAGACAAAGGGUCGCCUCGUUCUGCCUGUUUUCUUUGGUGUGGAACCUACUGUUGUGCGACAUCGUAAAGGUAGUUAUGGUGAAGCAUUGGCUGAGCAUGAAAAGAGGUUUCAAAAUGAUCCGAAAAACAUGGAGAGGUUGCAAGGAUGGAAAAAGGCUCUGAGCCAGGCUGCUAACUUGUCCGGCUACCAUGAUAGUCCUCCUGGGUACCCAACUUUACUUAAAUCCUAUUUUUCCCUUUUCUAUUUUAUUUCUUCAACUUCAAUUUUACAAUAAUCUCAUCUUAAAGGUUAAAAGGGAAAUACCUUUUUUAUAUACAGUUUUAAACAAGUACUAUUAGUUAUUUAUAUGUCGAAAUAGUUAGAAAUGUAUAAUACAUUCUUAGUACAUGGAUGUGAUUGUGAUGUUGUUAGACACUAACUUAUCUUAUUGCACAUGAAUAGAUAUGAAUACAAGCUUAUUGGAAAGAUAGUCAAAUACAUCUCCAACAAGAUCAGUCGACAGCCCUUACAUGUUGCCACUUACCCUGUUGGAUUGCAGUCUCGAGUACAACAAGUGAAAUCGCUUCUUGAUGAGGGAUCCGAUGAUGGGGUCCAUAUGGUUGGAAUUUAUGGCAUUGGAGGUUUGGGGAAAUCAACACUUGCAAGACAAAUCUAUAAUUUUGUUGCAGAUCAAUUCGAAGGUUCAUGUUUUCUUCAUGAUGUGAGAGAGAAUUCAGCUCAAAAUAACUUGAAAUAUCUCCAAGAGAAGCUCCUUUUAAAAACAACAGGUUUGGAAAUUAAGUUAGACCAUGUUAGUGAGGGAAUUCCAGUCAUAAAGGAAAGAUUAUGUAGAAAGAAGAUUCUUUUGAUUCUCGAUGAUGUUGACAAUUUGAAGCAACUGCAUGCUUUGGCUGGAGGACUUGAUUGGUUCGGAUGUGGAAGCAGAGUCAUCAUUACCACUCGAAACAAAGACUUACUAAGCAGUCAUGGCAUAGAAAGUACACAUGCAGUAGAAGGGUUGAAUGAGACAGAAGCUCUUGAAUUGUUGAGGUGGAUGGCUUUUAAAAGUGAUAAAGUUCCUUCAGGUUACGAAGACAUUUUAAACCGUGCAGUUGCAUAUGCUUUUGGCCUUCCGUUAGUUUUAGAAGUAGUGGGUUCUAACUUGUUUGGAAAGAGCAUAGAAGAUUGGAAGCAUACAUUAGAUGGGUAUGACAGGAUUCCCAAUAAAGAGAUCCAAAAGAUACUUAAGGUGAGCUAUGAUGCUUUGGAAGAAGAGGAGCAGAGUGUCUUUCUUGACAUCGCUUGCUGCUUCAAAGGAUAUCAAUGGAAGGAGUUCGAAGAUAUACUUUGUGCUCAUUAUGACCAUUGCAUAACACAUCAUCUAGGAGUGUUGGCUGGAAAAUCUCUCGUUAAGAUUAGUACUUAUUACCCUUCGGGAUCUAUUAAUGAUGUGAGAUUACAUGACUUGAUAAAGGACAUGGGUAAAGAAGUCGUCCGACAAGAAUCACCUAAAGAGCCUGGAGAACGAAGUAGGUUAUGGCGUCAAGAAGAUAUAAUUCAUGUUUUAAAAGAAAACACUGUGAGUAUGAUUGAUAUCUAUGAUCAUUUUGUUAUUUAGUUUUAAUACGACUUUGCUCUUUUUGCACUAAAUAUGAUCAUCUGAUACUAGCAUUUCUUUUCACUCAAUUACAUGUUAAUAUAUCUAUGUCUUAUUUUUAUUGUGGUUGAUUCAUGUUUUUAUCUUUGUUAAAAGGGAACUAGUAAAAUUGAAAUGAUAUAUAUGAAUCUCCACUCCAUGGAAUCCGUGAUAGACAAGAAAGGAAAGGCCUUCAAGAAGAUGACAAAACUGAAAACACUUAUCAUUGAAAAUGGCCUUUUUUCUGGAGGUCUCAAGUAUCUUCCAAGCAGUUUGCGUGUAUUGAAAUGGAAAGGAUGUUUAUCGAAGUGUCUGUCAUCUAGUAUUUUAAACAAGGCAAGUGAAAUAACUUCACAAUGAUUUUGUUUCAGUCAACAAAAGAAAUCAGUAUGAAAGUAUUAUUGUCUUUGAUUUUUAAUUUAUUGAUUUGUUUCUUCCUUGUGUGUAUGCAGAAGUUUCAGAAUAUGAAAGUCUUGACAUUGGACUAUUGUGAAUAUUUAACACAUAUACCCGAUGUCUCAGGCCUUUCAAAUUUAGAAAAGUUAUCGUUUACAUGUUGUGAUAAUUUAAUUACAAUUCACAAUUCUAUUGGACACCUAAAUAAACUUGAAUGGUUAAGUGCAUAUGGUUGCAGAAAGCUCGAACAUUUUCGACCUUUAGGGUUGGCAUCUCUUAAGAAAUUGAUACUCUAUGAGUGUGAGUGUCUUGAUAAUUUUCCAGAAUUAUUAUGCAAGAUGGCACAUAUAAAAGAGAUUGAUAUAUCUAAUACUUCCAUAGGAGAACUGCCAUUUUCAUUUCAAAAUCUCAGUGAACUUCAUGAGUUAACAGUGACAUCUGGAAUGAAGUUCCCAAAAAUAGUGUUUUCAAAUAUGACAAAGCUUUCUCUCUCCUUUUUCAACCUCUCAGAUGAAUGUCUCCCAAUAGUUCUCAAGUGGUGUGUUAAUAUGACACAUCUAGACUUAUCAUUUAGCAAUUUCAAAAUUCUUCCUGAGUGCCUUCGUGAAUGUCACCAUCUUGUUGAAAUUAAUGUGAUGUGCUGCGAGUCUCUUGAGGAAAUUAGAGGGAUUCCACCAAAUCUAAAAGAGCUUUGUGCUAGAUAUUGUAAAUCAUUGAGUUCCUCAAGUAGAAGAAUGUUAAUGAGUCAGGUUAGUUGUUGUUUUAUAUAGCACAAUAUUUUAUAUAUAAUAUUUAAUUUGUAAUUCAUAGUGUAAUUAUUAUUAUUUUGUAUAAACAAACAGAAACUACAUGAGGCGGGAUGCACCAAGAUUUAUUUCCCAAAUGGAAGAGAGGGGAUACCAGAUUGGUUUGAGCACCAAAGCAGGGGACCCAUAAUUUCUUUCUGGUUUCGUAAAGAAAUCCCUUCAAUAACUUGUAUAUUUAUUCUUCCGAAAGGCAAUGAGUAUGCCACAAGUGUCAAUGUUUUUGUGAAUGGAUAUGAAAUUGAGAUAGGUUGUUAUUGGUCUCUCUUUUUCUUCACGGACCAUACAACUUUGUUUCAUACCUCAAAAUUGAAUGAACUCAUUAAAACACAAUGCGAGUAUAAUAUAGAGAAAGGACUUUUGAAAAAUGAAUGGAUCUAUGUGGAGUUUAAGUUGAAGGAUCAUGAGAAUAGUGUUUAUGCACAAAGGGGAAUCCACGUGUGGAAUGAGAAAAGCAACACGGAGGAGGAGAAUGUGGUAUUCACAGAUCCUUGUAUUACAAAGACAAAAUCAGAUGAAUAUCUCAAUCAGAGCAAUAAUACUUCAUUAUCACAAUUUGAGCCUCCUCUAAAAAAGCAAAGAUUGGUGGAAGUUGGAGUUUCAGAGACAGAGGAGGAUAUCAAUGCUUCAUUGCAACAACAGGAAUUGAUGAAAGAGGAACAAAGAAAGACAUGGGGUACAUUCUGAAACACACCGCUUCAUUAAAAUAAUAAUAAUAAUAAUAAUAAAAUAUAUAUAGAAGUUACUAGACACACGUGGAAAAAAAAAAGAAAAAGAAAAGCAUAACACUUCCCUCAUUCUUUCUUUUCCUCCCGUAGCUCUCUCUGUUCUCACUUUUCUUUCCAUUUUGCUUCUUCCCUUUCCAUAAUCAACCAAUUCCACACACUAAUCAAACACCCAUAAGAGAAAUUAUUCACCAAAGUAAAACAAUUUCAUAUUACAAGUUAAUUUGGGUUUGAUUUUGGAGAUUGGGGUUAGGGUUCUGAGAAGAAAAAUACCCAUUUUGUGAAGGUUGCUCAUUGAGACUUUUUAAGGUAUAUUUAUCAACUUAUAUUUCAAUUAAUGCAUAUUUAGACAUGAUUAGUGAGUUAGAAAUUAAUUUGAGAGUAAAGUAUAAAAGAUUUCAACAUAUAAAUAUGACAUGGACUUUCAUUUACUUUGAAUGGUUAUAUAUAUAAUUUAAGCAAUGUAGGCACAUUACUUCUGCUAUUCGUUCCUUGUAGAAUAAGCAUUUGUGUCAUAUUCAAUCUAAAACAAAAGUUGGGAAUAAAUUAAUAAAUUCUGGAAGCCUAUAUGUUAUCAAUAAUGCGAUAAUACAUAUUCAACUUGCAUUUCAUGGUCAUCUAGUGCUACUAAAGUUCUGGAAUGAGUUUCUAAUAUAUGUGAAAACAUUAUUAAUGCUCAGAUACGAUGCCGGAUGCUUCACAUGCUUCUCCCGGGAUGGUUGGAGAGCACGCUUAGUUGAUUCAUCGUAACAGUGAGUUGAUGACGAUCAUUAUUGCUUAUUUUCAAUAUCGUUAUUAUUGAUAUUUUUAUGAUUUUAUAUGUUAAAAGUAUUUACAAAAAUGGGGAACACACCCUUCGAAUAUUUUUCUCGUUUUUGACACAUUUUUAAAAGUCAUUGAUAUUAUUGUGGUCUCUAUUUGGAUGUUAUCUGUAACUUCUAAGCAAAGGAUUGCAAAUUGAAAUUUGAUUGUGUACGUUUGACACAAGUUUGAUGUUUUACAAAAUCAUGGUUUUUAAACCUAUGUGUUCGAGAAAAAUGAUUAUCAUUAUGACGACCUAGGUGCACCUAGUAUGUGUUUUCAAUUAGGUAGAGUUACCCCAUUAGAUGGAGCCGCCCCUAUGGAAAGGCCGCCAUUAGGAGGAGAGGGCUAUCAAUGAGUGGUAAACUCUCUAAUUGAAAAUGUUUUACACUUUGUUUUGAGUCGAGAGAAAAGAGCUAUCCGUUAGAUGGAGCCGCCCCAUGGAAAGGCCACCAUUAGGAGGAGAGGGCUAUCAACGAGAUGGAGCUAGUUCUCGAUUCACCCAUUUGACUAUUUUCAAUAAAGUUGGAUUUUAUACUUACUUUUAAUUAAAUGGAAUUUGAUUUUAUAUUCUAUUUGGAAUUGAUUAUUUCGAUUCCUUUUUCAUUAUACGCGAUUCUAUAUUUUCUUUAAGUUGUGGAUUUGGGUUCACUUCCUUACGACAUUGGAAUUUUAAUAUACUUUUAUUUGGUUUGAUUAAGUUACGAUGUUUUCCGAAUUUUCAUGGCACACUCGAUUGUGAGUUUAUCAUAUUUUUAUACGGGUACUAGCUUUGUAAGUUAAAAAUUAGAUUUGAGAAAAAUAAAUAAUCGUGCUCUUGUGUGUUUCCCUUCUAGUCGGUGGUGGUUGUUGUCUCCUCACUAAGUCCUUGUGGCUUACUCUUUCUUUUCUAUUGUUUUUCAGAUUCCCGAGCAGCUGAGUAGGAAGCUGCAAGUAGAUCCGAAGUCCAUCAUUUCUAUUUUUGGUAGGCCUCCUUGAUGGAUGGCUUUUUAUUUAUGUAAAUAUUCAGUCAAUGUAUCUGCAGCUAUAUGGAGUUAGAGUGCCUCAUUUUGAGUUGUAAAGUUAUGUAAAAAUUGUCUUUUUGAGCUUCUGGAUGAUGUGACAGGUUUAUGGACAGGAUUCAUAUCUUGGUAACGUUAAAAAUACAAGGGAUACUCUGUCCAAAUUUUUGUAAAUAUUAUUUUGAUGAAAAAAAUGGAUAUCUGUAAAUUAUUUAUGUCAUUUGUCGAGUUUGGUCGUUAGGCUUGCCGGACUAAAAUGUACAAGUCUGUGCGCCGGUCACGAUUUUGUGCUUGGGUCGUGACAAAGUUGGUAUCAGAGCCCGGUUUUAGGUCCAAAUAGCUGCAGACAUAGAGUGAUAAUAGAUUUUUGCUAGUAAAUUGUGAACCGCGGCACCAUUUACUCGCAAAAAGCUAUUAGAACUCUAUGGUAGUCUCAUUUGUUGUCCGAAUUUGUGUCUUUGAUUCAUGUGGUCUUUGAUUGGUGUCACUUUCCUCGUUGUCUGCUUCUUUUUCUGAUCAAUGUUACUUUCUUAGGUGAGGAUGCCACCCAGGAAUAGGAACCGUCCUAGAAGGGAAGUUGUUGAUGAGUCAAAUGCACCACCUCAAGGCACUCGUCAUAGAGGUCGAGGCCGUGCUCGAGGUGGACGUGGGGUUAACGUUAGGGGACGUGGAGUUAAUGCAGGCAGGCAUGCCUUUGAUGAAGAGUUAUUCGAUGUUGAGGUUCCUAGAAGAAGACGUGGAAAUCCAGUUGUGGAAAAUGCUAACCUACAGGGUUUACAACAGGUUGUACAACAACUUGUUGAAAUUGUUGCUGGGCAGCAACAAGGAAACCAAACACAUGAAAAUUUAGAAGGUCAACAAGAAGUUAGACAGGUUGAUCAGGUGGUGGUAGCUCCAACAAGGGGAAUUGAGGUUACUUUAGCAGAAUUUUUGAAACUUAAACCACCUACUUUUUCCGGGUCUAGUGUGAGUGAAGAUCCACAACGAUUCAUUGAUGGACUAGAGAGGUUAUGGAGAGCAUUGGGAUGUUCAGAUGUAAGGGCAGUGGAAUUGACAUCUUAUCAGUUGGAAGGUGUGGCACAUGACUGGUUUGACACAGUGACACAUGGAAGACAAAUGGGAUCAUCUCCCAUGGCAUGGAAAGAAUUUUCUAAAUUAUUCAUGGCUCGUUUUCUUCCUCAAAGUGUUAGAGAUCAAUUAGCUCAUGAGUUUGAGAUAUUCGAGCAAACGGAGGGAAUGUCGGUUUCAGAGUAUAGUGCCCGUUUCACACAGCUUUCUAGGUAUGCUGCCUACUGUGUCACGGAAGAGAUGCGUAUCAAGAAGUUCAUCAGAGGGUUAAGGGAAUACAUAUUCAGAUCAGUGGUCGGUUCUAAUUGUCAGACUUUUGCAGACGUUUUAAGUUUGGCACUUCAGAUUGAGCAGCGACAGAAGGAUAAAGGAGGUACUAGACAAGAUCCUCGCAAGAAACAACGAGUGGAAGGAUCUCACAGUAAUUAUUCUAAUCGUGGGGGUGGAUCUAUGUUUGGAUAUCAGGGGCAACAAAAAUCAGUAUCACAGAAGGGUGGUUUUAGUGGACAAUCAUCUGGUACAGUGCAAAGUCAUAGGUCGGGUCACAGGGGAUCCACGGGGUCUACUUUUCCUCAUAGGCAUUCUAGUGGUACAACCAGAGCUUGUUCUGUUUGUGGUAGAUUUCAUUCUGGAACUUGUUUUAAUGAUGACAGAGAGUGCUUUCAAUGUGGUCAAAAGGGUCACAUUAAGAAGAAUUGUCCUAUACCUACAACACAACCAUCAUCUAGUCGUGCAUCAGCACCUGUAGCUUUAGCAUCUUCUCAUUCCCCUUCUGCACCUGUGAGACAAGAGGGAAAUUCUUUUGUUCGGGGUUCAGGAGCAUCUCAACAUGGAGGUAGAGGACCUGGAGGUAGAGGUCAGUCACAAGUAGGGAGAGGUCAUGCUCGGGUUUUUGCUUUGACCCGACAAGAUGCUCAGGCAUCUAAUGCAGUGGUUACAGGUACACUUUCUGUUUGUUCCCAAGAUGCACAUGUUUUGUUUGACCCUGGCGCUACAUAUUCUUUUGUAUCAUUAUACUUUGCUCCUCGACUUGGUAAAAGUUCAUCUUUUCUAGAUGAGACCUUAGUUGUGACUACACCUGUUGGUAAUAAUGUGCUAGCAAAGUCUGUGUAUUAUUCAUGUGAUGUAUCUAUUGAGGGCAAAGUAUUACCUGCGGAUCUAGUGGUCCUUAAUAUGGUAGAUUUUGAUGUGAUUCUGGGUAUGGAUUGGUUGUCUUUACAUCAUGCCACCGUAGACUGUCAUAAUAAAGUUGUGAAAUUUAAACCACCUGGGGAAGCAACCUUCUCGUUUCAAGGAGAACGCAGUUGGGUACCAAAUAAUUUAAUCUCAUCAUUGAGAGCUAACAAACUUCUAAGUAGAGGUUGUCAAGGGUACUUAGCAUUGGUUAGGGAUGUUCAAGCGGGUGAAGAAAAGUUAGAAAAUGUUCCCAUAGUGUGUGAGUUUUCAGAUGUUUUCCCAGAAGAACUUCCUGGAAUACCACCUGAUAGGGAAAUUGAGUUCUCUAUAGACUUAAUUCCUGGCACUCAACCUAUAUCUAUACCUCCUUACCGAAUGGCCCCGGCAGAAUUGAAGGAGUUAAGGGAGCAACUACAAGAUCUUCUUGACAAGGGUUUUAUUCGUGCUAGUACUUCUCCGUGGGGUGCACCAGUAUUAUUUGUGAAGAAGAAAGAUGGAUCCAUGCGAUUAUGCGUAGACUAUAGACAGCUGAACAAGGUGACAAUAAAGAAUAAAUAUCCUUUACCCCGUAUUGACGAGUUGUUUGACCAACUUCAAGGAGCCCAAUGUUUUUCUAAGAUUGACUUACGGUCUGGGUAUCACCAAUUGAAGAUUAAGAGUGAGGAUAUAUCAAAGACAGCUUUUCGCACUCGUUAUGGACAUUAUGAAUUUCUUGUUAUGUCUUUUGGGCUUACAAAUGCUCCAGCAGCUUUUAUGGAUUUGAUGAACCGUGUUUUUAAACCAUUCUUGGAUCGGUUUGUGAUUGUUUUUAUUGAUGACAUCCUUAUUUAUUCCAAGAGUAGAGAGGAGCACGAGCAACAUCUCAGGUUGGUUUUGCAAACUUUAAGGGAGAAGCAAUUGUAUGCCAAAUUCUCUAAAUGUGAAUUUUGGUUGGAGAGUGUGGCGUUUCUAGGACAUAUUGUGUCAAAGAAUGGGAUAAGUGUUGACCCUAGCAAGGUUGAGGCAGUGCAGAAUUGGCCCAGGCCCACUUCAGUGAAGGAGAUUCGAAGUUUUCUUGGUUUAGCUGGCUAUUAUCGUCGUUUUGUGAAGGAUUUUUCCAAACUUGCGUUCCCAUUGACUAGAUUGACCCAAAAGAAAGUUGAGUUUAAAUGGACUGAUGCAUGUGAAGAAAGCUUUCAAAAGUUAAAGGAAUGUUUGAUUUCAGCACCUAUUUUGGCAUUACCAACGAGUGGUGGAGGUUAUGUUGUUUAUUGUGAUGCUUCUAGAGUUGGUCUUGGUUGUGUUCUUAUGCAGCAUGGUAAAGUUAUCGCCUAUGCAUCUAGACAACUUAAAAGGCAUGAGCAGAAUUAUCCUACACAUGAUUUAGAGAUGGCAGCAGUGAUUUUCGCUCUUAAAAUUUGGAGGCAUUACCUAUAUGGAGAGACUUGUGAGAUUUACACCGAUCACAAGAGUCUUAAGUAUAUUUUUGAGCAGCGCGAUUUGAAUCUAAGACAGAGAAGAUGGAUGGAGCUCUUGAAAGAUUAUGACUGUACGAUCUUAUAUCACCCUGGUAAAGCAAAUGUUGUUGCGGAUGCUUUAAGUAGGAAGUCCAUGGGUAGUCUUGCUCAUUUGACAGCAAUUAAGAGGCCAAUUGUUAAAGAGUUUCAAGAAAUUGUUGAAAGUGGAGUUCAAUUUGAGAUUGAUCAUUCAAGGACAUUGUUAGCCCACAUGAAAUUUCGUUCUACCUUAAUUGAUGAUAUCAAACAAGCUCAAAGUCAAGAUUCGGAGUUGAUGAAGAUGGUGGAUAAUGUGCGAAAUGGUAAAGUUUCAAACUUCUCAGUUGACUCCGAGGGUGUUUUGUGGUUGAAGUCUCGAAUUUGUGUCCCAAAUGUUGAUGAUUUAAGGAGGAAAAUCUUAGAGGAGGCUCAUCAUUCUUCUUAUACUAUUCAUCCAGGUUCUAAUAAGAUGUAUCAAGAUUUACGAGAAUUUUAUUGGUGGGAAGGAAUGAAGAGAGAUGUAGCGAAUUUUGUCUCUAAAUGUUUAGUGUGCCAGCAAGUGAAGGCUGAACACCAGAAGCCUGCGGGUUUACUUCAACCUAUUGAAAUACCUAAAUGGAAGUGGGAAGGCAUUGCUAUGGAUUUUGUUACAGGUUUGCCACGGACUCAGAAAGGUUUUGACUCUGUAUGGGUGAUUAUAGACCGUUUGACAAAGUCUGCACAUUUCUUACCUGUGAAGACUACCUAUACUGCUUCUCAGUAUGCUAAGAUUUAUUUAGAGGAGAUUGUUUCUUUGCAUGGUGUACCAAUUUCUAUUAUCUCUGAUCGUGGGGCUCAAUUUACCGCUCAAUUUUGGAAGUCUUUUCAAGCGGCAUUAGGAACUCGUUUGAAUCUUAGUACAGCUUUUCAUCCUCAAACUGAUGGUCAAUCUGAGAGAACUAUACAAAUUUUAGAGGAUAUGCUUCGUGCUUGUGUUCUUGAUCUUGGAGGAAGUUGGGAUCGAUACUUACCGAUGAUGGAAUUUGCAUACAAUAAUAGUUACCAAUCAAGUAUCCAAAUGGCACCUUUUGAGGCAUUGUAUGGUAGGCGAUGUAGGUCUCCUAUAGGAUGGUUUGAAGUUGGAGAAGCUAAGCUAGUGGGUCCCGAGUUGAUUCAGGAUGCCAUUGAUAAGGUUAAGUUGAUUCGAGAUCGUUUAGUAACUGCUCAGAGUAGGCAAAAAUCUUAUUCUGACAAGAGGCGACGUCCCUUAGAGUUCACAGUGGGGGAACAUGUAUUUUUACGUGUUUCGCCUAUGAAGGGCGUUUUGCGGUUUGGAAAAAAGGGCAAGCUAACUCCAAGAUUCAUUGGGCCGUUUGAGAUUUUGGAGAGAGUCGGACCUGUAGCUUAUCGAUUAGCACUUCCACCAGAUCUCUCACGAGUUCAUCCGGUCUUUCAUAUUUCUAUGCUUCGGAAAUACAUUUAUGACCCUUCUCAUGUGAUUAGUCAUAAAGAUGUGCAAUUGGAUGAAAAUCUGUCAUACACCGAACAUCCGGUAGCUUUAGUUGAUAAGGGAGUGAGACGUUUACGCUCAAAAGAUAUUGUGUCAGUGAAAGUUCUUUGGAAAGGUCCGUCGGGUGAAGAAACCACUUGGGAACCCGAAGAAACUAUACGUGGCAAGUAUCCACACUUAUUUGAAAAUCAAGGUUAGUAGUGUUUGCGAUGUAGCAAAAUUCGAGGACGAAUUUUCUUAAGGGGGGAAGACUGAAACACACCGCUUCAUUAAAAUAAUAAUAAUAAUAAUAAUAAUAAUAAUAAUAAUAAUAAAAUAUAUAUAGAAGUUACUAGACACACGUGGAAAAAAAAAAGAAAAAGAAAAGCAUAACACUUCCCUCAUUCUUUCUUUUCCUCCCGUAGCUCUCUCAGUUCUCACUUUUCUUUCCAUUUUGCUUCUUUCCUUUCCAUAAUCAACCAAUUCCACACACUAAUCAAACACCCAUAAGAGAAAUUAUUCACCAAAGUAAAACAAUUUCAUAUUACAAGUUAAUUUGGGUUUGAUUUUGGAGAUUGGGGUUAGGGUUCUGAGAAGAAAAAUACCCAUUUUGUGAAGGUUGCUCAUUGAGACUUUUUAAGGUAUAUUUAUCAACUUAUAUUUCAAUUAAUGCAUAUUUAGACAUGAUUAGUGAGUUAGAAAUUAAUUUGAGAGUAAAGUAUAAAAGAUUUCAACAUAUAAAUAUGACAUGGACUUUCAUUUACUUUGAAUGGUUAUAUAUAUAAUUUAAGCAAUGUAGGCACAUUGCUUCUGCUAUUCGUUCCUUGUAGAAUAAGCAUUUGUGUCAUAUUCGAUCUAAAACAAAAGUUGGGAAUAAAUUAAUAAAUUCUGGAAGCCUAUAUGUUAUCAAUAAUGCGAUAAUACAUAUUCAACUUGCAUUUCAUGGUCAUCUAGUGCUACUAAAGUUCUGGAAUGAGUUUCUAAUAUAUGUGAAAACAUUAUUAAUGCUCAGAUACGAUGCCGGAUGCUUCACAUGCUUCUCCCGGGAUGGUUGGAGAGCACGCUUAGUUGAUUCAUCGUAACAGUGAGUUGAUGACGAUCAUUAUUGCUUAUUUUCAAUAUCGUUAUUAUUGAUAUUUUUAUGAUUUUAUAUGUUAAAAGUAUUUACAAAAAUGGGGAACACACCCUUCGAAUAUUUUUCUCGUUUUUGACACAUUUUUAAAAGUCAUUGAUAUUAUUGUGGUCACUAUUUGGAUGUUAUCUGUAACUUCUAAGCAAAGGAUUGCAAAUUGAAAUUUGAUUGUGUACGUUUGACACAAGUUUGAUGUUUUACAAAAUCAUGGUUUUUAAACCUAUGUGUUCGAGAAAAAUGAUUAUCAUUAUGACGACCUAGGUGCACCUAGUAUGUGUUUUCAAUUAGGUAGAGUUACCCCAUUAGAUGGAGCCGCCCCUAUGGAAAGGCCGCCAUUAGGAGGAGAGGGCUAUCAAUGAGUGGUAAACUCUAAUUGAAAAUGUUUUACACUUUGUUUUGAGUCGAGAGAAAAGAGCUAUCCGUUAGAUGGAGCCGCCCCAUGGAAAGGCCACCAUUAGGAGGAGAGGGCUAUCAACGAGAUGGAGCUAGUUCUCGAUUCACCCAUUUGACUAUUUUCAAUAAAGUUGGAUUUUAUACUUACUUUUAAUUAAAUGGAAUUUGAUUUUAUAUUCUAUUUGGAAUUGAUUAUUUCGAUUCCUUUUUCAUUAUACGCGAUUCUAUAUUUUCUUUAAGUUGUGGAUUUGAGUUCACUUCCUUACGACAUUGGAAUUUUAAUAUACUUUUAUUUGGUUUGAUUAAGUUAAGAUGUUUUCCGAAUUUUCAUGGCACACUCGAUUGUGAGUUUAUCAUAUUUUUAUACGGGUACUAGCUUUGUAAGUUAAAAAUUAGAUUUGAGAAAAAUAAAUAAUCGUGCUCUUGUGUGUUUCCCUUCUAGUCGGUGGUGGUUGUUGUCUCCUCACUAAGUCCUUGUGGCUUACUCUUUCUUUUCUAUUGUUUUUCAGAUUCCCGAGCAGCUGAGUAGGAAGCUGCAAGUAGAUCCGAAGUCCAUCAUUUCUAUUUUUGGUAGGCCUCCUUGAUGGAUGGCUUUUUAUUUAUGUAAAUAUUCAGUCAAUGUAUCUGCAGCUAUAUGGAGUUAGAGUGCCUCAUUUUGAGUUGUAAAGUUAUGUAAAAAUUGUCUUUUUGAGCUUCUGGAUGAUGUGACAGGUUUAUGGACAGGAUUCAUAUCUUGGUAACGUUAAAAAUACAAGGGAUACUCUGUCCAAAUUUUUGUAAAUAUUAUUUUGAUGAAAAAAAUGGAUAUCUGUAAAUUAUUUAUGUCAUUUGUCGAGUUUGGUCGUUAGGCUUGCCGGACUAAAAUGUACAAGUCUGUGCGCCGGUCACGAUUUUGUGCUUGGGUCGUGACAUAUACUAGCAAAGUUUCAUCCACAAAUUUUACUUGUGUAAACUUUUCAGGUAACUAUUGUCACUUCGUUUAUCUAAAAAAAAAAUACAUAAAAAUUGAUUAAUAAAUAACUCAUUAAGCUUGAUCCCAAAAAAAUAAACACAUUUGCGCAAAUCUAUUACCCCAAAUCAUAUUGAUGAACAAUAAGCUUAUUAACUUUUACCCUUUAAUAAUUUCAUAGCACCCACCCAUCACUCUGCCCCCUGUCAUAUAUGCACAUGGCAGUAGGCAUGUCACAAAUUUUGGCAUCUUUUUCAUAACAAUAAAAGAAGCUCCAUUACACCAUGAGGAUACAUUUUGGUUACUUCUAACCAAAGAAAAACAAAAAGGAAAAUUUUGCAUUUCAAAUAUCAUCAAAUGACAUGUUAAUUGAGUCUCACAUUUGAUUUAACUUGUGCUUCCAACAGUAGUAGUAUCAACAGGACCCGGAUUCCGUGCAUUAAUAAAAGUCCAUAGUUUCAACUUUCAUGCAAUCGUUAAACUCCACCCUUUGUGAUCGAAUGGUUCAGAUUACAGAUACACGAAUUCGGUUUUCAACCAUCUCAACCGUAGAUUUAAAUCAGACUAAAUUGGUGCAGUUACUACUGGGAAUCCAUUUCCAUAUCAACUCCAUGAAAAACACUAAUAAAUAGACUAAAAGAAUUAUCCCACAUCAUGUACAACUAAAGAUUCCAAUGACUUCCGUUUCCAUCACAAACCAAAACAAAGAAACCAAAAGCCUAACAUUACAUCAUAUAUUGGUUGUUCUAAAUUACAUCCUUGACCAUGGUUAACAAUUUGGAGAGGGAAGGGAAAAGACAAGAAUGCCCCACAAAAUAAAAACUUCUCAAUUCAUUAUGCAGGAAUGUGAAAGUGCACAACUCUUUCCAUAUCAUCUUUAAAAUUUUGAUAAUGAAAAGCAUCAUGGAUGCAAAGGUAGUGCCUUUCCCUUUCAAUGAUUAACCUAAUCAACUUAGGGUAAUAUUGACAUCAUCACCAAGUGUGAAAAAAUCGAAGAAUACUUCAAGAUGAUAUCGGUUCGUAAGGGUAUGAUAACCAGGGGUGCUUUAGAGCUUCAGAUGCAGAAGGUCGCUUCUUCGGGUUAACCUCGAGCAAAUGAGAAACGAAGUCAAUGAAGCCUUGGUCCCCCAUCGGUAAUCUAUGCCUCAGAUGUCUUCUUUAGAAUCAGGUAUUCUAAUAUGUUGCUUUCCUGCAUAUCAAUACCCAAUACCUCACUGAAUAAUUUUUCCAUGAUAAUUAAAGAUACAAUGCAUGUUUUAUAUGAGCAUGUUUGGAUUGGGUUAUUUGAGCCUAUUAUCAACUCGCAUAAGUACUUGUGAGACUAUUUGAGAGAAUUUAUGGAAACAACUUAUGACAUGUUCAUAAGCUAUUUUCAAGUAAUUUCCGUAAACUCUCUAGGAUUGCAAAUGAAAUCAGCUUACAGCUUAUAUGAAAAUAAUUUGACUUUAUUUUAUCUUCUAUUAUAGAAAAUAACAUAUAUAAACACUUAUAUGAGAAGUGUCUAUGUUGUAAGCUUAAUUAAGUUGUUUAUCCAAACAUGAUACAAGCGAAUGAAAAUAAUCAAUUUUAGAAAUUUUAGGGAGCUAUCUCUUGAUUUGCUUUUUGAAGGCGAUGCAAAUGAAAAGAUAUCGAAAAUUUUAAAAUUGUUCGAUGAUGCAUUUCAUAUGCAAAUACAUUUUAGAAAUGAAUUUCUUACCUGAUUCCUCUCAUAAAGCAUAUGAUUUUUUGUGAAGUACUUAUAAGUAUCUCGUCCUUUUGCUAGCAUACUUUGACCAAUUGGACCGAUGAUCCCAAUUACCCUAGCUAGUAAUGUGGCCGAGGAAUCGUUUUGGAAUAAGACCUACAAUAAGCAUAGUUGAGUUCAUUAAGAAUCAAGAUUCAUGAGUGUAUUCACUAAAAUGGAUACAGAUUUGACAUCCGCUUUCACCCAAAAAUGUAAAAAAUCCUACAACUGCAAGAACACGUAACUUAAAAGAAAUUCACAGUACCUAAUAUGUCACAAAUCAUUUUCACGUCUAAAGAUACAGGGCGACUUGUUCUGUUCUAUUCUCUAUGUAGUUCCACUAAGACAACAGAAACUCACUAGCAUUGUCAAUCGUAGAUUGCAAAAAAUAUUGGUUUGUUCCGAUUCUGCUACACAGUAGUUCAAUAGUGCCACUAGAGCAACUAUUUGACAAUAUUUUGUACUAUAUAAUGCGUAAUACAGAAUAAUAAUGAUUUGUUCAAAUUCUGCUACGUUAUAGCCGCUAUUUAACAACACCCAAAUCAUUUUCAAAUUUAAAAUAUACUUCAUCAGUUUAUUUCAGGUACUGUUUGGAACACGAAUAGAAUUAAAUGGGACGGCUUAUUUAUUCUUCAACAAUUUUUCUGUUCUAUUUUUUAUUUGCUUCGAAAACGUAGAAUAUAAAUUAUUCUAUCCUAUUCUAAACUGACUACCUAAAACUUCCUUAAGACUAAUAGUGAUACAAUACAACAUAACAGAGCAAAUACGACUUACACAAAUUGGCAUCUAAACAAUGCCAUCACCGGGGGAAAAACACGAAUCAAGGAUCAUGCAGUAAAUUUUUCUGUUCUAUUUUUUAUUUGUGAAGAUUGCUUCAGAAACAGCAGAAAAUAGAUAAGACUUUGCCUUUGAUUUUCGCUGCUUUCUCUCCUUAUGAUUUUUGAUUUGUGCAAUUGUUGGAUUGUCUGGUAAUGGCUCAAUCUCAUAAUCAUCCUCAACAGCCUCCCAAAGAUCAUGAGGGUCAAGAUAAGCCUCCAUUUUGGUUGCCCAAAGGUGAUAGUUCUCACCCUCAAAGAUUGGCAAUUUUAUGGCUGAGUUAUCGGAGUGCAUUUUCAACUCUUUGGUAAGUGUUUGGGUGUUUAGUGGAACUCUCAACCUCACCAGGUCCCUCAAGAACAAGAGUGCUCUUGAUACCACUGUUGGAAUUUAGAAAAGAAAUUAAGCAGAUUUAUGAGUUCUGAAAACUGAAACACACAAAUUUCAUUCCUUCUAACAACCUUUAAAUACAAGAAAUUCAUAAUCAGAAAUAAACAAAAGAAAAACUGCCUAUAAAUUUGUAACAGACAACAUAAAUCUAUAACCUCCCAUAAUUCCUAUAAUUAAAAUCAUAACAGUCAUAACCAUAAAUACUACAACAAACUCUAAUAAUAGGUUCUGAUCCAUAUUCUCAACAGAAACUCCCACUUCCACCAAUCUUUGCUUUUUAAGAUAAGGAUCUGUGAAUACCACAUUCUCCUCCUCCGUGUUGCUUUUCUCAUUCCACACGUGGAUUCCCAUUUGUGCAUAAACACUAUUCUCGUGAUCCUUCGACCUAAACUCCACAUGGAUCCAUUCACUUUUCAAAAGUCCUUUGUCCAUAUUAUACAUGUGUUGUCCUUUACAGAGUUCUUCCAAUUUCAUAUCAAACAAAGUUAUAUGGUCCGGGAACAAACGUUGAGAGCGAUAACAACCUAUCUCAAUUUCAUAUCCAUUCACAUAUAAACUGAAAUUUGAGGCCCAACGGCGUUCCGGAAGAAUAAAAAUACAAGAUAUAGAAGGGAUUUCUUUAUGAAACCAAAAAGAAAUUGUGUCUCCCCUGCUUUGGUGCUCAAACCAAUCUGGUAUCCCCAGCUCUGUUCCGUUUGGGAAAUCAAAACGAGUGCAUCGAGCCUCAUGUAGUUGCUGUUAGUAUGUAUGAAAUACAAAUAUAUAUAUUACACACUGUCAAAUAUAAAUAUAUAUGAAAUACAAUAAAAGAUGUCAAAUACUAUAGUGCAAUAAAAAACAACAACAAACCUGACUCAUUAACAUUCUUCUACAUGAUGAACUCAAUGAUUUGCAUUCAUAAGCAUAGAGACUUCCAAGAUUUGGUGGAAUCCCUCUAAUUUCCUCAAGGGACUUGCAGUACCUCACAAUAAUUUCCACAAGAUGGUGACUUUCACUAAGGCACUCUGGAAGAAUUUUGAAAUCGCUAUAUGAUAAAUCUAGAUAUGUCAUAUUAACACACCACUUGAGAAGUAUUGGGAGACAUUCAUCUGAGAGGUAGCAAUCGAAGAGAGAAAGCUUUGUCAUAUUUGAAAACACUAUUGAAUACAUCUUAUCAUUAUGUUCUGGGAACCUCAGGAUUCCAUAUGACACUGUGAACUCAUCAAGUUCACUGAGAUUUUGAAAUGAAAAUGGCAGUUUUCCUAUGGAAAUAUAAAAUAUAUCAAUCUCUUUUAUAUGUGCCAUCUUGCAUAAUAAUUCUGGAAAAUUUUCGAGACACGAGCCACCCAUGAGAUUAAGUUCCUUAAGAGAUGCCAAACCUAAAGGUGGAAAAUGUUUGAGCUUUCUGUAACCAGUUACACUUAACCUUUCAAGUUUACUUAGGUGUCCAAUCGAAUUGUGAAUUGUAAUUAAAUUCUUACAAUGUUCAAACGAUAACUUUUCUAAAUUUGAAAGGCUUGAGACAUCGGGUAUAUGUGUUAAAUAUUCACAAUCGUCCAAUGUCAAGAUUUUCAUAUUCUGGAACUUCUGCAUAAACACAAGAAAGAAACAAUAAAUAAACUAAAAAUCAAAGACUAAUAUUACUUUCAUACUGAUUUCUUUUGUUGACGGAAACAAAAUAACUGAAGUUAUUUCACUUGCCUUGUUUAAAAUACUAGUUGACAGACACUUCGAUAAACAUCCCUUCCAUUUCAAUACACUCAAACUUCUUGGUAGAUGCUUGAGACCUUCAGAAAAAUGGCCAUUUUCAAUGAUAACUGUUUUGAGUUUUGUCAUCUUCUUGAAGGCCUUUCCUUUCUUGUCUAUCACGGAUUCCAUGGAGUGGAGAUUCAUAUAUAUCAUUUCAAUUUUACUAGUUCCCUUUUAACAAAGAUAAAAACAUGAAUCAACCACAAUAAAAAUAAGAUAUAGAAAUAUUAACAUGUAAUUGAGUGAAAAGAAAUGCUAGUAUCAGAUGAUCAUAUUUAGUGCAAAUAGAGCAAAGUCGUAUUAAAACUAAAUAACAAAAUGAUCAUAGAUAUCAAUCUUACUCACAGUGUUUUCUCUUAAAACCCGAGUUAUAUCAUCCUGACAGCAUAACCUACUUCUUUCUCCAGGCUCUUUAGUUGAUUCUUGUCGGACGACUUCUUUACCCAUGUCCUCUAUCAAGUCAUGUAAUGUCACACAACCAUAUUCCCUAUAUUGGUUUAUGAGAGAUUUUUCAGCCAACACUGCUAGAUGAUGUGUUAUGGAAUGGCCAUAAUGAGCAUGAAGCAUAUAUUUGGCAUCUUCCCAUCCAUGUCCUUUGAAGCAACAAGCAAUGUCCAGAAAGACACUUUGCUCCUCUUCUUCCAAAGCAUCAUAGCUCACUCUAAGUAUCUUUUGGAUCUCUUUAUUGGGAAUCCUGUCAUACCCAUCUAAUAUAUACUUCCAUUCUUCUAUGUUCUUUCCAAACAAGUUAGAACCCACUAUUUCUAUAACUAACGGAAGGCCAGAAACAUAUGAAACUGCACGACUUAAAAUCUCUUUGUACCUUGAUGGAACAUUGUCACUUUUAAAAGCCAUCCACCUCAACAAUUCAAGAGCUUCUGUCCCAUUCAACCCUUUUACUGCAUACGUUUUUUCUAUCCCAUGAUGGUCUAGUAAGUGUUUAUCUCGGGUGGUGAUGAUGACUCUGCUUCCAGGACCAAACCAAUCGAGUCCUCCAGCCAAAGCCUGUAGCUGAUCCAGUUUGUCAACAUCGUCGAGAAUCAAAAGAAUCUUCUUUCUACAUAGCCUUUCCUUAAUGAUUGGAAUUCCGUCACUAACAUGGUCUAAAUUAAUUUCCGAUCCAGUUGUUUUAAAAAGGAGCUUCUCUUGGAGAUGUUCCAAGUUAUUUUUAGCUGAAUUCAUUCUCACAUUAUGAAGAAAACAUAAACCUUCAAAUUGAUCAGCAACCAAAUUAUAGAUUGCUCUUGCAAGUGUUGAUUUUCCCAAGCCUCCAAUCCCAAAAAUUCCAACCAUAUGGACCCCAUCAUCAGAUCCAUUAUCAAGAAUUGAUUUCACUCUUUGUACUUGAGACUGUAAUCCAACAGGGUAAUUGGCAACAUGUAAGGGCUGACGACUGAUCUUGUUGGAGAUGUAUUUGACUAUCUCUUCAAUAAACUUGUAUUCAUAUCUACUCGUGUCGAGUAAGAAAAGUUAGUAUGAAACAACAUCACAAUCACAUCUAUGUACUCAGAAUAUAUUAUAAAUUUCUAACUAUUUCGACAUAUAAAUAACUAAUACAAAAGGGAAAUAUAGGAUUUAAGUAAAGUUGGGUACCUGGGAGGACUAUCAUGGUAGCCGGACAAGUUAGCAGCCUGGCUCAGAGCCUCUUUCCAUCCCUGCAACCUCUCCAUGUUUUUCGGAUCAUUUUGAAACCUCUUUUCAUGCUCAGCCAAUGCUUUGCCAUAACUACCUUUAUGAUGUCUCACAUUAGUUGGUUCCACACCGAAGAAAACAGGCAAAACGAGGCGACCCUUUGUCUCGUAGCAGUGAAUUAUGUGGACAAGUUCGUCCAAACAAAAUGAAGAAGAUGCAUAGUUGAGAGAAAACACAGGAAUAAAAAUCCUAGAUUCAUCAAUGGCCUUGAGGAGUGAUGGUGUGAUUUCAUCUCCUCUUUGAAGAUCAUUGUCAUCAAUGAAGGUAUGGAUUCCCUUGUCAGUAAGAGCCUUGUAGAGAUUUCCGGUAAAACCGUGCCGAGUGUCAGUGCCCCUAAAACUGAUGAACACUUGGUAAGUGAAUCCAUAGGAAAAUGAAGUGGAUGAGGAAGGUGAUUGUAUAGCCAUGAGAAUUGAGAGAAAUAGGAUGAAAAAGAGUUUGAGAAUGCAGAAUAUGAAUGAGUAAAUUUUGUGUUCUGUGAUGUGAAGUCUUUGAUAAGUAACUUUAUAACAAGGAGAAAAAUGGUCUUUGAAACUUUCCUGACCACUUCCUAUAGCCGUGUGGACCAAUAUCGUUGUACUGCUUUUAUUUUUAUUCAUCUGCUGAAUGUAAUUUUUCACUUUGUUACUUAAUUACUCAGUGUGUUAGAUAAAAAUAAAUUAGGUUAGCAUAGAUAUGAAAUAUUAUAGUUUCUAUUUAUUUUGAAAAUAUUACCACUUGAACCAAAUGGUUAAUUAACCUUGCACACACAAUUAUUCCAGUAUAUAUUUAGAAACUUCCUUCCCAUUUCAUAUGUCUGUAAAGUAACCAUCACAUCCUUCUUCCAUGUAAUUUCUUUAGAGCAAUGUCAAUGUCUUAAUGAAAAGAAAGGAAAAACAAGGCAAAGUUUCAUCCACAAAUAUCUACUUGUGUAAAUACUUAAGAGUUAUUUAUGAGUUUCCAUUGAGAAGAAAUAGAAGCAAGAAGUGUGAAACUUCCUUAGCAUUUCUUAUGUAUAUACGUGUGAACCAAUAACACAAUAAAAUAUAUUUACCAACUCUUUCUUUUUUCUCUUGUCUAUUUCCGCGUGGGUUGUGUUGUCCCAAAAAGACUACCUUAUAAAUUUAAAAUUCAACCCUUUAGGUGUUAGUGUUCUUCUUUCUCCCUAACUUUAAAAUUAACAAUUCCUUUACUUUUUUCUGAUAUCUUUUUGGAUAUUUUUUUUUUAUAUUGCAAUGACGUUCUCCAUAUUUUUUUCUAUUUAUCUAAAAAAGAUAUUAAGGUUUUUUAUUUGGUUAAAGACUAUCACCUAGUGGGUAACUUCCUUCCCAUUUCAUAUCUUCGGUAAAGUAAAAAAGUAUCAUUUUUCCUACAUCAUUCUUCCAUGUAAUUUCUUAAUCCCUCAGCAAGAAUAGAUUUGAUGUGAUCUUAUAAUAAGCAAGAACUAAGAAGUCACAUAAGUGAUCAUAUAAUACUCAUAAUUAUAUGGUUCAAAUUUCUUAGACUUUAAAUAGAUAACUCUAAAUCAAAAUACUCAUUAAAUUAUGGUUUCUAGUUCAAAUUUGCUGAUUGGUCUCUAGUUUUGAAUUUGGAAGGCCCUCUAUAUGUGAGGAAAUUUAUUUGGGUGUAUAUUAAUUGUAUUUUUUACGAACUAUAAUAAAGCUUGUAAAAAAAAAAAUACUUUACCUUCAAAAUUGUGUUCAACGUGGGGAUUAUGGUGAAAAUACUUGACAUAUUUUUGUUACUUUUCUAAUUGCUACAGAGACUUGAAGAGGUUUAGGUGUAUGGAUUUGAUUGAACCAUAUAUUAUGACAGUUGAUGGUAUUGUUAAUUGAUUUUUUACUGUUGCAAACAAAUUGCAUAUGGUAAAAAGCGUAUAGUAUGUGUCUGCCAUCAUCGUAAUCUUGUGUUUGAGUCUCCAAAAUACCGGGUCAAUAUCACAUAAUUGUGAGACUUGAGAGGUCAAAAGUACAAUUAAACCUAAAUCAUAUUGUUUAGUCUUUUGUGUUUGAGUCUCCAUUAUUUCUGAUGUGUUGGAAAAAGAAAGGUUGACUUGAAGUCAACAUCAGAAUGAAGUAAGUAACCAUCACUUUUCCUACAUCCUCCUGCCAUGUAAUUUCCAUAAAGCAAUGUAAAUGUCUUAAAGAAAAAGAAAGGAAAAAAAGGUAAAAGUUUGAGGGAAACAUCAAUAUGAAAGGACCUCAAAAAUCAUAAAGCUUAAAAACAGUACCUAAAGGGAUCAAAACGUCUUGAUUCUUAAUCCCAUUGUAAACUAGUUUGUCAACAACACUCCUAUAAGCAUGGUUGUAAACUUUUUUUUUUACUGGAGCAUGGUCGUAAACUUAAGCAAGUAAAAACAGCAAAUUCCAAAAAUAUUUUAGAAUGCAUCAUAUCUAACACUAGAUCACAUUAUAUCUGACCAAUAGCAGUUCAUUAAGUCGGAUUCUAGAGAACAAAGGUCACGACUCUUGCAAAAGGAUCUCAUAAAUGUUGGUUCUUAGAUUUAGUUCUUUAUCACACAUUACUUCUUCUAGAUCAAAGCGAUCUUUUCUAGUAAGGACAGAGUGGUUUGAGAAAUCCAUCCAACCAUAACCUUUUUGACCUGGUACGCUACAUAAAAUAAUGUCAAAUCAUUUUCAUAUAAGCUAAGUUGCAUUCAAAUAAGCUAUAAGCCGAUUUAAAACAAGUUUCACAAGUGCUUCUAUCAGUUUAUAAGCUCAAAUAAGUCAAUCGAAACAAACCGUAAAUAGUUAAUUAAUUUUCAAAAUCCAUUAAAUGCAUGAUUAGGCCUAACAGCACCAAAUUGACUACAGAAACAGAAAUAAUUAAAAUCAUAACCAAAACCAUUAACUUAAAUUCAAAUUUUAAUUGCUCCAUCCAAUAAACCUCAUAACCAGCCAAAGCUCUACUCUAGCACGCGACUUCCUUGAACGCAAUUCUCUUAUCACACCGAUCACGCUUCCACUUCUUCUUCUUGCUUGUCUACCUCUCCUCUCUCUCCAUUCCAUCGGUGGUAAGAGAUUUUCAUCGAUGUCACGUUACUGAGCCAUAGAGGAACGGAAGAGAAGAUUUUGGUUCGUCGGAGGACGGUGGCACCUUCUUUUGUUCCACCGGAUAAGUAAUUGAUCAUUUAAAAUUUUACAAGCUAUAGCCAUGGAAAACUGGUCAUGACAUGAACUUAAUUUUUGAAAUUAAGAGGAUCAGAGGAAUGUUUUAAUUUGAGGUAAAAAUUCAUUUAAUUGACUUAAAAAACACGCUUUAAAAUGAAAAAUAAGUUCACCAUAUCCCAAAGAAAAGAGGUAACUAUAUUUUUCUCUAGAGCAAUUACUAGCAGCACAGAACCAACCACUGGACCUGAAUAGUGCAAUAGGGAGGCAUAUUCACAAUAUCUUACCACUUCUAAAUAGAUAUGUUUGAUUCAAUGGAAUCCAGACUAUUCUUUGAUAGCCAGUGACAGACAAAUAGACUACUUUUUCAGUUGAAAACUUGAACCAGAGAAUAACAGAAGUUACAUGUAACAGAAAUUACAUAAGUAGCCUAGCAAUGAGUAAGAAAUAUUAGUGAAUUAGCCUAUUUUAAGUAUUAGUUUUACUUAAAAUACGUACGCUAAUUAUCCUGACUUUUAGUGUUUUUGUGCCUUAUAAAAGAAAAACUAAUAUUUCUUGUAUUGAUAUCAAAAGCUAAUAUAUCAACUUUGCUAAGGAUUUAUUAAAGAUUGUUGCAACAUCAUUCAAAUAAUUUAAAAAAUCAACAAUCAUUGAACAAAAAAAGGUUGCAACAUCAAUGUUCCUGAAAUUUGCUUUUUUCAGGACAUAUUUACAAGCAGGUAAAAUGUUCAAAUACAUUAUCCAAAUUGUGUACUAAGAUGGAAAUUCUCAAAGCACUCCAACUGAGCUGCAAAGCAUAUCAUUACUCACUGUCCUUUCGAACAACCAACGGAUUCUGUGCUGUAAGCAACCUCUAGACUUGUCGCAUGACAAUGCAAAUAGCCAGAUGACUACAUGUCGUUUCCUGACAAUGUACAGUCAAAAAACAAGAAAAUACUUAGUUUUGGUUAGAGAAAAGUUGCGUAAAUUACAGACAACAGGCUGAAAUCAUCGGGAAUGGAUUCUCCAUGUUCAACUUUAUGAAUGAUUUUUAGAAACAUCACUUUCUCAUUUUAUGAUAUAAGAUGAAGUUUGUAUCUAAUUUGACCUGUGGGAUAAAAGCUACACGUUUACAUUAACGGUCUUUUUCAAAUAAUCUUUCAUAAAGAUUAUGAUUAAAACCAUUUAUGCUUUCGAAGUAUAAAGAUCUUACUUGUAAAACCAUUCAUCUUGGAUCCAACACAAUUUAUUAGAUGUUGUGUGAAAGUGGCUAACCUUUCAUUAGACCUGAUUGCUUCUGAUGUCUCUGAAGCACCCUUAUGUAAUAGUCAAACAAAAGUUCAAGUUGAUAGCUACGGAUUCUCCAUUCUGCAGGACACAAGCAUUUAUAUAUCACUGUAAGCCUUUUGCGUGCUUAUAAGUUAGUGGAACGUCAACUAUGUAUCAUGUUUCAAUUGCAAUCACGUUAAAUUUAUUCUAAAAUCCAACUACUUUGUUUAGCCUAUUAAUUAUUUCACUCAAAAGGUCCAUUCAAAAUCCCAUAUUAAGAUACAAUAACUCAUGAAGAAUUCAACAUCAAAUGUCAACUUUAUAAGCAUCCCCAAAUGUAAAUAGAAACAAUAUUUUAAGAUUGCACAAACAUAAUCCAGAAAAUCUUAAAUCAUGUAUCAUCAUUUGAAUAACUUCUCCAACUAGAAACAACGAAUUUGUAAUUGACUAUAUACAGAAAUUAAUCAACAUUUGUAAACAGAAAAUCACAAACCUCCAAUGUUGAGAUUGAGAGUUAACUUUAUGAUGGAGCUAGACCAAGGAAUGUACCCCACAUCAUUCUUUCAUCUUGUGCAUUGUUUAAAAUUUCAAUCUCAUCCCCAUGCGUGUUGCUUUUUGAUGCACCUAGACUAAGGAAUGUACCCCAUGUCUUUUUUUGUUCCUCUUUCUUUAAAUCCUGUUGUUGCAAUGAAGCAUUGAUAUCCUCCUCUUCCUCUGUCUCUGAAACUCCCAUUUCCACCGAUCUUUGCUUUUUUAGAGGAGGCACAAAUUGUGAUAAUGAAGUAUUAUUGCUAUAAGGGUUGAGAUAUUCAUCUAAUUUCAUCUUUCGAAUAUAAGGAUCGAUGAAUACCACAUUCUCCUCCUCCGUGUUGCACUCAGGAAGAAUUUUGAAAUUGUUGUACAUUAAGUCUAGAGAUGUCAUAUUAACACACCACUUGAGAAGUAUUGGGAGACAUUCAUCUGAGAGGUUGCAAUGGCAGAGAGUAAGUUGUGUCACAUUUAAAAACACUAUUGAAUACAUCUUAUCAUUCUGUUUUGGGAACCUCAGCAUUCCAUUUACCACUGAUAACUCAUCAAGUUCACUGAGAUUUUGAAAUGAAAAUGGCAGUUCUCCUAUAGAAGUAUGCUGCAACCAAAUAUUAUCUAUAUUUGUCAUCUUGCAUAAUAAUUCUGGAAAACUAUCGAGACUCUCACAAUAACGGAGAUUCAAUUCUUUAAGAGAUGCUAACCCUAAAGGUGGAAAACGUUUGAACUCCCUGCAACCAAAUGCACUUAACCUUUCAAGUUUAUUUAGGUGGCCAAUCGAAUUGUGAAUCGUAAUUAAAUUAUCACAAUAUUCAAACGAUAACUUUUCUAAAUUUGAAAGGCCUGAGACAUCGGGUAUAUGUGUUAAAUAUUUACAAUGGUCCAAUGUCAAGACUGUCAUAUCCGGGAACUUCUGCAUAAACACAAAGGAAGAAACUAUAAAUAAAUUAAAAAGCAAACACUAUACUUUCAUAGUGAUUUCUUUUAUGUUGUCGAAAAAGAAAUCAUUGUACAUUAUAAAUAUAUACAGUUAUAAAAUGAAGUUAUUUCACUUGCCUUGCUUAAAAUACUAGACGAUAGAGACUUUGAUAAACAUCCUUCCCAUUUCAAUGCUUUCAAACUGCUUGGAAGAUACUUGAGACCUUUAGAACAAUGGCCAUUUUCAAUGAUAAGUGUUUUCAAUCUUGUCAUCUUCUUGAAGGCCAUUCCUUUUUGGUCUAUUAUGGAUUCCAUGGAGUGAAAAUUCAUAUACAUCAUUUGAAUUUUACUAGUUCCCUUUUAUAAAAAAUAAAAAUAAAUAAAUAAAUAAAUAACAUGAAUCAGCCACAACAAAUAUAAGAUAUAGAGAAACUUACUUCGAAUUAAGUAAUAAAAAAUACUAGUAUGAGAUGGUCAUAUUUAGUCCAAAAAGAGCAAAGUCAUAUUAAAACUAAAUAACAAAAUGAUCAUAGAUAUCAAUCUUACUCACAGUGUUUUCUUUUAAGACAUUAACUAUAUCAUCAUGGCAGCAUAACCUACUUCUUUCUCCAGGCUCUUUAAUUGAUUCUUGUCGGACGACUUCUUUACCCAUAUCCUCUAUCAAGUUAUGUAAUGUCACAUAACAAUAAUUUGUGUCUAUGAGUGACUUUUCAGCCAACACUCGUAGAUGAUGUGUUAUACAAUGGUCAUAAUGAGAAUGAAGUAUAUUUUCAACCUCUGUCAAUCUAUACCCUUUUAAGCAACAAGCAAUGUCAAGAAAGACACUCUGCUCCUCUUCUUCCAAAGCAUCAUAGCUCACUCUAAGUAUCUUUUGGAUCUCUUUAUUGGGAAUCCUGUCAUACCCAUCUAAUGUAUUCUUCCAUUCUUCUAUGUUCUUGCCAAACAAGUUAGAACCCAUUACUUCUAAAACUAACGGAAGGCCAGAAGCAUAUGCAACUGCACGGUUUAAAAUGUCUUCAUAACCUGAAGGAACGUUGUCAUUUUUAAAAGCCAUCCACCUCAACAAUUCAAGAGCAUCUAUCCCAUUCAACCCUUCUACUGGAUAUGUUUUUUCUAUCCUAUGAGAGGCUAGUAAGUGUUUAUUUCGAGUGGUGAUGAUAACUCUGCUUCCAGGGCCAAACCAAUCAACACUACUAAAAAAACAAAAAUUAGUGAGGGAAAUUUUGUGAGGGAAAACGUGAAAUCCCUCUCUAAUUCCGUCACUAAAUUUUGCGACCAUGGAAUUUGUGAGGAAUUUCAUUUUUUCCGUAACUAAUUUUGCUUUUUCUACUAGUGCAAGUCCCCCAGCCAAAGCAUGCAGUUGCUUCCUAUCGUCAACAUCAUCGAGAAUCAAAAGAAUCUUCUUUCUACACAGCCUUUCCUUUAUGAAUGGAAUCCCCUCACAAACAUGAUCUAACUUUAUUUUCGAUCCAGUUGUUUUUAGAAGAAGCUUCUCUUGGAGAUGUUUCAAGUCAUUUUGAGCUGAAUUCUCUCUCACAUCAUGAAGAAAACAUAAACCUUCAAAUUGAUCAGCAACAAAAUUAUAAAUUGCUCUUGCAAGUGUUGAUUUACCCAAGCCUCCAAUGCCAAAAAUUCCAACCAUAUGGACCCCAUCAUCAGGUCCCUCAUCAAGAAGUGAUUUCACUUGUUGUACUCGAGACUGCAAUCCAACAGGGUAAGUGGCAACAUGUAAGGGAUGUCGACUGAUCUUGUUGGAGAUGUAUUUGACUAUCUUUCCAAUAAGCUUGUAUUCAUAUCUAUUCAUGUGCAAUAAGAUAAGUUAGUGUCUAACAACAUCCCAAUCACAUCCAUGUACUAAGAAUGUAUUAUUCAUUUCUAACUAUUUCGACAUAUAAAUAACUAAUAGUACUUGUUUAAAACUGUAUAUAAAAAAGGUAUUUCCCUUUAAACUUUAAGAUGAGAUUAUUGUGAAAUUGAAGUUGAAGAAAUAAAAUAGAAAAGGGAAAAAUAGGAUUUAAGUAAAGUUGGGUACCCAGGAGGACUAUCAUGGUAGCCGGACAAGUUAGCAGCCUGGCUCAGAGCCUCUUUCCAUCCCUGCAACCUCUCCAUGUUUUUCGGAUCAUUUUGAAACCUCUUUUCAUGCUCAGCCAAUGCUUCACCAUAACUACCUUUACGAUGUCGCACAAUAGUAGGUUCUACACCAAAUAAAACAGGCAGAACGAGGCGACCCUUUGUCUUGUAGCAGUGAAUGAUGUGGACAAGUUCGUCCAAACAAAAUGAAGAAGAGGCAUAGGUGAUAGAAAACACAGGAAUAAAAAUCCUAGACUCUUCAAUGGCCUUGAGAAGUGAUGGUGUGAUUUCAUCCCUUCUUUGAAGUUCAUGAUUGUCAAUGAAGGUGUGGAUUCCCUUGUCAUCAAAAGCCUUGUAGAGAUUGCCUGUGAAACCGUACCGAGUGUCACCUCCUCUGAAACUGAGGAAUACUUGGUAUUUGUACUCAUAGGAAAUUGAAGUGGAAGAGAAAGGUGAUUGCAUAGCCAUGAGAUUUUAGAGAAAUUAGAUGAAAAAAGAGUUUGAGAAUAUGAAUGAGAAGUUUUUGUGGUCUGUGAAGUCUUUGAUAAGUAACUUUAUAACUUAUGAGAAAAGUUAUGACAGAAAUGGUAUGUGAAACUUCCUAUAGCCGUGUGGACCAAUCAUUGUACUACCACCUCUUCUUCUUGCUAAUUUCUUCCAUGUUGUUACUGUUACUGUUCAUCUUUUGGACAAAUCUUAUUCUUCUGCUGCAUUUAAUUUUUCACUUUGUUACUUAAUUAAUCAGUGUGUUAAAUUACAUGAGCUUAAAAUAAAUACAAGCUAUGCCAUUCAAACAUACAAUUAGUAGGCAUGUCACAAAUUUUGGCAUCUUUUCCAUUACACCAUCAGGAUACAUUUUGGUUACUUCUAACCAAAGAAAAACAAAAAGGAAAAUUUGCAUUUCAAAUAUCAUCAAAUGACAUGUUAAUUGAGUCUCACAUUUGAUUUAACUUGUGCUUCCAACAGUAGUAGUAUCAACAGGACCCGGAUUCCGUGCAUUAAUAAAAGUCCAUAGUUUCAACUUUCAUGCAAUCGUUAAACUCCACCCUUUGUGAUCGGAUGGUUCAGAUUACAGAUACACUAAUUCGGUUUUCAACCAUCUCAACUGUAUUGUGAUCGGAUGGUUCAGAUUACAGAUACACUAAUUCGGUUUUCAACCAUCUCAACCGUAUAUUUAAAUCAGACUAAAUUGGUGCAGUUACUACUGGGAAUCCAUUUCCAUAUCAACUCCAUGAAAAACACUAAUAAAUAGACUAAAAGAUUGUUCACUAAUGCAUUUCAUAUGCAAAGAAACUUUAAAAAUUAAUUUCUUACCUGAUUCCUCUCAUAAAGCAUAUGAUUUUUUGUGAAGUACUUAUAGGUAUCCCGUCCUUUUGCUAGCAUACUUUGACCAAUUGGACCGAUGAUCCCGAUUACCCUAGCAAGUAAUGUUGCCGGGGAAUCAUUUUGAAAUAAGACCUACAAUACAACAAGCAUAGUUGAAUAUCAAUAGGGAAAGAAAAAUUUAUGGGUGUAUUUAACACAAGAGAAACCAAAUAAAGCACUGUACUAUAACAGAUACAGAUUCAAUAUCCGCUUUCACAGUUUCACCCAAAAAAGAAUAAUAAUCCUACAACUGCAAAGAGCAUACAACAAAAAAGAAAUUCACUGAGCCUGAUACGUCACCAAUCAUUUUUACGUCUACAAGAUACUUUGUCAAGUUAUUUAAGUCAUCAUCGUUUCACACACAUAAUAGAUUAAGAUAACAUGUCCUGUUCUACUGUCCAUAUAGUUCCACUAAAACAACACAGAAACUAACUUGUUUUCCCAAUCAUAGAUAGCAGAAAAUAGUGGUUUGUUCAAAUUCUGCUAUUCAACAGUUCUAUAGCACCACUACAGCGAUAAUGCAUAACAAUGGUGAUUUCGUUCAAAUUCCACAUCAUUUUCACAUGUAAAAUACACUUCAUCAGUUCAUUUGAGUGGAACACAAAUGGAAUGAAAUGGGACAGCUUGUUUUGGUUCAACAUUUUUAUUUUAUAUCAUUUUAUGUUCUACUUUUUACAUGCCUGAAACACGUAGAAUAUAAAUUAUUCUAUCCUACUCUAACCUGUCUACCAGAUACCUACUCUAACCUGUCUACCAGAUACUUCCUAAGAGUGAUUCAACAAAAGUUGGUAUCUAAACAAUGCCAUCACCAGGGGAGAAAAUGAAAUUUCAACGAUCAACAGUCAAUUUCAGUCUAAAUUAGACCUAAUGUAUUAGAGAAGAAAACUUGAGCAUUUUUAUGUACCUCCAACACGAAUUUGACAUGAAUCUUAACAUGCUUAAGUUUGAAAACUAUAUAUUAUACUUACAUUGCCAGUACAAAGUUCUGCCAAGAUGCAUCCAAGGGACCAGAUAUCAAUCUUCUUGUCGUAUGAAAGCCCGAGAAUAACCUCGGGAGCACUAUAGGACCUAGACUGAACAUAUGAGCAAAGGUGAUCUGUCUCAAAACAACUACUUCCAAGAUCAAUGACCUUCACCUCACAUCGGCUGUAGCUUUUAACCAAAAUAUUCUCCGGCUUCAAGUCACAAUGUAUUAGUCCAAGGUUAUGUAAAUACUGAAGUGCUUCCAAACAUUGAAUGGUAAUUGACUGCAAAAACAAAUCAAGACAAGUUUAUAAUGUUUUUAGUGUGACAGGAGUAGAAUCUAUGUAUACCUGUACAUAAAGAGAAUACUAAAGUUUGCUGUAGCUUUUUCUUCCAAUUUCACCCUUCAUUUAAACUCUUCUUUGUACAUUUUUACCCUUCAAAUUUGAUCUAAUCUAAUCCUAAUUAAAUUUUAAAUCAAAUCUAAUAAAAUCCUUAAAUCAAUCUAAAAAAUCAAAUCUAAACCAACCUUAAUUCAAUUUUGAAUUAAAAAUAUCUUAAUCAAAAUAAAAAUAACAAUACUAAAUAAUAAAAUUUCGUGCAGGGCAACAACAGAAAGAAAUGAAAGGUGGUAAGUCAGAUGAUUAAGUGAAUCGAUAUAUCUCAACAUCACUUUGUACAUAGCUUAACGUUUAGUCCUCGUAAUGUAAUUCAAUUCUUUCAAAAAUAUGACACCAGUGUGAAAAAUUAUAUUUUAUAACAAAUCCUGGAAUGUAUUGAAAAAUACCAUAGCCACAAACACAUUAAGUGGCUAUAGAAGAAGUAAAAAGUAAAUAUCAAUACCACAGCAACAACCUUUAUUCAGUUAUAUUAAAGAAGAAAGUCAACGUCAAGUCAGAACAAAUAAAUAUUUAGUCAUCUAUAUAUCUCGUUAUCAAAUUAAUGUUAAAAUUGCCUAGGAAGGACAGUAUCUAAUGUUGCACUAAUAGAUGAGACGUAAAAUGUAAUAGUAUUAACAAGAUCAAUAGCACAUGCAAAAUCACUUACUCUAUAAUAGAAAUAAUCAUAUAACCGCAAAAUGUGAUACUUGUCUCCAGGAUCAUGCUUAUUGACAUACUUGAGGAGUUUGAUCUCAUCAAGGCUUUGAUCAAAGAAAUCCUUGUUGUUCUUUAUAAUUUUAGUACAAACAUCCACGCCUGUGUGCAGGUCAUGAGCUUGUAUAGCUUCACUAAAUGCAGCAGAUCCCAGAUACUCGGUGACAUGAUAGCGACCAGCUAUUACAGAAUUUAAAACAACAUGGAAAUUCUUGUCCUCUUCAAAGCCAGUUCUGAACAACAAAACAUAGUUUUAGAUAGCAUGUCAAAGCCAAAAGGAGAAACACCAUGGAACAAUGACAAGAAUAUCCAUUGUGCAACAUAACAAAAGUAUCUACAUAGACGAGUUCAUUGAGCCUUCUGACAUGGCAUAAAGUACAAGUGCACAAUAUUUAUAAUGAAAAAUAAUUAAUUUUAUUCAUCUCAAAUCAUUAAUAUACUCGGAUUUGUAUUUUAACAAAGCAAGGGAUUUUUUACGGAUCAAGAAUGAAAUAGAAACUCUGCUGCCAUCUUAGUUUCACUUUAUUUUCAUCAUUAAUACAACCAAAAAAUUCACAAAAUGUUGUUUGUGCUUGCUAGUGUGGAUUGAAUUAAUGCCUGUUAUCAACUGAUUAUUGUAUCAUAAAUUUAAAUGUAAAGAGAUUGAAGGUUUCAAGUUCCUCCUCCUGAGCCUUUAUUUGCCUUACCUGCUCUUGCACAGCAGCAAUCUCUUCAUCCUCUUGUGAAACACCUAAAUCAUCUUCCCUUGUAAUGUCAACUUCUUCAUCAUCCUUUUCUAGCUUGACAUGCUCUUUAUCAGCGUACCCGUAAUUAUCGACAGUAGUUGGAGACGAGUUCGAAGAUCUAACCGCGUGAGCAUUAUUCUCAUCCCUAGAACUUUUCUCGGGUGAAGAAUCACUACUCUUCUGCCUCCACGAAGAAAGCAUUUCAUCAGAUCCUUCAAAAGCAUUCAUACAGUCAUCGGUUUCAUCCGCAUUACAAUUAUUUAACCAUGGCGACUUACUGGAACCACCACCCUGAAUCAUCUGGCUAUCUAUAAGAGACUGAGGAAAUGAAAAGUUGCCUUCAGUAUGUGUUUUUCUUUGUGAGUGUCCAUCUUUAUGACCUCCAAAGACAUAUUUAUUCGACUCAAUCUCGUCAUUUUUCUUCUUAUUUUUAAAUGAUUUGUCCAUAGAAUUCUUUCCGAAAUCAUGAUGAGAGUGUUUAUAAUCCCCCAAGUCCACUAUCACGAUCACGGAAAUAUUCUAAAUCCCCUUCACUGCUACCACCAAUAAAACUUCCAUGCACUUCACUGCCGAUAUCGGCAGCAUCACUGUUGAAACCCACCCCGAUUGACCUAACUGAACCGUGUUGAUCAUCUUCCAUUUGCUCGAGUCGUGAUCUUCCACUAUGAUUCAUAACUAUUCCAUCUCCCAACAUGAUCAGGUCGUUUGUCUGAGGGAAAAAUCCCUGCAUAACAGGUUCCGCGUGCAUCAGAUUGCAUUCCUCUACGUCCAUCAAUUCCCUGUCAUAUUGAGCCAUUAAAUCAUUACCAUUAGCCCUUCCAUACAUAUUAGUAACUGUUAUACAGAUAGGAUCAUCUGACCCUAUGACUGGCUCAACAUUCUUUGCUUGAAGAUAUUGCUCUCCCGAGAAAUAAGAAUCCUCUUCAGCGAAACAUUGAUCAUCAUCAUCCUCUUUGGCAGGACCUCUUUCCUGAGGAUCUAGAACGCUUCCAUGCCCAGUUCCCUUUUCAUUUUCACUAGGGUAAUCAAUUUCGUGCGCCAAAAACCAGGCUUAAUACUCAAUAGGUUUUCUCAUGUACCAGGGGAAACUCUGCAAAAUCUGUCAAAGAACAUGUUCCAGGGGAAAUCCUGGAACCAAAACAGGAUGUUACUGAAGUAAAAGCACAAGUUGAUGCCAUAUGGGAACAAAUGAAUAAAGGCCUGUCCAAUAACGUUAUUAACAGUUUUAAAAGCAAGCCUAAAUCUUCUGCUGUGGAUGUUGUCCUUGUACAAAUCAAGAAGAAAACAGAACCUGAAAUUUUUGUAGGUUAUAGCUCAUCUUCAAAAGUCUAUAGAAUCUAUCUUCCACAAAGCAACAAAGUAAUUGUUAGCAUAGAUGUCAAAUUUCUUGAGUCAGAUAGUUGGAAUUGGGAAGAUUGUGAGAAGUUUGAAUUUCAGGAGGAGAAUGAAGAUGUUGAUGAUGAACCUAUUAAAGGAACUAGAUCACUUUCAGACAUGUACCAAAGGUGCAACGUCGUUGUCAUGGAACUAGAAGGAUAUGAUAAAGCUAGAUAUGAAUUCUUGACACAAAUGCUUGGUGUAUGCAGUUUCAGAGUCAAGGAGGAGUGUAGACUGGAUGACUAUGAAACUACUGUUUUAAGUUCCUAAAUUUUAGGAUCUAUUAUCUUUUUAUGUUAUUAUUAGGCACUCUCUGAUAUGCUCUAUUUGUUACCAGUUUUUUAGGCAUUUAGUUUUCAAAUAGUAGUUUCUUUAUGCAUUAUUUUAGGCUUUUCUUUAUGUAUAAAUAUGAUGGUUAUCAUUCAAUAAAAAUAUUCCUUUUAUGCUGUUCACAUAACAUAUUUUUUCCACGUUAAACCUUUCUAUAUCCAACAUGGUUUCCCAAAUUUACAAGUACUUCUACAAUACUGUUGAUUUUACAAGUGAUAAGCACGGUUGUAAACUUAAGUAAAUAAAAACAGAAAAUUCCAGAGAAAAAAACUCACCACUCUUGCAAAAGGAUCUCAUAAAUGUUGGUUCUUAGAUUUAGUUUUUAUCAUGCAUUACUUCCUCUAAAUCAGAAAGCUUCCAGUAAGGACAGACUUUAGACUGAGAAAUCCAUCCAACCAUAUCAGUUUUGAUCUUGUACGCAAAAAGCAAAUAUGUCGAGCUGCAUAAGGAUCAUGUGCAAUGUUCAAUUCAUAUCCCAUGUAGCAAUGCCACAGUACAACUGAAUUGCAAAGCAUAUCAUUACUCAGUGCCAUUUCAAACAAGCCACGGAUUCUGUGGUUUGAGCCACCUAUAGACAUCUCGUAUGACAAUGCAAAAAGCCAGACAACUAUAGAUGGUUUUUUGUCAAUGUACAAUAAAAGAAGAAAUGGAUGCUUAGUUAAUAGUUAGAGAAAAGUUGCUAAAAUUACUGACAGAACAGUCUGAAAUAGCCAUACACACCAUUAUGCAGAAAACCAAAAACCUAGCUUGCUACAAUUGUAAAAAGAAAAUGUGCAUUCAGAAUGAGAACAAAUAAGAUUCAUUACAUCGGAUAAAAGUAAAUUAAUUUUUCAGCAAAAAGACUUCGAUUCUAUUAAGUUAUAGAAUUUCAUUUCUCUUUUUGAUGUACAAAACUAAAACAUUAUGAGACAUGAUAUAAGAUGAAGUUUCAAUCUGGUAAGGGUGUUCAAAUGAAGAUCUAUUACUUUGCCUUUUAAAGCUUAUCAACCUAUCUUGGAACUCUGCAAAAGCUAACCAAACGUUUUCAUCAUGUGGGCGAUCCCUUGUCAGUUUGGUGAUGAAAUUUUAGAGUCGGAUUCUCUUUCAAACAACUCCAAGAAAUGCACCAACAUCUGAUAACGGUAUAAACUCAUCUUCUCCUGUAUGAGGAUCCAAUUUUGGACCAACAAGACGAAGGUGCUUGAAGCUGUUAUGUCGUUCUAAAGCCAAAUUCAUGUAUGAUUUAUUGUCCUUUGCAUCCUCUCUAACUGAUGUCAAUAAGUUAUCAAUUUCUUAGAACCAAAUAAUGUCAUGGCAUGAUUCAAGUUCUAAUAUAUAAGCUAUUGAUAUAUCAAAAGAUAAAAUAAAGUCAAAUUCUUUUCAUAUAAGCUACAUUGCAUUCAAAUCACAAAUAAGUCGAUUUCAUAAGCUAAUAAUCCUGACAAACAUAAUUAUAAAAGUAAAUUCCCCUGACAAACAUACAUUUGGAGUUUUUAUUUUCUUCUUUUGUUUGAUGUGGAAAUUGCCAUUUAGAAUUUGGCUAAACUUGGUAUCAAAUGCCAUAUACAUUGAAAUACAAAAUGUCAUGUUAUCAUAGUUAAUAAUCAAACACUAAUUAAUUUGAGAAAUGGAUCAUUGGACAGUGAUUUGGUUGAAACAUCUGUCGGUAUCACAAUAUGUACAUACUCUUGUAUUAUUAAAAGCAAAUUAAUCAUACAUACAUAUGUUGUUGCUGCUACACAAGUUCUGUCUCAGAAAACUGAUUUGGCAGAGAAGUGUUUUUACACAAGAAUAACUUAAUAAUCACAAGAGACAUACAGUGUUGUUGCUGCUACACAAGUUCUACUCCUUCUAUAAGAAUUGGUGAAUACCGCAUCCUCUCUCAUGCUUCCUUUCUUGUUGAACACGUAGAUUCCAAAUUGUGUACUAAGAUUGAAAUUCUCAAAGCACUCCAACUGAGCUGCAAAGCAUAUCAUUACUCGCUGCCCUUUCGAACAACCAACGGAUUCUGCGCUGUAAGCAACCUCUAGACUUGUCGCAUGACAAUGCAAAUAGCCAGAUGACUACAUGUGGUUUCCUGACAAUGUACAGUCAAAGAACAAGAAAAUACUUAGUUUUGGUUAGAGAAAAGUUGCGUAAAUUAUGAUUAAAACCAUUUAAGCUUUCGAAGUAUAAGGAUCUUAUUUGUAACACCAUUCAUCUUGGAUCUGGCACUAUUUAUUAUAAGUUGUGUGAAAGUGGCCAACCUUUCAUUAGACCCGAUUCCUUCUGAUGUCUCUGAAGCACCCUUAUGUAAUAGUUAAACAAAAAUUCAAGUUGAUAGAUAUGGCUUCUCCUUUCUGCAGGGCACAAGCAUUCAAGUAGAUGUGAUAAGUAACAUAAUAUACAGUUAUGCUGCAACAGAGAUGACCGAUAUAUAUAAGCUAAGAAAUUAUAUCGAUAUAAGCAAAGUAUUUAGAUCACUGUAAACCUUUUGCGUGCUUAUAAGUUAGUGGAAUGUCAAUUAUGUAUCAUGUUUCAAAUUUCAAUUGCAAUGACGUUAAAUUUCAUUCAUAAAAAGUUAAAAAUCCAAGUACUUAGUUUAGGCUAUUAACCAUUUCACUGAAAAGGUCCAUUCAAAAUUUGACAUUAAGAUACAAUAACUCGUGAAGAAUUCAACAUCAAAUGUCAACUUUAUAAGCUUAAAGUGGCUAAAAUUUAAAAUAAGGUAGUCUACUUGUUGAACUUUGUUGCAAACUCUUUCAGAACCUUCAUUUCGACAUUUUCUACCGUUAGGAAAGGGAGGAAAAUUUAAAAAAAUGUUUUCAGAAAAUGUGAUGAUAAAGUGUUGCAAUAAUUGAGAUGUUCCACAUGCCUUGCAUCAUUAUUAUAAACCACUGAGAUCUCAAUGGUUUAUAAUAAUGAUAAUGACGUAAACAGCAAAGCACAAACCUGUAUUCUUGAGAUUGAGAGAAUAACAAGAAGACGAUUAACUUUUUGUUCCUCUUUCGUCAAAUCCUGCUGUUGCAAUGAAGCAUUGAUAUCCUCCUCUGUCUCUGAAACUCCCACUUCCACCAAUCUUUGCUUUUUUAGAGGAGGCUCAAAUUGUGAUAAUGAAGUAUUAUUGCUAAUUUAGAUAAGGAUCUUUGAAUACCACAUUCUCCUCCUCCGUGUUGCUUUUCUCAUUCCACACGUGGACUCCCAUUUGUGUAUAAACACUAUUCUCGUGAUCCUUCAACUUAAACUCCACAUGGAUCCAUUCACUUUUCAAAAGUCCUUUGUCCAUAUUAUACUCAUAUUGUCUUUUACCUAGUUCAUACAAUUUCAUAUGAAUCAAAGUUGUAUCCUUCGAGCUCACAUACUGGUAACAAUAAUCUAUCUCAAUUUUAUAUCCAUUCACAUAUAAACCGACAUUUGAGCCCCAAGCGCAUUCCGGAAAAAUAAUUAUACAAGUUAUAGAAGGGAUUUCUUUACGAAACCAGAAAGAAAUUGUGGGUCCCCUGCUUUGGUGCUCAAACCAAUCUGGUAUCCCAUCUGUUCCGUUUGGGAAUUUAAUAUAGGUGCAUCCAGCCUGAUGUAGUUUCUGUUUGUUUAUACAAAAUAAUAAUAAUAAUUACACUAUGAAUUACAAAUUAAAUAUUAUAUAUAAAAUACUGUGCUAUAUAAAACAACAACUAACCUGACUCAUUAAUAUUCUUUUACUUGAGGAACUCAAUGAUUGACAUCCUUGUGCAUUAAUCUCUUUUAGAUUUGGUGGAAUCCCUCUAAUUUCCUCAAGGGACUCGCAGUACCCCACAUUAAUUUCAACAAGAUGGUGACAUUCACUAAGGCACUCAGGAAGAAUUUUGAAAUUGCUAUAUAAUAAGUUUAGAGAUGUCAUAUUAACACACCACUUGAGAACUCUUCGGAGACAUUCAUCUGAGAGGUUGCAAUGGUAGAGAGUAAGCUGUGUCACAUUUGAAAACACUAUUGAAUACAUCUUAUCAUUCUGUUUUGGGAACCUCAGCAUUCCAUAUGUCACUGAUAACUUAUGAAGUUCACUAAGAUUUUGAAAUGAAAAUGGCAGUUCUCCUAUGGAAGUAUUACACAACCAAAUAUUGUCUAUAUUUGUCAUCUUGCAUAAUAAUUCUGGAAAACUCUUGAGACUCCUGCAAGAACUGAGAUUCAAUUCCUUAAGAGAUGCCAAACCUAAAGGUGGAAAAUGUUCGACCUUAUUGCAACCAUAUGCACUUAACCUUUCAAGUUUAUUAAGGUGUCCAAUCGAAUUGUGAAUUGUAAUUAAAUUAUAACAUCUUUCAAACGAUAACUUUUCUAAAUUUGAAAGGCCUGAGACAUCGGGUAUAUGUGUUAAAUAUUUACAUCGGUCCAAUAUCAAGACUUUCAUAUCCUGGAACUUCUGCAUAAACACAAGAAAGAAACAAUAAAUAAACUAAAAAUCAAAGACUAAUAUUACUUUCAUACUGAUUUUUUUGUUGACGGAAACAAAAUCAUUGUGAAGUUAUUUCACUUGCCUUGUUUAAAAUCCUAGAUGACAGACACUUCGAUAAACAUCCUUUCCAUUUCAAUACACUCAAACUGCUUGGAAGAUACUUGAGACCUUUAGAACAAUGGCCAUUUUCAAUGAUAAGUGUUUUCAGUUUUGUCAUCUUCUUGAAGGCCUUUCCUUUCUUGUCUAUCACGGAUUCCAUGGAGUGGAGAUUCAUAUAUAUCAUUUCAAUUUUACUAGUUCCCUUUUAACAAAGAUAAAAACAUGAAUCAACCACAAUAAAAAUAAGAUAUAGAAAUAUUAACAUGUAAUUGAGUGAAAAGAAAUGCUCGUUUUAGAUGAUCAUAUUUAGUUCAAAAAGAGCAAAGUUGUAUUAAAACUAAAUAACAAAAUGAUCAUAGAUAUCAAUCUUACUCACAGUGUUUUCUCUUAAAACACGAACUAUAUCAUCCUGACAGCAUAACCUACUUCUUUCUCCAGGCUCUUUAAUUGAUUCUUGUCGGACGACUUCUUUACCCAUGUCCUCUAUCAAGUCAUGUAACAUCACAUAAUCGUCAUAUUCCCGUAAUUUCUUUAUGAGAGAUUUUUCAACCAACACUCCUAGAUGAUGUGUUAUGCAAUGGCCAUAAUGAGAAUUAAGUAUAUAUUUGGCAUCUUCCCAUUUACAUCUUUUGAAGCAACAAGCAAUGUCUAGAAAGACACUUUGCUGCUCUUCCUCCAAAGCAUCAUAACUUACUUUAAGUAUCUUUUGGAUCUCUUUAUUGGGAAUCCUGUCAUACCCAUCUAAUGUAUUCUUCCAUUCCUCUAUGUUCUUUCCAGAUAAGUUAGAACCCACUAUUUCUAUAACUAACGGAAGGCCAGAAGCAUAUGCAACUGCACGGUUUAAAAUCUCUUCGUAACCUGAAGGAACAUUGUCACUUUUAAAAGCCAUCCACCUCAACAAUUCAAGAGCUUCUGUCCCAUACAACCCUUCUACUUCAUGCAUACUUUUUAUCCCAUGACAGGUUAGUAAGUGUUUGUCUCGAGUGGUAAUGAUGACUUUGCUUCCACGGCCGAACCAAUCAGGUCCUCCAGCCAAAGCAUGUAGUUGCUUCAUAUUGUCAACAUCAUCAAGAAUCAAAAGAACCUUCUUUCUAUGUAGCCUUUCCUUUAUAUAAGGAAUUCCCUCACUAACACCUCCAAACUUAAUUUCAAGUUGAAGUGUUUUUAAAAGGAGCUCCUUCUGAAGAUGUUUCAAUUUAUUUGAAGUUGAAUUCUCUCUCACAUUUUCAAGAAAACAUGAGCAUUCAAAUUGAUCAGCAAUAAAAUUAUAAAUUGCUUUUGCAAGUGUUGAUUUACCCAAUCCUCCAGUACCAUAAAGUCCUACCAUGUGGACUCCAUCAUCAGAUCUUUCAUCAAGAAGCGAUUUCACUUGUUGUACUCGAGACUGCAAUCCAACAGGGUAAUUGGCAACAUGUAAGGGUUGACGACUGGUCUUGUUGGAGAUGUAUUUGACUAUCUCUCCAAUAAACUCGUAUUCAUAUCUAUUCAUGUCCAGUAAGAUAAGUUAGUAUGUGACAACAUCACAAUCACAUCAUGUUAUUCUUUAAGAUGAGAUUAUUGUGAAAUUUAAAUUAAAGAGAGAAAAUAUAAAAAAGGUACCCAGGAGGACUAUCAUGGUAGCCGGACAAGUUAGCAGCCUGGCUCAGAGCCACUUUCCAUCGCUGCAACCUCUCCAUGUUAUUCUUAUCAUUUUGAAACCUCUUUUCAUGCUCAGCCAAUGCUUCACCAUAACUACCUUUCUGAUGUCGCACGUUAGUAGGUUCCACGCCGAAGAAAACAGGCAAAACGAGGCGACCCUUUGUCUUGUAGCAGUGAAUUAUGUGGACAAGUUCGUCCAAACAAAACGAAGAAGAGGCAUAGUUGAUAGAAAACACAGGAAUAAAAAUCCUAGAUUCAUCAAUGGCCUUGAGGAGUGAUGGUGUGAUUUCAUCUCCUCUUUGAAGAUCAUUGUCAUCAAUGAAGGUAUGGAUUCCCUUGUCAGUAAGAGCCUUGUAGAGAUUUCCGGUAAAACUGUGCCGAGUGUCAGUGCCCCUAAAACUGAGGAACACUUGGUAAGUGAAUCCAUGGGAGAAUGAAGAGGAUGAGGAAGGUGAUUGUAUAGCCAUGAGAAUUGAGAGAAAUAGGAUGAAAAAAGAGUUUGAGAAUGCAGAAUAUGAAUGAGUGAAUUUUUGUGUUCUGUGAUGUGAAGUCUUUGAUAAGUAACUUUAUAACAAUGAGAAAAAUGGUCUCUGAAACUUUCCUGACCACUUCCUAUAGCCGUGUGGACCAAUCAUACAAUAUUAUAGUUAAUUACUCAGUGUGUUAAAUAAAAAUAAAUUAGGUUAGCAUAGAUAUGCAAUAUUAUAGUUUCUAUUUAUUUUUAAAAUAUUACCACUUGAACCAAAUGGAUAAUUAGCUAUCCAACGGAACUAACAUAAUUGUUUAUUCAUGUUUAUUUUACUUUGUACUAACGAUCACUUUAAUGAAAUAAAAAGGUAUUUGUCAAUAUUUAUAUUUUAGAAAACAUCAUUUCAUAAGAAAAACCAUCAUUUCAUUGUUUAUAAGGAUUAUAUUAAAAAAAUUACAUUUUAUCAUAAAAAAUAAUCAAUAUUCAUUGUUAUGAGUAAUAAAAAUUCUUAAAAAUUAAAUUUUAUUUCGUCGAAGCUUUUGGUAAAUAAAAUUUAAUUAUCUUAGUUGUCAAUGAUAGAAAAUAAUUAUUUUUCUUCAAAAAAACAACUGAUUUAUUAUUAAUUUUACGACUUGGUGUACCGAUACACUCAAACACCCAAAUUCAUUGGGUGUACCAUAGAAUUUACCUUAUAAAUAUUGGAAAUCAAACUUGCCAGCUAUAUUUAGAAACUUCCUUCCCAUUUCAUAUGUCUGUAAAGUAACCAUCACAUCCUUCUUCCAUGUAAUUUCGUUAAAGCAAUGUCAAUGUCUUAAUGAAAAAAAAGGAAAAACAAGGCAAAGUUUCAUCCACAAAUAUCUACUUGUGUAAAUUUUGUAACUAAUGUCACUUUGUUUAUCUAGAUCUCAAAAACAUAAAUAAAUAACUCAUUUAAUAGAGAUAAAUAUGAAACGAUGGAGUGAUGGCGCACACAAGGCUCACAACAAAUUUGUCAUUAUAAAGAAGGCUUAAUUGAACUCCCGGUCCUUUAACUUAAUUCUUUUCUUCAAGUUAGUUCCAUAGCUGUUAAAAUCAUCAACUUGGUCCUUUAUCUUUGUUUUCGUCUAUUAAUUUGAUCCAAUUUUGAUGAUUUUAAUCCCCUAAAAAAGAGACCGUUGGAUUACGGAGGUCUAUCAGAUUUUAUAGUGUAUCACCAACACCUAAUUUAUUUAGGCUCUGUUUGGUAAAAAUAGCGGAUAGCUGAUAAGCUAGCUGAUAGCUUUUAGCUGAUAAGCUAGCUGGUAGCUUUUAGCUAAGAAGUUAGCUGAUAGCGGAUAAGCUAACUGAAGUGUUUGGUAAAAUUAGCGGUUCAACUAGCUUAUAAAUGUAAAAUGACAUAAAAGGAUAUUUUUAAUUCAUUAUAAAAUUUGUAUCAAUUGAUAUUUAAAAUAUUUAAAAUUUCAUAGUUUAAAUAUAUUAAUCUAAUAUGUUUUUCAUAUGUUAUUUUUAAAUUCAUAAAUUGGCUAAUGUUUUAUUUAAAAUUGAUUUUAUUUCAGUUUUUAGACUUUAUAAAAAAAUUAAACAAAACCUUUAAAAAAAAAAAAUUGUUACCCUCUAAAACAAAUUUAAACGUAUUGAUCCAAAAUCAAACAAAAUUUUGUUUUUAGACUUAAAAACGAAAUUAAACAUAACGUAAUAUGAUUUAUUUAGAUAAACGUAACAUAUAUUUUUUUAAGGAAAAAUGUAGUUUUUAUUUUUGUAAACAUGAGCAUAUAUUUUAUAAAAAAUAAAUAAAAGCGUGAGCAUAUAUAUUUAGUUAAAGUGAAAUCUUGAAUUAAAAGUGCUAUGUUUUUCUUCAACGUAGUUAUUUAUUACAAAGGGUAGAUAUGGAUUUUUGAUAAAUUGAUAAGGGUAAAAAUGAGACAAAAAUGAGAAGCUAUAAGCUAUAAGCUCAAACUGUUAUCAUCAAAACUUAUUAGGGUUUAUUGAUAUGGAAUUAUACACUCUGUAUUGAAGGUGAGAAAAACACAAGAAGAGGGGGGUUGAAUUGUGUUUUCUUUUUCUCUUUAAAAAUCUUCUUCUGAGAUUACUUCAGAAGCUGUUUGAAUGAGCUUCUGAUGUGAUGUUCAAAAUUAGAUAUGCAGCGGAAAAGAACAGAGCAGAGAAAAGAAAGAUAGACAGAAACAGUUAUACUGGUUCCUUCCACAAUCCGGAAGUAGCCCAGUCCCUGUAACACCCCGUUUUCCCAACGUGAAAAUUUCAUUUAUUUAAUCAGAGUAAUUCACAAAAACGGAAUGCUACACUUCUUUUCUUAAAAUCAUAAACUGAAUAAAUAACUAUUUAUCCUUUAAAUUUCAAUAACUAAAAAGUCUUUAAUACUUCGCAGCGGACAUUAUUCAAUAAUCAAAACAGUCUUUGGCACAAGGCCUCAUCAUUAAUAUCUCAUACAAAUUUGAUCAACAUCUUAUUCAUGAAAAUUCUUUGAGCAAUACGUAAGGAAUAGAAAGACAACAUUAAAAUUCNNNNNNNNNNNNNNNNNNNNNNNNNNNNNNNNNNNNNNNNNNNNNNNNNNNNNNNNNNNNNNNNNNNNNNNNNNNNNNNNNNNNNNNNNNNNNNNNNNNNNNNNNNNNNNNNNNNNNNNNNNNNNNNNNNNNNNNNNNNNNNNNNNNNNNNNNNNNNNNNNNNNNNNNNNNNNNNNNNNNNNNNNNNNNNNNNNNNNNNNNNNNNNNNNNNNNNNNNNNNNNNNNNNNNNNNNNNNNNNNNNNNNNNNNNNNNNNNNNNNNNNNNNNNNNNNNNNNNNNNNNNNNNNNNNNNNNNNNNNNNNNNNNNNNNNNNNNNNNNNNNNNNNNNNNNNNNNNNNNNNNNNNNNNNNNNNNNNNNNNNNNNNNNNNNNNNNNNNNNNNNNNNNNNNNNNNNNNNNNNNNNNNNNNNNNNNNNNNNNNNNNNNNNNNNNNNNNNNNNNNNNNNNNNNNNNNNNNNNNNNNNNNNNNNNNNNNNNNNNNNNNNNNNNNNNNNNNNNNNNNNNNNNNNNNNNNNNNNNNNNNNNNNNNNNNNNNNNNNNNNNNNNNNNNNNNNNNNNNNNNNNNNNNNNNNNNNNNNNNNNNNNNNNNNNNNNNNNNNNNNNNNNNNNNNNNNNNNNNNNNNNNNNNNNNNNNNNNNNNNNNNNNNNNNNNNNNNNNNNNNNNNNNNNNNNNNNNNNNNNNNNNNNNNNNNNNNNNNNNNNNNNNNNNNNNNNNNNNNNNNNNNNNNNNNNNNNNNNNNNNNNNNNNNNNNNNNNNNNNNNNNNNNNNNNNNNNNNNNNNNNNNNNNNNNNNNNNNNNNNNNNNNNNNNNNNNNNNNNNNNNNNNNNNNNNNNNNNNNNNNNNNNNNNNNNNNNNNNNNNNNNNNNNNNNNNNNNNNNNNNNNNNNNNNNNNNNNNNNNNNNNNNNNNNNNNNNNNNNNNNNNNNNNNNNNNNNNNNNNNNNNNNNNNNNNNNNNNNNNNNNNNNNNNNNNNNNNNNNNNNNNNNNNNNNNNNNNNNNNNNNNNNNNNNNNNNNNNNNNNNNNNNNNNNNNNNNNNNNNNNNNNNNNNNNNNNNNNNNNNNNNNNNNNNNNNNNNNNNNNNNNNNNNNNNNNNNNNNNNNNNNNNNNNNNNNNNNNNNNNNNNNNNNNNNNNNNNNNNNNNNNNNNNNNNNNNNNNNNNNNNNNNNNNNNNNNNNNNNNNNNNNNNNNNNNNNNNNNNNNNNNNNNNNNNNNNNNNNNNNNNNNNNNNNNNNNNNNNNNNNNNNNNNNNNNNNNNNNNNNNNNNNNNNNNNNNNNNNNNNNNNNNNNNNNNNNNNNNNNNNNNNNNNNNNNNNNNNNNNNNNNNNNNNNNNNNNNNNNNNNNNNNNNNNNNNNNNNNNNNNNNNNNNNNNNNNNNNNNNNNNNNNNNNNNNNNNNNNNNNNNNNNNNNNNNNNNNNNNNNNNNNNNNNNNNNNNNNNNNNNNNNNNNNNNNNNNNNNNNNNNNNNNNNNNNNNNNNNNNNNNNNNNNNNNNNNNNNNNNNNNNNNNNNNNNNNNNNNNNNNNNNNNNNNNNNNNNNNNNNNNNNNNNNNNNNNNNNNNNNNNNNNNNNNNNNNNNNNNNNNNNNNNNNNNNNNNNNNNNNNNNNNNNNNNNNNNNNNNNNNNNNNNNNNNNNNNNNNNNNNNNNNNNNNNNNNNNNNNNNNNNNNNNNNNNNNNNNNNNNNNNNNNNNNNNNNNNNNNNNNNNNNNNNNNNNNNNNNNNNNNNNNNNNNNNNNNNNNNNNNNNNNNNNNNNNNNNNNNNNNNNNNNNNNNNNNNNNNNNNNNNNNNNNNNNNNNNNNNNNNNNNNNNNNNNNNNNNNNNNNNNNNNNNNNNNNNNNNNNNNNNNNNNNNNNNNNNNNNNNNNNNNNNNNNNNNNNNNNNNNNNNNNNNNNNNNNNNNNNNNNNNNNNNNNNNNNNNNNNNNNNNNNNNNNNNNNNNNNNNNNNNNNNNNNNNNNNNNNNNNNNNNNNNNNNNNNNNNNNNNNNNNNNNNNNNNNNNNNNNNNNNNNNNNNNNNNNNNNNNNNNNNNNNNNNNNNNNNNNNNNNNNNNNNNNNNNNNNNNNNNNNNNNNNNNNNNNNNNNNNNNNNNNNNNNNNNNNNNNNNNNNNNNNNNNNNNNNNNNNNNNNNNNNNNNNNNNNNNNNNNNNNNNNNNNNNNNNNNNNNNNNNNNNNNNNNNNNNNNNNNNNNNNNNNNNNNNNNNNNNNNNNNNNNNNNNNNNNNNNNNNNNNNNNNNNNNNNNNNNNNNNNNNNNNNNNNNNNNNNNNNNNNNNNNNNNNNNNNNNNNNNNNNNNNNNNNNNNNNNNNNNNNNNNNNNNNNNNNNNNNNNNNNNNNNNNNNNNNNNNNNNNNNNNNNNNNNNNNNNNNNNNNNNNNNNNNNNNNNNNNNNNNNNNNNNNNNNNNNNNNNNNNNNNNNNNNNNNNNNNNNNNNNNNNNNNNNNNNNNNNNNNNNNNNNNNNNNNNNNNNNNNNNNNNNNNNNNNNNNNNNNNNNNNNNNNNNNNNNNNNNNNNNNNNNNNNNNNNNNNNNNNNNNNNNNNNNNNNNNNNNNNNNNNNNNNNNNNNNNNNNNNNNNNNNNNNNNNNNNNNNNNNNNNNNNNNNNNNNNNNNNNNNNNNNNNNNNNNNNNNNNNNNNNNNNNNNNNNNNNNNNNNNNNNNNNNNNNNNNNNNNNNNNNNNNNNNNNNNNNNNNNNNNNNNNNNNNNNNNNNNNNNNNNNNNNNNNNNNNNNNNNNNNNNNNNNNNNNNNNNNNNNNNNNNNNNNNNNNNNNNNNNNNNNNNNNNNNNNNNNNNNNNNNNNNNNNNNNNNNNNNNNNNNNNNNNNNNNNNNNNNNNNNNNNNNNNNNNNNNNNNNNNNNNNNNNNNNNNNNNNNNNNNNNNNNNNNNNNNNNNNNNNNNNNNNNNNNNNNNNNNNNNNNNNNNNNNNNNNNNNNNNNNNNNNNNNNNNNNNNNNNNNNNNNNNNNNNNNNNNNNNNNNNNNNNNNNNNNNNNNNNNNNNNNNNNNNNNNNNNNNNNNNNNNNNNNNNNNNNNNNNNNNNNNNNNNNNNNNNNNNNNNNNNNNNNNNNNNNNNNNNNNNNNNNNNNNNNNNNNNNNNNNNNNNNNNNNNNNNNNNNNNNNNNNNNNNNNNNNNNNNNNNNNNNNNNNNNNNNNNNNNNNNNNNNNNNNNNNNNNNNNNNNNNNNNNNNNNNNNNNNNNNNNNNNNNNNNNNNNNNNNNNNNNNNNNNNNNNNNNNNNNNNNNNNNNNNNNNNNNNNNNNNNNNNNNNNNNNNNNNNNNNNNNNNNNNNNNNNNNNNNNNNNNNNNNNNNNNNNNNNNNNNNNNNNNNNNNNNNNNNNNNNNNNNNNNNNNNNNNNNNNNNNNNNNNNNNNNNNNNNNNNNNNNNNNNNNNNNNNNNNNNNNNNNNNNNNNNNNNNNNNNNNNNNNNNNNNNNNNNNNNNNNNNNNNNNNNNNNNNNNNNNNNNNNNNNNNNNNNNNNNNNNNNNNNNNNNNNNNNNNNNNNNNNNNNNNNNNNNNNNNNNNNNNNNNNNNNNNNNNNNNNNNNNNNNNNNNNNNAUCAUUUUGAAACCUCUUUUCAUGCUCAGCCAAUGCUUCACCAUAACUACCUUUCUGAUGUCGCACGUUAGUAGGUUCCACGCCGAAGAAAACAGGCAAAACGAGGCGACCCUUUGUCUUGUAGCAGUGAAUUAUGUGGACAAGUUCGUCCAAACAAAACGAAGAAUAGGCAUAGUUGAUAGAAAACACAGGAAUAAAAAUCCUAGAUUCAUCAAUGGCCUUGAGGAGUGAUGGUGUGAUUUCAUCUCCUCUUUGAAGAUCAUUGUCAUCAAUGAAGGUAUGGAUUCCCUUGUCAGUAAGAGCCUUGUAGAGAUUUCCGGUAAAACCGUGCCGAGUGUCAGUGCCCCUAAAACUAAGGAACACUUGGUAAGUGAAUCCAUAGGAAAAUGAAGAGGAUGAGGAAGGUGAUUGUAUAGCCAUGACAAUUGAGAGAAAUAGGAUGAAAAAAGAGUUUGAGAAUGCAGAAUAUGAAUGGUAAAUUUUUGUGGUCUG